rnacentral:lncRNA from 1 species
UCGCACGUAAAGUCGCUUCUGAGAGAAUGUGCUCACAUUGUAGUUGAAAGAUUAUGUGGCUAGCAACAUUACAAAUUUAAUUUGGUAUAAUUUUAAAAUAUGGAUUGAGGAAAAAAAUGAUCACAUUAACUAGAAACUGAAAAGGUUUCAGCACAGUUUGUUCAAGCAAGAAACUCAAUUUUGAUGCUACCGAUCUUGAGCGCCGUACCUGGGCACCAAAGUCACCACCACACUCUCAUCAUCUUCAGCACCCAAAUCCUCCAACAGGUCCGUUAACCCCAACCUUAAACAACUCUUGCUCUUUUCCUUCUGCUUAUGUGGCACACUCACAAAACUCCCAGCAAACUCGCUCUUGUCGGGUCCACUCGGUGCCGCAUCCUCAUCGUCCACGUCAUUCACAUACACAUCAAACUUCACAGCCACAUCUUUGUCAAGCUCAAUCCCCUGAAUCACCAAUAUCUCCUCCUCAUCCUCUUUCUCCUUCUUGCUCCUCUUCUUCGGCUUCGGCCUUGACACCACCGUACUUAUCUUCGUCUCCAAAUUUAUUGGAAAAUCUUUACCCGCCACCACCUUCCCUGAUGACGUCGUCUCAGCGGCCUUCGCCACUCCAGCCGCCUUUGCCUUUCUCGCAAGCUUUGUCCGACGUGGCGUCGGUCUAGACUUGAGCCAUGGAAUCUCAACAUCUUCAUACGUAUACCCUAGCUUUUUAUUAUCAAGAGUGUCCCUCACCGUGACCCUAACAAGCUCAGCAUUCUCGUCAUAAAACAAAAACCCCGUAUCCAACCAAUCCUUAUCGUUAAUAUCUUUAUUUUUAGUCCCUAUACUUUUCCAAAUAUUCCACAUUCGAUCUAUAUUCGAAUGGUGCGAAAAAAAUAUUGGAUCCCUUCCAGCGGAGUAAAAAUUCCCCAUGUCUUCAAAUUAGGUUGCGUGUUAUCUCCGGUCCAUAAAUGAACCGGACCAUGUGGGGUCGUUUCGAUUGAACCGCCCCCUGGAUCUGGUUCAGUGCCAGCCCUGUAGGGCGAACCAAAGAACAACAGCGGUUUCUUGGAGUUGGAAACCAUCUGCCUAUACAUAAUUUUGAGGUUGGCUUCGAUUUGAGCAUCGUUGGACAUUGUUUCAUCCGUGCCGUUGAAGUCAAGAUCGAUGAGAGUCGGCGGCUGAUGGCUGGCAGCGCGAAGCUCGUCGUAAAGCGGAGAGUCCGGGUUAGCGAACAAGGCAGGGAGUUGCAUGCCAGCUGGCGCGUCCCAGUUCCAAAACGGCAACGCGAACGUCGGAUCGUCUAUGAGUUUGGCCAAGAUUCUUUCGUGGAAGUAUAGGUAGUAACGAUGGAAGGGGAAGAAAAGCCAGCAUUGAUGGAUUUGGAGCUCGAGGUUGGGGAAGCCGACUUGGUCGUACGCGCCGUCGCAAUAGGCACAGUGGAGAUCGGCUUGCUGGGUGAAGCUACGCGGAUCGUCGUCCGGGAGGGCUUUCAUGAGCUCGAUGGCUUUUGAAUAUUUUUCGAUGUAGGCUUUAUCCACGGUGUGAGCUGCCGGCCUGACGCGGAGUUUGGUAGGGGAGGGGAAUUUGAAGUCUACGAUUUUUUGGGACGUUGGCGGGCAACAGUUGGUCGGGACUGCUCCACUUGGAAAGUCCGCAGCUCCGCAUUUGGCUAGGUCAGGCGGCGACACUGGCUUUGCAACAGCGAAGGGGUCGCUGCCAAGACCAGCCACUCCACCGUAUAGGCUUCCGAGACCUAUAAGUACAUUUCUUCUGUCUAGGUUUACUGGAGAAGGGUUUUCAUGGUCGUGAUCGUUGGAGCUAGUGGAAGGGUUUUUGUUUUGGUCACUACUAUUAUUUGUGGCUUUGCAUGAGACAGCUUGUAAAUUGGAAUGCCUAGGGUUUCCAAAUGAGGAUAUUCGGUGAUACUUUUGGGAGAAAGGGGAGAGGAAAGUUGUGGGGAUGAUACUUGUGGCGGAGGUGACGAGUGGAGCUGACAUAGAAGCCAUGGUUACUUUUGACUCUGAAUAAUACGUUGUAUUGGCUUUGCUUUUAUAAUGUGUUCUAGGUUGUACUUUUCUUUGCACAGGUGGCAGGCCGUACACACGUGGUCGGUCCUUAAGGGUUUGACGAGGAAUACUACGUAGUCAUUUAGUACAGGACAACCAUACACUAUAGCAAGUGGCAUGUAUUUAGAGAUCGAGAGAGAAUUGGGUAAGGUUCACGAGGGAUUUGUAGUUUCAGAAGGUGAAUUGGUUUUGGUCUUCUUGUGUACCAAUAAUAUUUACUUAGUCAUUUAGUGCAGGACAACCAUGCACUAUAGCAAGUGGCAUGUAUUUAGAGAUCGAGAGAGAAUUGGGUAAGGUUCACGAGGGAUUGUAGUUUCAGAAGGUGAAUUGGUUUUGGUCUUCUUGUGUACCAAUAAUAUUUACUUAGUCAUUUAGUGCAGGACAACCAUGCACUAUAGCAAGUGGCAUGUAUUUAGAGAUCGAGAGAGAAUUGGGUAAGGUUCACGAGGGAUUGUAGUUUCAGAAGGUGAAUUGGUUUUGGUCUUCUUGUGUACGGCUGUGGGUCUGCUGUCCCGGACUCUCUGUCUCAUUUGUGUCUUAUUUUUUAUUUUUUCACACGUGUCUUUUACUUAACGUCAAAUCAUGAUAGCAAUGUUAUGCAAUUGGGAGCUAAACGACCGAUGCUUUUAUUUUUUAGUUUGCUUUUUUUCCAGAUCUGAUCAAAUCAUGAUAGCAAUGUUAUGCAAUUUUCAAGAGGGAAAGAUGCACCUGGGAGAGAAACGGUACGGUGACUUCUAAAUCACCGUCCAACAGAACAAUUCUCAGUAGAGACUACUAGAGAGAGAUGCACCUCACCAAUGAAAAAUUUAACUGCAAAAAUUCUGGGUAUUGGGUAAGGAAAUUCGGUGAUACUUUUGGGAGAAAGGGAAGAGAGAAGUUGUGGGGAUGAUACUUCUCGUGGAGGUGACGAGUGGAGCUGACAUAGAAGCCAUGGUUACUUGACUCUGAAUACUACGUUGUAUUGGGUUUGCAUAUAUAUAUAAUUAGGAUUGAAGGAUGUAGAGCUUAUUUUGUUAUGUAUUUUAACGAUUUAAGUGCUUAUCUUUUAGGUUUUCUCUUAAACAUCAUGUCUAUAAAAAAUCACCAAAAUUCAAACCAUAUGACCAUUAGAUCCAUAGUCAUUUUAGUGUUUAUUUGUAAAAUGUAUUCAUUCAUUUUCUUCACUACAAAUGAGUGAAUUAAUGAUUUUAGAAUUUGUCUAAUUUUUUACAUUGAUUAUUUAUGAAUGUUGAAUUGAAAUUUAGACGAUUCAAAAAUAGUUGAUAUGCAUUACAAAAUGAACUCCACAAAAUAAGUGUCAAAAUAUGUAUAAAAAAUGGACAGCGUGAAUGGCUUGGAAAUUGGAAUAGGUUUGAAAAUUGUGCUUUUUGUAGCAAAUUUUAGCAAAGUUUGCUUGGACUUUCACAACCGUAUAAAUUAAAGGGAAACUUGAUAUAACUCCAAUUUUUUGAGCCAAUAGUAGGAAUAGUCCAGUUUAUUAAAAUAAGUUCAAUUCUUUAAAUUUAAUUAUUUAGUUAUCAAUAAUUAUCUCUUAAAAGAAAAAACUUAUUGUAAAAAUCAAAUUUCUUCCUAAUUAUCUCUUUGAUUAUUUCUUUUUAUUUAUUUAUUUGUUAUUUCUUGUUCUUCCUCCUGCUUUAACCCAUUUAUAGAUUUUUUUUUUAAUUUUAUAAUCAACCUAUGUCACAGGUUAAUUGUAUUUAUCUACCUAUAUGACAUAUUCUUUUUCAUAGUCAACAUUUCACAGAUUAAUGUGUCUUGCUUGUAGAUAUAUUAUGUUUUUUUCUACCUUUUAGUUAGGUUUCAUAUCUCACUUAUAGGUAUAAUAUACAUUCAUAUAUUUGCUACUUGAGUUAGGGUAGAAUGUUUUGCAGAUAGAUUUAUGUUAGUAUAUUAAUUUUUUUUUGUUUAUAAGAUAUUAAUUAGAUAUUUUGGAGUUGAAAAAUGCAUAAUAUUAAAAGCUUUUAAUUGAUUUUUAAUAUUUUUAGAAAAUAUAAAAGGAGUAUAAAAGAAAUCAAAACAUAUAAUUAGAUAACGGGAGUCACUCCUAAAAACACUCUAUGUUUUUUGACCUGGAUCUUAAAGCCCCUAAAUUAAACUGUUCGCUUUGUUGGGAAAAAGAAGUGGCCCUAGUUUCCCUUUGAUUUUUCAAGCACGGUGGGAGACUGGUCAUAGUUUCUAGAUUGAUGCUCUAAUUCUAAUGUUAUACAACGCGUACGCUAUAAUAUUUUUAUCAAAAUAUUAGUUUUAGUGUUAUCAAAACAAUAUGUUAUUCUUACCAUGUUUUUGUAUCACAAUUAUAUACCACCUUAGAUGGUAUCUGAUGUGGACAGCCACAUCAUUUAAAUUAAUAAGCAUUUAAUUUCAAAAUGUUAAUCAAUAAUUAAUAAAAAGAUUGUUAAUUAAAUGAUGAUUGUGGUAUACAAGGAGUCUCCUUCUUCCUUCCUCUUUCCAUUCUGCUUUUUCUUCUUACCUCUUUUUUUUUUUUAAUGCCAGUUUUGUAUUGAUUUCUGUUGAUUUCCAUGAUUAUGGUCAAUCUUUAUAGAAUUUACUAGUAUGCCACAAUCACCAUUGAUUUCUAUCUCCAGACUCAUGCCCCGUAGCCCUAAUCCUCAUUCCCCUUCAAGUAUUUCUGUCUCCAAUCUUCUUUGGUACUCCAUGAUUGUUCAUCUCGUGAUAUUUUUUUUUUUGAUUAUUUCAUUAAGUAACGCUUAUUAGCUUUCAUGCGAAUUAGGAGUCAAAAUCAAAUUUGUCUAUCGGAUUAGGGUUCAUACCCAAUUAAGUUACUAACGCCAGAGGGAUUUUGAAGUAUGCAAUUUUCCUUAUUUAAGUGUUUUAAUUAAUAAGAAAAUUGAAAUUAAACAAUUUAGCUUGUCCAACUCAUCUGCCACCUAAGAUGGUAAAUAAAUGUGGUAUAAAAUUGUGGUAAGAAUAUCAUUACUCUUAUCGAAAUUACAAAAAAAAAAAAAAAAGCUGAUUCAAUAUUUAGUUAUUAAAAAAAAAAUGAUCAAGUAACUAUCCAAUACCCAUGUAUUGGGUGCUUUGUUUGAAAAUUUUCAAAAUGAUAUUGGGCUCGUUUGGAUAUGUUUUUAAAAUGACUGAAAGCAUUUUUAGAGAAAAUAUUUUUUUGAUUCCAAAAGCACUUAAAGUGCUUUCUGCAAGAAGCACCCGUUAUGUGCUUCUUCCUGGAAGCACUUUAAGUGUUUUUCCAGCAUUUACUUGCUUUUUUACUAAGGACUGGUUCCAAAAACAUUUUCACAAAAAGUGUUUUCAGUCAUUUUAAAAGCACAUUCAAACGAGCUCAUUGUUUUUCCUAUUUUAAUCGAGUGCGUCGUCCUCUGUUGAGAAUGAAUCUCAUAUUAUGGGAGGAGGGAUCUUGCAUGAAUGGGAGGAGGGACCUUGCAUGAGCUUAUAAGUAAGUUGGGUUACUCUCCAUAUUGCCAAAAGAAAUUUUAUUUGGACCCAGUUUUCCUCUCUCUAAACCCAACUUUAAUAUUUUGUUACCUAUAAACUCUCUAGUUUACCCUCAUAAAUUAUAAACAUAAAUAAACUAGAAAAAGAAAAACUCAUCAAACCCAUUUCCCAACUGUUCUGGCGUCUCUUCCCUGUAUUUGUUGGGUCUGUCUCCCUCCCGACUGUUUUUUUUUUUCUGAUAUCUCUGUGUGUUCCCCCACCUCUCCCACACCCACCAAUUCUUUGUGGUGGCUAUUCCACCAAACGUCCAGUGAAUCUUUCCAUUUUUCUUCUAUUGCGCGUGAUAGGGCCUUGCUAUUAAUAGGCAAAACUAAGCGGCAUCGUCGACUCCGUAAGCGACUUGUUGCAUAAGUCCAAAAUGGAGUCAAAUGGAUUUUGUAUUGGGUCGGGUUGUUGAAGGCGAUGGCUGAUUUAGCAAUCCCGCCUAACUAUUUCUAUAUGUAGGAGAAGGAAGAGGGAGGGAGGUCUGAAGUGGUGGUUGAGUGGUGGCGAUGUAUGUGGGUUCUCUCUCGGUUGAAUGGGUGUAGAAAGAUAUUUAAUUUUCAAUAUCUUAUUUUAUUUUGUAUAAGGGAUAAUAUAGGAAUUACAUAAAAAGUUUUUUUUAUAGCUAGGUGUAGAAAUAGUAUUGUUGGGUCUAAAUAAAAUUACCCUAUUGCCAAUUAGUUUUAUGGUGAAAUCUUAACUUUGUUCAUGCUUUCAUAGUAGGUUGUUCCACGUGUGAAGUCAAACAUCCACACGCGCUGCACGUCACCCCGUUGUGUUGUUCACGUGUUAAGCUUGAAAAUUCAUCACACAUGAGGGAGCGUGUUGAGAAUAAAUUCCACAGUUUAUAAGUAAGUUGUACUACUCCGUAUAUUACCAAUUAAUUUUGUGGAAUUCCGUCAAAGCUGAAUUUGACGGAAAAAAAUAACUUCAUGUUUGUUCUUAACUAUAAAGUCAGUGAUACACUAAUUCUGGUUUGUUUGUUUUUUCCUUCCUUCUUAAGGAAAUUCCCAAUCCAACCAAAAAAAUGAAAUUCCCAAGAGAAUAGUAGCACGAACAAUCGUAGCUUUCUUCUUCGAUAAGCCUUGGGGAAACAGAAAAGGGAAAACCGGACUUUAACCCUAAUUUCUCCCAAUGCCGCAGCACUCUCUAUUUUCUCUCUCGCUCUAUAUCGCGGUCCCUCUCUCUCGCCGUCCUCUAUUGCUCAAACUCAAUGUCUCCAACUUCCUCUGUAUGGUUCCCGAGGAAGAUGGUAAAACAGUAAGGGCAAGAAAUUGUGACAAGGUUAGAUUUGGGUAUUAAUCUGGUGGGGCUACAAUUCUCCAAUCCACACCCCUUUCAUCUGUGCUAGUGUUUGAACCCAAUAUUAGAUAACCGGUCCAUGCAAUCGAUGCCGUUGAAUGAGAAAAAUUCUAGGCCGUGGGAUCAAAUAUAAUGAUGUGGAUUAAAUAAGGAAAAUUUAAAGAGUAAUGAUAUUCAUACCAUGUUUUUGUACCACAUUUUCAUACCACCUUAGGUGGCAUUUGAUGUGGAUAGCCACAUCAUUUGAAUUAAUCAGAUUUUAAAAUUUAGUUGAUUAUUUAAUAAACUAAUAAUUAAGAAAAACUAAUUAAUUAAAUGAUGAUUGUGAUAUACGAGGAGUCUUUCUCGUUCAUUUCUUUGGGUUUUGCAAAUUUUUCAAAUGAUGUGGCUGUCUACAUCGGAUGCCACCUAAGGUGGUAUAGAAAUAUGGUAUAAAAAUAUGGUAUGAAUAUCAUUACUCAAAUUUAAAUGUUUAUCUUGGUUAAAUUACCAUGAUAAUAUUGUGGAAUUAUCUUUUGCAUAACGGAAGAGCGAGAAAAGUCCAAGGGUGUAGGGAAGUUGUGUGGUUGACUACCGCUAUUUUGAUGGUAUAAUCUGUAGAGUAAUAUUACAUUUAACAUCUAUUUGUAUCAUAUUUCUAAUAAAGAUAAGGACCAUCAAUGCAUAAAUAAUUAAACAAAUAUAUAAUAAGAGUAUCAUUUUUGUAACUAGAAUAGGAGAAGAAAGACUUCAAGAUGGGAUCAGCCAAAUAAUUAGCGUUAAGAUAAAAAUAUUGAAAGGAAAACUAAUGAAAAUGGCUUGAAAACUUUGAGUUUUAACGAUAAGGACAAGAUAAAGGGUAAAGUGAAUAGUACCAGGAUUGACUUUUUAAUGUAAAAAUAUAGUUUUUCGUUAAAGUGAACAUUACCGGGAACUUUUCGUUAAAGUUUCCAAUGAGAUAAUAUUGCAACAGCUGGCAUGAGACAAUGAUGGUAUAAAGAUGGCUACUACGGCCAAACUACUACAUAGGAUUCCAUACAUGCGGUCAUUAUUUCGACAAAUCAAUGGCUGCCGCAAUCAUGUGCUCAUUAUUCCGACAAAUCAGUAGCUACUUGCAUUGGAUUAGGAUUGCAUGCGUGUGGUCAUUGAAUGAGGAUUGCGUGCACGUGAUCUUUAUUCAAACAAAUCACUAUUGACCAUAUAUUGCAAUUGGUUAAUGGUAGGCAAAUUGAAUUUUUACAUCAAAUAAUGUGAUUGCUGAUAAUUGAAUUAUUAUUUAAAUGUUGAUUAAUAUGCUUAUUUUUUAUUUGUGAUAUAUCAUUUAAUUUGUACAUUUAGUUUACCUAACAUUACCAACUGUAAUUUGUAUAAAUGGACUGGUACCUAACAUAACCAGUUGUAAUUUGUAUAAAUGGGACUGUAAUUUGUAUAAAUGGACUGGUGCCUAACAUUACCAGUUGUAAUUUGUAUAAAUUUACUGGUCCCAAGAGCACAUGCUACUGCUCAAGAAGCAAAGUUCUUAUUUGCCCAAAAAAAAUCAUGGUUUUUUAAUUGAUGCUCUCAUUUUAAUUUACUAGCCCCUUACUUGGCCUUUUUUAUUUAUCAUUUUAUACAUAUUAAUAUUUUUUUGUAAAAUAUAUUAGUUUGAGUUUUAUUAAAAUUAAAAAUAAAUAAAAAAACUUAGUUUUAGUUUUAUCAAAUUAAAAAAAAAUGACUUAAUAUUUAGUUAUUGAAAUUGUAAAAAAGUGAUCAAGUAUUGGGUGCUUUGUUUGAAAUUUUUCAAAAUGAUAUUGUUUUUACCAUUGAAACCCUGUUAUAUACAGUGAUGGCUAAUUUGUCAAGUUCUACGAAGUUGGGAUACCCAGCGUUUUAGCAUAUAACAUAGCUUAGUAUUACAAGCAUAAUUAAUUAAAAUAAAGGCAAAAUAAGAGGAUAGCUUAGUAUUACAAGCAUAAUUAAUUAAAAUAAAGGCAAAUUGUAACAGCCCGUCCCUAAAAAUGACGAUUUUAUAAUCUUAACACGUGAGUUUAUGAAGAUGCCCUUCGAGGCAAAGUGUUGACUACCGCGUCGUGUCAUGUGAGACUCAUCUUCUUGGCGUAUUCUCGUUUUACUCGUCGCUACGGAUGCGUGGGCGCAAACGACACGUGAUUUGGAGCUAUAACAAAAGAGUUAUUAACAUUUAAAGUUAAGGACAUUUUAGUAAAUUAAUUAAUUUCAGAUUUUGUUGAGGGGAAAAUCUGGAGUGCCAUGUGGGUGGCCCAGAUUAAAGGAAAUGAGGAAUGGAUGGUGGAGGUGUAAAGGAAAGAAGAUAAAAGAAAAAUGAGAGGAAAUGUGUGACUAAUAGGGAGAUGAGAGAGUUAGGAUGGCCCAAUUAGAAACAAACGAAAGGAGGAAAAAGGAGAGAAGAGGGGAGCAGGGGAUCCCUUCAACCCGGUUCCACUUUCCGACCCGACCCGAUCCUUUUCAUCUUUUCCGGUGGUUUUUCGUCAGUUUUUCCGGCGAACCACGUUAUCUAACCCCGUUGAAAAUGUUCCACGACCUUCCCUCUACCAUUACAACCCAAAAUUGUAGAAAUUUAGCCAUGAAAGUAUGAAAACCGCACCGGUGGGUGCGGGAAACCUUUGUCGUCGAUUCUCCCAUUAUUGAAACGAUUUUCACCAAUUAUCACCACCUACAGCAUCCUCUUGAGGUCUGGAAUAAAGCCCAAACAAGUUUUGGGGCGUUGGAGUUCGUUUAAGGUCGAAUUGAGCACACCCAAAUUCAAGGGUUCCGUACCGUUCAUGGUGAUUUGAGGUGUUUCUCGGCCAAAUUGGCCUUAGUCACAAGUAUGAAAGUUGCUCCACUCGUUGAGAUCUUCAUUUAUGUGAAAUUUGAGAAUUUUUUGAAAUAUUUGGAUUUUCCAGCGAGUCGGGGUGGCGGACCGCCACCGGCAGCAGCGCAUGGCCAGUGGUCCACCAAUGUCAUUUUACGUUAAAUUGAUAUCUUGAUUUUAGAUUUGAUGUCUAUAUGUUAUGACUUGAUUAUGUGAACCUAGUUUGAUUAAGGUGCGUUAAUUGGUAAAAAUAUGAAACGACGAUCCGACCGUGGGAUCGUCACCAAACUUUAAUAUGUUAUAGUACAUAAUAUUUGAGAAUCAUAGGGACUGACAGAUAGGAAAUCCGAGAUACAGAUCUUCCCGAAAUGGAAUUGUAAGUUUGAAGAAUAAACGUUAACCGCCACUUUGUUUUGACUAUUGGUGGAGAUCCAACCGUUGGAUCAUAAUGAAAUUUUAGGAUGAUGUUUUAGAAGCAUAAUGUGGAUCUUUGGAAGUUACUGAUCGGAAAUCCGAGGAGUGAAUCUUCCGAAUUGAAUUACGUAGGGUUGUGGACCUUACCGUCGAUCGUUGACCGAUGAUCGACUUUUGGUCAAUGGGGCUUAAAUCAAUCUAAAACGUUUUUAGGGAUGUGUUUUACGUAAAUUACAUGAUCUAUUGAUAAGAAUUAUGAGAUGUGGUUUGAUAAUUGUCCUAGGUGCCGAUCGUUAGGAACGCUUCGAUGGUUAUGCUAGGAAAUUGUAGCACAGACUCCUUGUGAGUGAAUCUUUUCCUUCUUAUCAUAUAUAUAUAUAUAUAUAUAUAUAUAUAUAUAUGAUUGACAAUUCCACAAACGUUUAUAAAUUGAUUAUUGCAUAUAACUACUGUGAAUACUUUGAAGUACUUAUGCGAACUACGAAUGGCUUGAUCCGUGUUUAGGGUACGUAGGCAGUCUAACAAGACGUUAGAUGUAGUCAUACAAUAAUUGAGAUUAAACAAUUGAGAUAAAGCCUUGUUUGGGGAACUGGGCAAGGUGAAGGAAUUUGGUAAAAAGGUGAGAUUUAACCUUAUGAAUUGGUGAUUAAAUGUUGGUCAUAAAUCAAUGUGUAAAGAAUCAAGAAUUUGAAGUAAGGAAACGUAAGUAAUGAUAAUUAAUUAAACUAGUGUCUAGUUGGGCUUGUCACCUAUAAUUAUCCCCGAAAAUGAAUAAUUCGGGAGUAGGGCGUUACAGCUUCUGCAUUUUUAUGCCACAUUAUAUAUAUAUAUAUAAUUGGAAAUGCUAUAACAUGGUUGAGUAUCAGAUUUCAUCAUGGUUUAUCUAUAUGUAUAUUACCUGCACACAAUUAUUAUGAACGCGUUGAAGUGCAAAGGUGAAUGCACGACACCCAGGUAAGUUCAGGUGAGUUUAUGGUAUUAGUUGAAAUGAUGGGGUUAUGGUAUGACUACAUGUAUGUUUAGGUUGCAAUGAUAGGCAACUCCAACACUGUCGUACAGGUUGCCCAUGAAUUGUACAUGUUACAAUAGAUACAGUUAGAGCUCAUAAACCUACACCCCGGUGUUAGUACUCCCGCUCGUGGCCAGGGCACAGUCCUUCACGUGAUGUUCACCUCCCGCACCUUACGCUCACCUUGGAUCCAAGGUAGGUGCACAAUCAUGUCGUACCACUAUAGGUGGUUCCGACUCGUAGAUGACCCGCGAUUAUUUGCACAGUCUUCACGUGAUUGUAGCACUUGAGCGUAUUUAUUUACACCCAGUUCUAUUGUACAGACCACUUUAGGUGGUUCCGACUCGUAUGCAGGUAUACUUAUUAAGCUAUGGAUAAGUCGUACAGGUCACUAGAAGUGACUCCGACUUAUGAGCUAGCAUAUGUGAUGAGCUAGCAUAUGUGAUGAGAUAAGUGAUGAGUUAGUAUAUGUAAUGAGAUAUGUGAUGAGCUAGCAUAUGUGAUGAGAUAUGUGAUGAGCUAGCAUAUGUGAUGAGAUAUGUGAUGAGCUAGCAUAUGUGAUGAGUUAGCAUAUGUGAUGAGCUAGCAUAUGUGAUGAGAUAUGGGUAAGUCGUACAUGUCACUAUAGGUGACUUCGACUUGCGUGCUAGUAUGGGUUAUUAAUCACAUGAUUAUUGAUAUUACUGAUGAGAUGCUGUGUUGUGGUAUAUUUAUGAUCUUUCUGGAAACUAUGCAAGUGUUGUAACGAGGGGUUAUAAUGAGGUGUUGUAACGAGGGGUUAUAAUGUUUUAUAUGGUUUCUGUUAAAAUUUUAUUUCUAGGGUCACUCACCCUUAUUUUGUUUUCACCCUCUAGGUUUUAUUAGCUGAGCUUUCUUAUCGUCGAAGAUUCGUGGCGAUUCUUAGUAUUGGAGAUUAUUUCGAGAGUACGAUUCUUAAUUCACUUUACUGUACUUGCUUAAGCUGUAACGUCACGUGUGAAGUGGGUUCAUUUCCGCUUACCAGCGCAUUCUGGUAUUUAGGCACUCUUAGGUUUAAAUUUAUUCACAUUUUUCCACAUCAUCAAACUUUAUGGCUUUGUCACUCUUUAGGUGUCGGCCAGCACAGCUCGAUUUGGAGUCCUAGUGGACAUUCCGGGUCGGGGUGUGUCACAAAUGAAGAGGAUGGUUGAACUUGUUAAGUUUCUUAAGUGUGUCUACUUGAAGUGUGUUGCUAAUAAAUAUUUUGUUGUAGGCAUAAUUUACUGAACAAUUAUGGAGGCAGAGAGAGAGAGAGGGAAUAUGCGGCAUAGAGAGAGAAGAGAGAGAUGUGUAAUUGUGAGGUGUGUUCUAUUCCACCCCAUUGUACCUUUAUUAUAUUAGUAGGGAAAGUUAAUUCCUUACCCUUUUAGGAUUACAACUCUAAUAGGAAAAUAUCUAGUCUAAGAGAUAUGAUAGAAUCUCAUAAGGAUAUCCUAGAUAUGUUAGGAUUUACACAAUCAUAUUCCUAUUCCAAUAAGACUGCAACACAUUUGUAUUUUUUUAGAAUUUUUUUGAUAAUUUGUUGGUAUUCUCAAUUUUUGUUAACAUUGAAAAUAUAACGGUUCAGAUGAAAAACCUUUGGAAAUCCAACAGCUUGCAAGACGUUGGGCUGUGCUGAAGGAAGCUGGGCUGUCACGUGGAUGGGGCCCUCCCUCUCCCUCUUGUUGAUUCAAAGGGCGCAGGCCCGUGCAACAAUUGGCGAGGCAGCCCAUAGAGAUCCUGCGAUUCACCCAUUCGCCAUUUUUUCCACCGCUGGAGCACCAAAAUUCGGUCAAAAGGCAGGGGUAUCAAUGGCAAGGGCAAUUUGGCUUCCGCUGGAGGUGCUCUUUGUCGACUUUGUUUUUUCUCUCAUUUUAGCUUUUGCAGUAAUAUUGAAGUAAUCACUCCAAUUUUAUCCAAACUUUUGUUGUCCGUCAAUUUUUAUCAAAACUAUUGGUUAAUUUACAUAUUCAGACUAACCUUCUCAUUAUUUUUAGUAUUUUUAUCAUAAAUAAUAUCUGAAAUAGUCACAUUUUAUUCAACAACCACUCAAUUAAAAAUUAAUUAGUGUUGUUUCUAAACCAUUACAUCAAGCUUUUGUAGAUACACAUCAAUAUUGCAGCGAUCCGAGGCAUUGUUUUAGUGACGGUAGUACUUUCUACUCCUUGGAUUUGGUGAAUCGGAAAAGAGAAGAGUUACGAGUAAAAGUCCCUCGCAUUGUUUUGGGGAGAUGAAGAUGAUGAUCUUUUGUUUUUGUUUUUUAAUGAUUAAUCCACGCAGCAACAUAUAAUUAAAUUGUUGGGAUCUACUCAAGUUCCAUAUCACACACUAACAUAAAAUUUGACAAACGAAACGAAAUAUGUGUGUAGACAUCGAAAUUUCGUAAAUAAAUGUUGACCGAUAAAUCAAAGUGUCAACGCUCAUGUAUUACAUAAAUUUUACACGUAGCGUGUGACUCAACGAAAAUUGAAAUGAGUUGGAAAAGUCAUCAAAUAGGACACGUGUCAACACCUGGCAGAAACGACUUAUUUCAUCUGGGAUAUUAUAUUCAAAAUUAGCCAUUGGAAAAUUCUAUAAAUACAAGCCCAUUUCAUUCAUUUAAGGAGAGGAAUUCAUAUUACACCUUGAAGCUCUGAAGCUCUGAAACUCCGAAGCUCUCAAGCAUCCAGGUUCCCGAAGAAUCAAGAAAGUGUUCUUCGUUCUUCGUUCAUCGUUCUUCCAAGAUCAAGCCUCGACGGCCCUUGGAUCAACAAUCAUCCACCUUCAAGAUCAAGCCCCGACGGCCCUUGAAGAAAGCGUUCUUCGUUCUUCGUUCAUCGUUCUUCCAAGAUCAAGCCCCGACGGCCCUCGGAUCAACAAUCAUCCACCUUCAAGAUCAAGCCCCAAAGGCCCUUGAAGAACUUCCACCAAUUCAAGAUCAAGCCCCGACGGCCCUUGAAGAAAGCACCAUCGUUCAUCAUCCGUUCAUCCAAGAUCAAGCCCCAACGGCCCUUUAGAUCAACAACGUCGACAAAUCCACACAUCCAACCGUUCUUCAAGAUCAAGCCCAAAAGCCCUUGAAGAUCCGUUCAUCACUGUUCUUCAAGAUCAAGCCCAAAAGCCCUUGGAGAUCCGUUCAUCACUAUUCUUCAAAGAUCAAGCCCAAAAGCCCCUUUGAAGAUCCGCUCAAAUCCACCUUCAAGAUCAAGUCCACGGCCCUUGAAGAACGUUCAUCCUUAGAUCAAGCCCAACGCCCCUUUGGAUCAAUCGCACAUCCACAAAUCAACACCUUACGGAGAUCGAAUCAGAGGAUCAAAAUAGAGAGAGAUUGUAACCCAAAAUCAUCAAAUACAAAUAUUUGUUUGUGCGCGUUGUUCUUGUCUCUUUCGUUUCAGGAAUUUUCCGUGUUCACAAUGUGCUCUUGAAAUCAAAAUGAGGGCACUGCUCCAAGAACAAGAAGGGCACCUUGUCGAGGUCGCCAUCCGCCGUGAGGGAAAACCGGAAGAAGUUGGACAACAAUGAUAACAUCAAUUUGCGGCACCCAUAUCGGGACAUCACACUGUGAAAUAAAUAUUGAAAUAAAUACUCAAAACUCCUGGAAAGUCCUCGAGACAACAAACUUUCAUCUCCUUCAAACAUUUCAUUUUACUAAGUUUUAUCUUUGAAGGGAGGGAAAAAAAGAGAAGAGAGAAUCCUACUCCUUAUUCCUGAAUAUAUUCAAGAAUAGCUAUUGAAUAAAGAGAGAAUGGAGGGUGAUCGAAAGAGGAGGGAAGAGAAUUCUAGUUCCAAACAUAAAAAGGACCACAACUUUUAAAUUAUCAGCACAAUCAUCACCUAAUUGAAGAGACCAUUCACUGUGAAACAUAUUGUCAAUCAGUCUAUCUAUAUCUAUUUAUAUACCAUAUUUUUAGAGUAAGAUUCUCUCACCUCCUAUUACCAUCCCCUUCCAUCCUUUCAUCUCAUACUCUUUUUUUGUUGUCUUAUUCUCUAUAUAAAAAAAUUCAAAACAAGAUGUAUACGUGACGUAAUCGUAACCGUUUAAAUAAGAGGGGAUAGAAGAGAAGAGAGAUUAGGAGAAGGGAGAAUCCUACUCCCACAUUUUUCUUCUUCAUAAACAAAAGAGAGGUUCUAGAUUACUUGACUCUAUGCCUCAUUUUUUUCAUCAAGUAUUUGUGAUAAGUGGGUUCAUUUUCAAGUAUUUUAGUUUUUUUGUCAAAAUUGAGAAAACUGAAAAUCAAACAUUAAUAUGAAAAAUUAAAAAAUCAACAUAUAAUUAUUUAGAAAUCGCAAUAGAAAAGAAAAAAAAUGGAGGUUUGUGAUGAAAAAUCUUUUAUACUAAGUAAUUUAGUAUCCUUAUGCAUGAAGAUAAAUCAAUUUGUUCGUUACGGUCAUACUCUUUUUUGAAUUUUUGAACACAUUCUCCAUAGGGCCUUCUUAUAUGUUCCUUCUCCAAGCUCGGGUUAUGGAAGAAGUAAAAGAAGGAAUCGAAAAGAAAGUAUUGGUAACAACCGAUUUCAUUACGAGACAACUCUUGAUAUUCAUAUCAAUCUAUUAUGUACCUUUGCAUCUAGCAUUAGACAAUAAUUGUCAUAGCUUUACCAUAUUUUUUUGUUUCAUUUCUUCUGAAACAAUCUCACACACUUUUUUAUUAUGUGUCUACUACUAGGAAUUCAAUACGUAAUCUUAGCAUUCAAUAGUUAUUCCUAAAUAAUUUCAAUUUUCAAAUGAUCAACCAUUUCAUUUUACCAAGUUCAAUCAAUGUUAGUCAGAUUAGUCAACAUUUAUAUAUUUUGAUGCAACAACAAGAUGUUAUUUGUAACAAGUGAUUUUGUUAGUUGGUUAAUUGGUCACAAGUUAAUGUUCGGUUCAGUUUAGUUUUUCUCUCGAUUUUUUGUGAUUCGGUUUUUUCAAUUCUCUUUAGGGUCGGUUCGGUUUUGUUUUUUUAUUUAUACUUGAAUUUUAUUUUAAUUUAUUUUAAUUUAUUUUAUUUUAAAUCUGGAAACACCAAGAACAACACAAGCACAUAGUCAAUCAAACAACUAUCCUUCUCCACAAAUCAUAGUAAUAAUUACAUUCAUUGAGCUGAAAUGCAAAUAACUAACAAACUCACAAAAAUCAAAUAAAAACUACAAAUUGCUUACUCUUUUUCUUUGGGUUUCACUCGAAAAGUGUCGGUAAAAUUUAGGGUUUGCAAGAACGCAACUGAAAUCUAAAACGGAGGCCUUGUGGCCUAUGGGUUGCUAUUGAGUUCCAGUACAGAGAACCUUGCUUAAUCUCGAUCACGGUACAAAGUAUCGAGUACCUUUAGCACUGUAUUUUGGUAUGAUUGGUAGAACCAAAUUAAAAGCUAACAUCAACAACAACUACCAGAGACAAAAGCUCUUAUCAAUGCUUUGGAAACAUUUAUGUAUCUCCAAGUGUAAUGAUAUAAUUGGUUGGAAACUUGUGAUUUCGUAUCAAAUCAAUAAAAAGUUACAAUAUUGACAAUAUAUUAGCAAUUUUUAUGUUAAUUAUGAACAAGUCAAUCAUGUAGAACCAAAUUAAAAGCUAACAUCAACAACAACUACCAUAGACAAAAGCUCUAAUCAAUGCUUAGGAAACACAGUCCUGUAUCUCUAGGUGUAUUGAUAUAAUUGGUUGGAAAUUUAAAAGAAAAAUGGUGAUUUUGUAUAAAAUUGAUAAAAAGUUACAAUAUUGACAAUAUAUUUGACACACCCCGACCAAGAUCAAGGCAUGCUGGCCGUCACAUGAGAGUGACGUAACCAUGUGCACAGUGCGGAAGCAAUAAUGAUAAGAAAUAUAUGAAUAAUUAAAAACCGAAUCUACUAGAGUGCACUACUAAACAGGAAGUAUUAGGAGUAAGAUACAAAAGUAAAUACUCCUAAUCAGAGCAUAGAAAGUCUAGGUGCAAUCCAGUAGGACAAGUACUAAUUAUACAGUAUAAAAUGUCUUACAAUUAUUUAGAUAGGUCAGAACCGCCGAAGUCCUCACACCCAACAACUGCAAACUUACUUAAAACCUGAAGGGGCGCAAAAUAGAAAACGUGAGUGGGAAAAAACAAAUGUUUUACAAAACCAUUUCAUUUAUCAAUAUAUCUAACCCCUCGCUGUAAACAUGUAUAAUUUUUCCCAGAAUCAAGAUAUAAGCAUAUACAUAAAUAUAUAUAUAAAUAUAUCAAUUCAAAUCAUGCUUCACAUAAUCAUAUUCAUAUGUAUGUCAUGCCAAGAUAUAACAGAGUAAGCAACUCAGGUAAGAGUAAUUUCAUAGAAAUAUAACAUGUUAGCCGGAACCCCUGUAGUAGUCUGUACGGCUGAAUUCAUAGCUCAAAAGUCAAUCUAGCCGAAGUCACUACAAUGACCUAUACGGCAAUAUACUGCACAAGAGUCGGAACCAAAUGAAAAGAUCUGUACGACAAUAAUGGGUGUUGUUGAUGCACAAAAUCAGUGAGGACUUUGGUACAACAGAAAGUGUUAAGUUUGUGACAUUCUCUAGAUUACUCCGAUCACUAGUGUGGAUAAGUAUGUAAAUGGAUAAAGACAGGGAAGCAAACACAAGAUGUACGUGGUUCACCCAGAUUGGCUACGUCCAUGGAGUAAAUGAGUUCUUAUUAAUUGUGAAGGGUUUACACAAGUAUAUAGGUUCAAGCUCUCCUUUAGUGAGUACUAGUGAAUGAUUUAGUACAAAUGACAUUAGGAAAUAUUGUGAGAGAAUGAUCUCUAUUUAUAGAAGAGAGUUUCUAGUUUCAUUCUGACAUUGACACGUGUCAUGUUGUGAUUGGCUUCUGAUGUUGACAUGUGUUGCACUAUGAUUGGCUUUAGAUGUCAACAUGUGUCGCGUUGUGAUUGGCCUCCUGGUUUGAGGGAAACUCUUCUGGCUCCUUGACGGUAUAACGUUGAUCGAUGCUCAGUAGUUUCGGGAUUGGUCAAGUAUGGUACAAACAGGUGUAAUAUAAUCAUACUCAAUACUACUCUCACAUAAUAGCUGGGUGAUAAAUCGCUAGUCACCUAUGAGUCAGAACGAUAAUAAAGGUCUGUACGAAGACUGUGCACCUAAAUUGGAUCCAAUAUGACCAUAUGGUGCGGGAUGUGACAUUAUAUACAGGCUUGUGCCAUCACUGGCGGAGCUACACCCACGGCUACAGUAGGCUGUAGCCUAGGGAGGAUUUUAACAAACUGCUGGUAUAAUAGUUUAUAUAUGAGUUUGUUGUUGCUUAUUGUAUGUAUAAUAGCCCACAUAAAUCCUGCCAAAAUUAUUAGUUAAUGUGUUUCUUAAUUUAUAAAUAAUACUUUUAUUACCUUUUAUUAUUUUAUUAUUUUUAGGCUAAAAGUAAAAAUGGUAAAUUAAUACAUAAUUAGGUUUCUCCUAUUCCCCAUGCUUUUUACCUAUUCGUUCAAAACAAAAAAAUUAAACCCUCUACCCUAAGAAAAGAAAAACUAUGAAUCACCAUCAAAUUAUUUUCUAAUGAAAUUCAACACUAGAUAUGCUCUUCAUGUCUUCAUUUAACCUAUUUCUUGAUUCAAUUGUUCAUUCCAUAUAUCUACAGCACGACUUGAAUUGGUAUCCCCUAACCUUUUUUCUUUUGGGUACUUGUUAUCAACAAAAGUGAUAAUAUUUGUUCUCUUUCUAUUGCUUUUUUGUAUGCAUGUUUUAUUUGUGUAAAAAUUAGUUGGAAAGUAAUUAAUAAACUUGUUUGGAUUAUUAGUACUUCAUGUUCCUACUUUUAUGUAGAUUACUAUAUAAUUUUAUGUAGGCAAAAAAAAAAUUCAUAAGAUUAUAUGCUAAUGAUUUUAGUUAGCCCACCCAAGAAAAAUUUUCUGGCUCCGCUAUUAUGUGCCAUAACUCUGGCAAAAUCACAAUCACCCUAAGUGCAGUUUUAUGAGUUCAACGUUAUUCUAUCACAUAUCACAUCAUCGAUAAUUCACAUAACCAAACAUAACUCACAUGAGCUUACCUGAGCGUCCACAGUACCAUAAUUAUAUAUAAUGCAUCAUAUACGAAAUAUAAAUUCAUAUGCAUGGCAUUUAAGGUAUACUUUCAUUUAAACACAUAUUUCUGGGAAAAUAUCAAGUAUAUAAAUAUAUACUGAAAACCAAAAGCCCACUCAUUGGUAUGUCGAAGGGUCGUAGCCCCCGAGUCGCCUUUGAAUACUCUCGUCCUCGUGAUAAGUCUCACCUAUAUGCGAAUUAACUAUAAAAACGUUAUUUUAGAGCACAUACAAAAAAUUAGCUAAUAACUCUCAUACAAUGCUCAAUUUUUGUAUUUGAAUAUAUCACAGUGACCUACACAACCUCAAGAUCAUCCCUAAAUUUUUACAAUAUUUUUCUGACCCCUCACGCGCUGCCACGCACCGGCAAGGGCAACGCCUUACUCGCCCCCACGCGCGGCCACGUGACAAGCAUACUGAUGGCGUCAAUCAACAUCAUCAGGAAUAUUCUAGGGAAUAUUCUGUUAAAACCCAAUGGUAACUGUUAAAGAUGACUGACGGCAUGAGCAUAUUCUGUCAACCUUGACGGAAUAUACUCCUUUCUUCUCCGAUGAGUCGUCGGUCGCCGGCGACUUCGCCGAUUUCUUGGUAAAACUUUAAAUCGCUUAUUCUUCUUCGUUUCUUCGCCAUUUUUCAUGAAAUUGGUACCAAAAUGAAGCUAAUAACAUGUAGAAUCACUUUGUAUAAGUUUCAAGGCUUAAAAUCUACUAGUUUUUCCCUGAGAAAGCUCGAUAGUUCGGCUUACCUAGAUAUGCGUCGAUCUCAGCCCUCCGACGUCCAAUUCCUUCCAACGAAGUACCCCAAGACUCGUGAGGACCUCCUUAAGCUUCCUAUAAGCUUCAAAUUCCCUGAAACACAAGAUUUUACGUAUGCAUGAACAAUGCACAAAGUCGGAGCUAGGGUUUCCACGUGAAAUCGAAGGUUUCCUUACCUGAAAAUGGUUCCUUUGAAUUCGUAUGGUUCUCACGAACACAAUGGUGAUCUUAAAACCUUCGAUCUACAAGGUUUAAGAGGGUUUCUGGGUUGGUCCGUACGAAGAAGGGAGAGAGAGAAUGAGAAUCUGCGAGAGAGAGGGCACGGGAAGGAAAGAGAAAUAAGAUAGGUGUGUGUAUGGUCCAAAAGCCACCAAUCAAAACUAAGAAAAGUCUUAGUUGUAAUUGGGUCACCAAUCUAAAACAAUUUAACCCAAUAAUAACUUACACACAUCAUUUAACAUCCGAGGGUAAUUCCGUCAUUCUACGUCAUCGAGAAUAAUCUUCCGGGACGGGCUGUGACAAUAUCAGCAAUAUUUAUGUUAAUUAUGAAUAGGUCAAUCAUGUAUUUAAUACUUAAAUGUAUUUAAAAUAAACACCUUAUCAAUGUUUUCUGAACUGUGCUCGAUUUUUCUCCUUCGCUUUGGUUCUGUCCCAUUGGAUUUUUCAAGCAAGAUUUUAUCAAGGCAACUAUCAUUAACUGUGAACAUAAUUUAUCAUUGAGACACGAACAUCCAAGGGGGAGUGUCGUGGAAAAAAAUGUAGAUAUCUUUAUACGUUGUAUGGUAGUAAACCAUCAUAAACACCAUAAAUAUGUAGAAACGCCCUUGCGGUACCUUUGAAUGAUAACUCAUGUAUUUGUUGCCCUAUGUAAAGAUGGCUAAUGAUAAUGGAAGACUAAUUUUCUCAUCCCAAUCUCUCCUGUCUCUCUUAUUCUCUUUUCUCUAUAUUUUAUUUCCAACAAGUUGUGUUUUUUUUUUAGUAUUGUUAAGCAACCCAAUAGAUUUUAAUCGUAGUCUUUGUUUUUUUUCUUUUAUAUUUUUAAUCAAUUUCAGUUGCUUAUCAGUUCUAGCUAAUUGAGCUCUUUUACAGCAAUUUUUUUCUUUAAAUAAAAUUAUUAUUAUUAAAAAGAGUGAGAAAAUUCGAAAUUGUUACAAUAAUUUAAAAAAAAUAGGAGUUUCAAAUCAUGAAGGUAGAGGGAGUUAACAACAUUUUAGGGGGGGGUGUAGUCAAACUAGGAUUUUGAAGGAUUUUAAAAGUGAUAGAUUUGAUAGGAUUUAAGAUGAUUAAAGACUCUUACAAAAUUCAUAUGGAUUUUAAAGAAUAUGAAUGGAUUGCGGUGGAUUGUGGGGGAAGGAUUUGAAAUCCUAGGGGGUGAGGUUUGAUUCUUUUUAGUUUUGGUUAUAUAUGGUAUGCUUUCAAAUCCCAGAAAAUCCACAACUUUUUAAAAUCCUUUAAAAUCUUAAUUUUUUUAAUACACUUAGAUUUGGAUGGAUUCUAAAAUCCUUUAAAAUCUUUUAAUUGACUACACCUAGAUUUGAAUGGAUUCUAAAAUCUUUUAAUUGACUACACCUAGAUUUUAAUGGAUUCUAAAAUCCUUUAAAAUCUUUUAAUUGACUACACUAUGAUUUUAAAGUCUUUAAAAUCCUCUCAAAUCCAAGUUUGACUACACCCCCUAAAGAUUUUAAGGAAAACUAAUGAAAAUGGCUUGAAAACUUUGAGUUUUAACUAGGGGUGGGCAAACGGGUACAGGAACCGCGGGUAGGGGUGGGUAAUUCAAGUUCGGGGCAGGUAUGGGACAUGUCCAAUAUUUCUAAACACAAAACGGGGCGAGGCUGUUCGGGUAUAUGAAAUUAUCGGGGCGGGGCGGGUCUUAAAAUAGAAGGGAACGGGCCCCCAGCCUGACCCGUUUCUUUUCCUCAUCCCUAGUCUUCUCUAUCUCUCUUCCCCGACACUUUUCAUUUCACUCAAACCCGGCCCAUUUCUUUUCCUCAUCAGUCAUCCCUAGUCUUUUCAAUCUCUCUUCCCUAACUCCUUUCAUUUCACUCGUACCUCGAGACCUCCUCUUAACUCGCUCCCAGCCUCCCACCGUCCUAGCUCCGUACCUCGCCAUCAUCAUCGUCAGACCUCCAUCUCUCCUGAUUUACUCAUGUCUUCCUCGCUGCGUCCGCCGCCAUGUCUCUCUUUCUGUGACGAACUUAAAGGGACGGACGAAGUUGAACAACUCGAAACGACGCCUCUUCUGUCUGAAUUAGACCCAUAUUUGCAGCGCACGACUCUGCUCAUAGUCCUCUUCGGUUUUAAGGUAUUACGUUUUAGAGAUUUAGGAUUGAAAAUUAAAUUAGGGUUUUCUAGAUUUAGGGAUUUUGUUGGGUUCUUGAACCUUGACCUCUGUUAUGUUCCAAUUUCAAAUAUAUAUUGAAUUGAAUUUGAAUCGACUGUGUUUGAAACUUCUGUUGAAUUAAAUUGAAUUUGAGCAGGAGAAGAGGCAGAUGUGGGUUGGGCAAUGUCGAAUCUCAUUGUGGGUGGUGAGGUGGGCAUGGCGGGCGACAAUAUUGACUGGCAAUGGUACGGGCGGUGCUAUUAAGUUGCAGAAGAAUACGAAGGAGGGGGUGUGGGCAUGGGUGGAUAUCGCAAGCUCAAUUGAAUUUUUUCUGGUUUUGUUUGUGAUUAAUUGCUUGUAUAUGAUAGUUAUUGAUGGAUCUUGACAUGCCCAUUUAAUUGUUAUUGGCAAUGCUAGUUUGAUUGUAACAAAUUCAAACCGAUUGAAUUGUAUCCCAGAAAAAAAAAUCAAUAAAGGAACUGAGGACCCGGCCCGAACCAGCCCAUUUCAACCGGGCCAGGUUAGGUUCGGUUCUUAUAUUAGAAAAUGUUGUUCCCGGCCCGUUUCUCUUAAGCCCGGAUCCAGUCCGAUCACUUCGAAAUUGGCCCCAACCCGGCCCGGGCCCACCUCUAGUUUUAACGAUAAGGACAAAAUAAAGGGUAAAGUGAAUAGUACCAAGUUUGACUUUUUAGUGUAAAAAUGUAAUUUUUCGUUAAAAUAAGAUUUUAAUGGAUUCUAAAAUCCUUAAUUAAGAAAUUAGGCUUCAACCCAACUCAUCUUUGCAACGCCGGUUCCACUUCACAUCAACAGGCAAUGUUUUCUCCUCAACAAAUAGUAUUCUUUUAUGAGACAAAGACUAAUGAGGGUGAUAUAUAUAAUUAAUAAUAAUACUUGUGUUCCCUUUGUGAGUGAAUGCACUUAUUUUACCAUUCUCUAAUAAUGUAUCUUUAUUAUAUAAAUUUAUAUCAUGUGGAUAUCUUCCUAUAAAAAAGUUAUUCAAAUUGGAAAUCCUUACGUCAUCAAAAUAUAUAAAAAAAUGGACGAUCUCAUCGUAAAUAUGUUAGUUACUCACACUAUAACUUUGUAUAUUCCCUCACGUAGGAAACGCAAUAAUUAUCCUCUAAUUAAUUCUUCUUGAGAGUAGAAUUUUUAUUGUUGGUUUUUCGCAACCUUCAGACCUAAAGCUGAUAUGGACCUCUCAUUGUUUUUUGGGUUGCCGUUCUUAUUUUGCUUGGUCCUUUUACCUUUUCUAUAGUUGUUUAUCUAGUUCUUUUGAGCCUCGUACUAAUUUUUAAUGUAAUGAAAAUUAUCUUCGUGAUAAAAAAAAAAAUCAUUAGUCCUCGUAUGAACAUGCGAUGUAACACACUUUCAUGGAACAACAGAUGAUAAAGACGAUAUCCAAAUUUUCUCUGUGUUAUGUGGACUUUCCCAACCAAAUAAAUAAUAACCAAUAAACAAAUAAAUAAGAGUUUAACUUCAAACAUUGAGAAGCGAAAUUCCAACACUACGAGCCUAACUUUUGUCUUCAUCAUCAUCAUAGACUAGUCUCCUAUCCAUCAACUCCUACAUCAAUUUUUUUUUUUACUAGAUUGUAGCUCACUUUCAAAAGAGUUACGUAAAGUAUUUAAGCACCAUAAAAGAAAAUUAAACGACAACGAUUGACAUAAUAUUAGUAGUAUCAUGGUCUAAAAUAUUCAUAAUAUCUUGAUAUUUUUAUUGAAAUUUUCGUGUUUUUAGACUACCUAUAUUUUCAAUAUCAUCGAUAUUUUAAACCUUGCUAAGUCACUCAUGUAUCUUACCAUGCAAUGUAUAAAGUGUAAAAUAUUGUACUAAUUCAUUAUAUAUAAAUGAUUAUAGUGUGUUUAAACUUCUUUCAUUAAUUACUACAUAUUUUCUACACUCACAAUGUUUGCCAGCUCGCUAUAUAAUCAACUUAAAUCAAUUAUAUCUAUCAUGUAAUGCAUUUCCUUCCAAUUUUUUGUGAUAAACUAAUAGAUAAUUGACUAAAUAAACAUCCUGCAAAGUUUCAAUAAAAAUUUCCAAGUUUUUCUUACAAUUUCCGUAGUUUUUAUUCAAUUUUUAUCGAUAUCGAUAAUAUCCCGAUAUUUCCAUCGAAAUUUCCGUAUUUUUAGACUACUGAUAUUUCCGAUAUCAUCGAUAUUUUAUACCUUGGUAGUUAUACAUUUUAUCGGCCUCAUUUUUAUGCAACUUAUACAUUAAAUUAUUGUCAAAAUGUACAUAUAAAGUAGCUGAUCAACGAUGAGAUUUUAGGCAACCAUUUUCUUCUACGACGUCAAAGGUUGUAGAGGUGGCCAUGUGCACUACAUGCGUAAAUCAACUAGGGACUUGGAUCCUCUCUUAAGCCCAAGGAGAGGAUCCUCCUAACCAAAUGACUUGGAUUGUUGGAUGAAAAUCUAACGAUUACAAACAGAUGAUCUCUUUAAAGUUAUAAUAUUUAUUACCGUUGAAUUUUCAUCAAACGGUCAAAUAUCAUUGGUCAAAAGGGUCCUCUCAUUGGGCUCAGAGAGGACCCAAGUGCAUCAACCAGAACUAUUGCUAUUAUAACAAUUCAUGAAAUCAAUUAAACAAUAAUUUUCCUUCUGGCAGGCAUGUUAGUUAUUUCUUAUUUGGCCAAUUGCCUAGUGGAUUUGGUAGAUUUAACCUCUCCACCACAAACACAUUUAAAAAUUUCCAGAAAUCCGUAACGUAAAAUUUAAAAAUAAAUAUUAAUAACAGCAAGUUCUUUUCACCGACCGUGACCGAGAUCUGUCACAUAUCCAAAAUGUCACCUCCUUAUCGCAAAAACCAAAUUUGACUUGGGAUAAAUACCGUGUACAAAUUAAACGCGUUUCUCUAGCUUUUGCGUAAAGAGGCAACCCAACACUAAACUAGGAAAACGUUGGGUUGACAAAGAUACCAUGAAGAAUAAAGGGGUUAUGCAAUCCACUUUGCAAGAUAAUCAAAGUUUCCCGUUGUAGACUUGUCUUAACCCAACACUAAACUAAGAAAACGUUGCUUUCCCGUUGUAACAUGAAACAACAUUAAACAACAUUAAACAAUAUUAAAUAACAUUAAAUAACAUAAAAAUUAUACAACAUAAAAAAAACCAUUUAACAACAUAAAACUUAAAAUGCGUACUUCUUGCUUCUUGUGGCCUAAAGAUGUGCAACAAGAUCUUGAUGUAGGUACUUGUUUGUGGCACGAAAACGUAUCAUCCUAGCCGUUGGAUUUGAAUUUUUUUUGUUUUCGGCCAAAAAAUUUUAAAUUUAAAAGUUGAAGAUGGUGAGAAAUAUGAUCCUACACUGUUCAUUAAAAUAUUAAUUUCUUGAAUGACCAAAAGGCUAAAACAAGCCAUCCUUCGGUUGGAGAUGCCUAAGGAGAGACUAGAGAUAGAGAGUUUCCUAUAUAUGAUUUUCAUUAACAAGAUUGAAAUGAUUUCAGAGAGAAGAUCAAGUAUGGUUAUUUUUAUUUUGUAGAGUGUAGACAUUAUAACUAUACAUUCAUAAUAACAUGAGUAAUGUUAUAUUUAUCACAUUUGUACUCUUUCUCUGAUAAAGGUAGGGUUCAUCAACACAUGUGGGUUCUAUUUGCCCAUCAACACAUGCGGAUCUCAUUUUUAUUAGAAAAAUAGUACAAAUAUGGUACGGAAAAUAUGAUAAGAUCGCAAUUUUGUAAUAACAUAUAUACUCAACUAUUUAUAUACCGACCCAUCUCCUUUUAGUGUAGAUAAUAUCGUUUGUUAAAAAAAAUGUUGAACUUGUCAUAAUCAUUGAAUCCAUUUACCAUGAACAAACGGCAGUUUACUAAACUUGCCCUCAGAGUAUAUAUAAAAGGUGAAUCACAAUCUAUUGCAUUAAUAUAAGGAAACAAUUUAUAGGGUUUGACGGGUGACUUAAUAUGCUAUAUGGCACAAUGAAAAUUAAGUUCACACUUUAUCCCAAAUAAGGUGUUGCACCUUUAAUUUAUGGAUGCUGGUUUGACGUGUGACCGAAAUAAUCAAAUUGUAGCCAUUAAUCAUUUUACAAGUAAUAAUAUGUAGUUUUUACUGUUUACGAUUCACACAACAAUCUGCUAGGAAGUAGAAAAUGCAGUACUUGUCCCUCUCACAGAAGUCAUGAAUAAUUAUCAAAUUCAAAGAUAAAGAAAAACCACACAAUUUACAAGAGGAAAGAAAAUGAAGGGAUAAAGAAAGUAAGAAAGGAAUACCUCUAUGGGAGGACUCUUAUUUGCUUCAGAUGCCUACAAUAUUCAUCAUAUAAACACUGAUUAAGUAGUCAUCGAAAACCAAAACAAAUGUCGAACAUAGGGUGAAAAACAGAAAGAAUAACCGCAGCUCAUCAUACCAAUAGAGAUAGAACUGCCCGAUGCCCAAGUAUGACUGAAAAAUGGCAAUCCAAACAUGGCGCCUUCUAGCUCAUCAAACUGUCAAAACCUAGGUUCCACCAAAAAGAUACAAGUCACCUAGUUACUUGUAAAAUAAAAAUCUGUUUCAAAAUAGUGGAAAAUAUUAUUAACAUUGUUCAAAGUCCACAUUGUUGUACCUACCAAGAAACAAGAAGGAUUGUAUCUUAUCAUGAAAAAGAACAUAGGUACCUUUUCAAUUGUAAUUGUACAAAAAUGAGAGACCACUUCCGAACUUCUCUUGGAACUUCAAUCAAUUUCUGCCCACUUUUAAAUGCCUUGACAUACUUAAGCCUAUUUCUUUGAGCUUCAGUUUUGGCUUCUGAUGCCUUUAAAUUUCUUAAAGAUUCUUACCAAGUUUUACAAACUCACUUCUAUACAACCAUUUGUCAGUAUACAUACCAUUUUCUUUGAGCUUCAGUCUUUGCAACACCAAAACCCCCCAAAUAGACCCGGAAUUUUGCAAUGUGCAGGGAAUAUACAAAAAAAACCCUCCUAUCCAUCUAAAACGAAAUCAGAACCCAAACCACAAUCAAAAUCCGUAAAAUUAAUUUAGCCAACCCUAAAUCUAAUAAUUCUAACAAAUAUUAUAGUAUCAAUUGAGAGAGAAUUUGAGAAGAUACCUAGAGAUGAAAGGAAGAGCGUUUCCUCUGAUAGGGGUUCCGUGAAAGCAUCUGUUGACCAGAAAAGAAAAGGCAAAAAACCCCAAAUUACAUAUCAAGCAAUUAUAGAUAGAUCGAACCUUGAAAAUUGAAAUUUCAAACAAGAGAAAGGUUAUAAACUUACAACGAUCUGGGUGUUGGUUACUGGGUUUGGAUUUGGGUUUCUGAUAAGAGAGAGAAUCGUAUGAGGAACCGAUAGAGGAACUGCACCGGCAACAGAGAGCAACUGAUAUGGUGGAGAAUAGAGAUGGGCAAAAUAUCCCGGUUAUCCGCCCAUUUAAAGUUCACAGUUACGGUUAUGGUAAUUGAACGGUUAUGGGUACUACCCGUGGUUAUAACGGGUAUCUAUUGGUUAUGGGUAUUAUCCGCGGUUAUAACAGGUAUUCAUUUACCCAUUUAAUUUCAUAUAUGUAAAAUUUAUAAUAUUUUUAACAGUUAUAACGCGUUUUUGUAUUUGUUGCCAAACUUUUCGUAUACAAAAAAUUUGAAGCACAAGAAGCCAACAAGGAGAAAGAUCAAAGAGCUUACUUGAAGCUUAUGAUCUAUCCUGCGGUUAAUAGAAAGUACUGGUAUUAGUGUAGAAAAAUGUUUGUUUUUAGAAGCUUUAUUUUGUAAUCAUAUGAAUUAUAAUUAAAGACUUGCUUGGGUGUAGUAAAAAAAUAUCGUUUGUAAACUAUUAUUUCAAUUAUUAGAAUUGUAUGAUGACCUAAAUGAUUAAAAUAGAGAAAUGCAUGCUAAAAUGUAUUUAUAACAGUGUUUAAUUGUCAGAUUUUUUUUUUUUUUGUAAUUUUCAAGUUGUUAAAAAAAACAUGCAGAGAGGUGAAAAAAGGGAUUAAAAAAUGAUAAACGGGUUCAAAACGGGUAAACGGGUAAAUGAUUAUGGUUAAAUAGGUAAACGGUUAUGGGUAAAUGGGUACACGGUUAUGGGUAUGAGUAUAACCGUUUAUGCAAUUACCCAACGGGUAAACGGCUAUGUGGGUAUGAACAUAAAUGGUUAUGAGUAAAUAACCGCGGUUACCCGCCCGCUAUAACCAUUGCACAUCCCUAAUAGAGAACAUACGAGAAUAGCCGCUUGGAUGGUCAAUCCAAGAAGAGAAAAUCUUGCCACAAUCACGGUACUUGAAAAAAAAAACAAUUUUAAAGGAGGGAAACAAUCGCGCCUUUUUUUUAAUAGACUCUGUCGACGAUAUUCUUGACAAAUAGUCGGGUGAGCUUAUUUUUCACAACAUUUUAUUUAGGACUAGGUUCGGUUGGCAAAUCGUGUCAAAUUUCUUGUGCCAUUUGCCAGCCACAUAUACAUAAUUACCAAAAAUCAGUUACCGUUCGCCAACCAUCUUCUUGCGGUUGCCAAAAAUCGGUUCAACCAAAAUGAUUGGCUGGUUCGGUUGGUAAAUGGCACAACCGGUGGUUUCCACUUCUUCCUCGCUAUCUUCUAGUUGCAAGGGCUCAAUUUGAUUUUCAGAUUGGGAUGCUUGUUCGGUUGCAUUGUGUGGUUCAUUUUGGGUUAAUCCAUGUUGUGCACUAGCAAUUAAUUGGCUAGACUCCAUCAUCCUAAACAUAAGCAACACAUAUACAUUCAAAAUCAUAUAUAUGUACGUGUAUAUAUAGUAUCAGUAAUCAUCAUGUUAUCAAUUUUGUUAACAAUAUUUUCUAUAUUGAUUAUGGCAUGAAUCAUAUACAUAUACAUAUAUUUUUUAAACCCUAAAACUAAGGAGUUAUUUAUUUUCUAAGCCCUAAAAUUGAGGAGUCAAGCAUGUAAAAAAAUACUUAAAAUAUCUAAAUAGAAAAAGAAAAAAAAAAAAAAAAAUAUAUAUAUAUAUAUAUAUAUAUAUCGGUAGGUAUGGCAUACCGCCGACAUACAAAAUCAAUUACCAAAGCCAUGCCAUUAAUUGUCGGUUCGGUAAAAUGCCAACCGAUUAUGAAAAAAUGCCAAAACUAUACCAUACCAUUUUGAGCCAACCGGUAUGGUUCGGUCGGUAAAUCGGCUUAUGGCAAAAUUUCUCACCCCUAAUUUUAUUUGUCGCCUUAAACCUAUUGGUUUCUAGCCUACAAUUUGGAUAUUUUGUUGGGGAAAGAUUUUUGUACCAAUAAAAUUUUGCUUUGUCAGCUUAGGAUUUGUCGGCAAAAUGACAUUUUCUAGUCGUUAUAAUAUUAGGUAGAUCAAAUUUGUAAACUAUGUGAUGUGUCACCAAUAGGAAAAAAAUUCAGUGUGCUGAAAAUACAGUCUAGAACACCAAGUGUCAUAAUAUAUACUUGGUUGGAAAUUUUUUAUUUUCAAGUUUCCAACUAAUUGUAUUGUAACAGUUGGUGUUCCAAGCUAUUUUCUCGAUGCGUUGGAAAAUCUCUUCACCAAUUAAAAAUAAACAUAUUAAUUAACACUUAAGUAAUAAUCAAAGUAUCAACAACUACGUCAUAAAAUUUACGAAAUAUGAUCUUAAUUAAUGAUCUCCAUGGCAUUACCCUUUAUCUUAGCGUAUACGUACGCCUUCACAUGUUUAUUUGCUGAUAUGCAGCUUGAGUAAAAAUUUCUUUUUAAGAACAUAUAUGUGAAUAUAAACAUAUAUAUCUAGUGAUCCAUGUUGCGUUAUUUAAAAAUAAACAAAUUAAUUAAUUAAUAAAUGAACUGUGUGCAUGUCUGUGUAGAGUAAUCCAUAUGCAUGCUUGAAUCCUGAUCACCACGAAACCAUAAUAUAAGCUACUCAAGGCCCGGAAGCUAGGAUUGAAGAGAAAAACACCCAGUCAGAUUAAGCCAAUAUAUCAAAGUUAAUACUUCGAAAUGUAAGCUUUAAGAUAGAAAAAUCACUUACUACCUUGAGCAGUCGAGCUUCUUCAAUGGCAUGAAGCUUUUAGCAUGAGAUUGACUGCAUCACAACUAAAAUUUUCUCUUGGAAACUACAUAAGGAAUAGCAUGUAUACCUAUAACGUUGAGAAAGUACGCCAAUUUUUUCCUUCUGCACAUUCAUGUUUAAAAGUAAUCCUCAAAUGAACUUGCCCACAAUGAAAUGCAAUUUGAGGUAGUCGAGUGUGUUCCAUUUCCAUUCCAUGGGAAUUACUACUAAACUUUGAGAUGGUAAAGGAUUCAUGAAAUUUUUUACUUUUGAGAUAGCCUCUUUAACAUUUCUCGACUAUAACAAUGAGGGAAUACUUCACCUUGUAUCAAACAAGGGAGAGCGAAAAUCAACUACUAAUAGCAUCACAGAGCCAGCAGAAGAUUGAGGAGGCCAUGAAGAGGAGAGAGAAAAUACACUCUUUUUUUUUGUAAGGACAGAGAUAAUACAUUCAGUAAGGGGUACUGAUGUUUAUAUGCAAUGCUGAUUAGGUUUAAAUAGUCCUAUUUAUUCUGUACAGUGCCAAUAUUACCACCCGUUAGUACACUUUCAAGACACUGUACUCCAGUGUGUGCGCUAUGCAGUACGUAGUACUCCUCAUUUUUUGGGGAAAUUCAUUAUUGGUCUUCAUAUCUUCUUUAUUUUCCUUUUCCUCAUUGUGCCACGUGUUUAAAUCACUAAUUGUAGGUAAUCUUUCAAUUUAAUUAAAUCUUAUGUAAAAAAAGAUAUUUAAAUAUCAUUUAGUAUUACAAGAUAGUGAUAUUCCUCUUUAGUAUAAAAUUUUUAUAAUUAAAAGCGUUCAGUUUUUUAAUCUUCAUUUGAAUACUAUCUAUAAAGAAAAAUUAUUCGAAUAAGAGAUCGUUUAUGCAUUCAAAUGUACAAAAUGCAUCGACAGUGUGAGAACGAAUUAAUAUAUUUUUGAUGAAGUACAAUUAUUGAAUACAUUUGAAUGAUCAAAUGAUAUAUGAUUCAAAAUACAUAUUAAGAUAAUAAAUAUAAGUGAAUUGUUAUUAGCACUCCAAGAAUCUUAUUAUACACUCUAAAUUUUCUAUAUUUUGAAUGAAAAAUAAAUUUAUGAAGAGUGUAGAAUGAGAUUUUUUAAUGCUAAUAACACUUCUCUAAAUAUAAUUAUGAAAUUAAUAAAGUAAAGAUACAUGACCUCGUGAAUGAUGUAUGUAUUAUUCAAAAAAUUAUUAAAAACAAAUUGAAAAAGGACGCUGUUGUUGCCACCACUUAUGCAAUGAUCGUCGCUGCCAUCACCAACCCCCAACACCCCAUUACAGCUCAUAAAAGCACAUCAUAAGCAAUUUAUGAAAUAAAUUUACUGGAAUACUAAUUUCCCCCUUAGUUUAGGUCACCAAUGUUUAAAUUUAGGGGUGUGAUAUGCACAUACCUUUUUUUGCUUCUCUCACACUUUUUUUGUUGUUGUCGAAUCAGAUGAAUUGAAGAAGAUCAAUUGACAGAAAUUAACAAGGGGUGUAUGAAAAGUAAAAAUGGAUGUGUAGAUAACACAUCCCUAAAUUUAUCACAACUUUCAUUCCAAAUUUAAUUUUUAUGCGUAGUUUUGUUUGUUCAAAUUUACUUUGACAUUUCAAUUAGUAUUAAAAUCUAAUUUAAAUUUUAGCGUUCAAGCUAGAAAAAGUGUUCCAUUUAAUAUUUAAUCUCAGUUUUUCUCUUUAUUCUUUUAUUCCGAUUUGGUUGCAUCGUAUCUCCAUUUUUCUCGGUGUUGUAUGUUCAUAAGGCCUGGGAAACGUUGGCACGGAGUGAAGGGUACUCACUUUUUGGCCCAAAAUGCAUAAGGCAUGUAGAUAUGUUAAUCAAAUUUUGUAAACUAAAGGAUAUAGAAGUUGAUACUUAGAUUAUAAUUUAAGAUAAUACUAAAGAGACUAAAUUUGCAAACUAAAUGAUGUGUCACCAAUAAAAAUAAGCACGUUUAUCAACGCUUAAGUAAUAAAUCAAUCAUCAACUUUCAUGUCCUUUAGUUUCCAAAAUUUAAUAUACAAAUUUAGUCUCCCAAGCAUUACUCUAUUACUUAAGUAUUGAUUAACAGACUUAUUUCUUAUGGUGACAUAUUAUUUAAUUUACAAAUUUAGUCAACCCAACAUUACUCUUUUGAAAUUGUCUUGUCCACUGAUAUAAUUCUAUUUUUCUUGUGAUCAAAACUUCAAAUGUUAGCAAGUCGCACGUAAAGUCACUUCUGAGAGAAUGUGCUCACAUUGUAGUUGAAAGAUUAUGUGGCUAGCAACAUUACAAAUUUAAUUUGGUAUAAUUUAAAAUAUAGAUUGAGGAAAAAAUGAUCACAUUAACUAGAAACUGAAAAGGUUUCAGCACAGUUUGUUCAAGCAAGAAACUCAAUUUUGAUGCUACCGAUCUUAACAGCCUGAGCGCCGUACCUGGGCACUAAAGUCACCACCACACUCUCAUCAUCUUCAGCACCCAAAUCCUCCAACAGGUCCGUUAACCCCAACCUUAAACAACUCUUGCUCUUUUCCUUCUGCUUAUGUGGAACACUCACAAAACUCCCAGCAAACUCGCUCUUGUCGGGUCCACUCGGUGCCGCAUCCUCAUCGUCCACGUCAUUCACAUACACAUCAAACUUCACAGCCACAUCUUUGUCAAGCUCAAUCCCCUGAAUCACCAGUAUCUCCUCCUCAUCCUCUUUCUCCUUCUUGCUCCUCUUCUUCGGCUUCGGCCUUGACACCACCGUACUUAUCUUUGUCUCCAAAUUUAUUGGAAAAUCUUUACCCGCCACCACCUUCCCCGAUGACGUCGUCUCAGCGGCCUUCGCCACUCCAGCCGCCUUUGCCUUUCUCGCAAGCUUUGUCCGACGUGGCGUCGGUCUAGACUUGAGCCAUGGAAUCUCAACAUCUUCAUACGUAUACCCUAGCUUUUUAUUAUCAAGAGUGUCCCUCACCGUGACCCUAACAAGCUCAGCAUUCUCGUCAUAAAACAAAAACCCCGUAUCCAACCAAUCCUUAUCGUUAAUAUCUUUAUUUUUAGUCCCUAUACUUUUCCAAAUAUUCCACAUUCGAUCUAUAUUCGAAUGGUGCGAAAAAAAUAUUGGAUCCCUUGCAGCGGAGUAAAAAUUCCCCAUGUCUUCAAAAUUAGGUUGCGUGUUAUCUCCGGUCCAUGUAUGAACCGGACCAUGUGGGGUCGUUUCGAUUGAACCGGCCCCUGGAUCUGGUUCGGUGCCAGCCCUGUAGGGCGAACCAAAGAACAACAGCGGUUUCUUGGAGUUGGAAACCAUCUGCCUAUACAUGAUUUUGAGGUUGGCGUCGAUUUGAGCAUCCUUGGACAUUGUUUCAUCCGUGCCGUUAAAGUCAAGAUCGAUGAGAGUCGGCGGCUGAUGGCUGGCAGCGCGGAGCUCGUCGUAAAGCGGAGAGUCCGGGUUAGCGAACAAGGCAGGGAGUUGCAUGCCAGCUGGCGCGUCCCAGUUCCAAAACGGCAACGCGAACGUCGGAUCGUCUAUGAGUUUGGCCAAGAUUCUUUCGUGGAAGUAUAGGUAGUAACGAUGGAAGGGGAAGAAAAGCCAGGAUUGAUGGAUUUGGAGCUCGAGGUUGGGGAAGCCGACUUGAUCGUACGCGCCGUCGCAAUAGGCACAGUGGAUAUCGGCUUGCUGGGUGAAGCUACGCGGAUCGUCGUCCGGGAGGGCUUUCAUGAGCUCGAUGGCUUUUGAAUAUUUUUCGAUGUAGGCUUUAUCCACGGUGUGAGCUGCCGGCCUGACGCGGAGUUUGGUAGGGGAGGGGAAUUUGAAGUCUACGAUUUUUUGGGACGUUGGCGGGCAACAGUUGGUCGGGACUGCUCCACUUGGAAAGUCCGCACCUCCGCAUUUGGCUAGGUCAGGCGGCGACACUGGCUUUGCAACAGCGAAGGGGUCGCUGCCAAGACCAGCCACUCCACCGUACAGGCUUCCGAGACCUAUAAGUACAUGUCUUCUGUCUAGGUUUACUGGAGAAAGGUUUUCAUGGUCGUGAUCGUUGGAGCUAGUGGAAGGGUUUUUGUUUUGGUCACUACUAUUAUUCGUGGCUUUGCAUGAGACGGCUUGUAAAUUGGAAUGCCUAGGGUUUUCAAAUAAGGAAAUUCGGUGAUACUUUUGGGAGAAAGGGAAGAGAGAAGUUGUGGGGAUGAUACUUGUGGUGGAGGUGACGAGUGGAGCUGACAUAGAAGCCAUGGUUACUUGACUCUGAAUACUACGUUGUAUAGGCUUUGCUUUUAUAAUGUGUUCUAGGUUUUACUUUUCUUUGCACAGGUGGCAGGCCGUACACAUUGGCGGUCCUUAAGGGUUUGACGAGGAAUACUACGUAGUCAUUUAGUACAGGGCAACCAUGCACUAUAGCACGUGGCAUGUAAUAUUUACGUAGUCUCAGAAGGUGAAGCGGUUUUGGGCUUCUUGUGUACCAAUAAUAUUUACGUACUCAUUAUUCCACUGGAUGGAUUGCGUGCACGUGAUCUUUAUUCAAACAAAUCACUAUUGACCAUAUAUUGCAAUUGGUUAAUGUUAGGCAAAUUAAAUUUUUACAUCAAAUAAUGUGGUUGCUGAUUAUUGAAUUAUUAUUUAAGUUUGAUUAAUGUGCUUAUUUUUUAUCGGUAAUACAUCAUUUGAUUUGCAAAUUUGAUUUACCUAAUAUUACCAGUUAUAAUUUGUAUAAAUGGACUGGUACCUAACAUUACCAAUUGUAAUUUGUAUAAAUGGACUCGUACCUAACAUUACCGGUUGUCCCAAGAGCACACGCUACUGCUCAAGAAGCAAAGUUCUUAUUUGCCCAAAAAAAAUCAUGGUUUUUUAAUUGAUGCUCUCAUUUUAAUUUACUAGCCCCUUACUUGGCCCUUUUUAUUUAUCAUUUUAUACAUAUUAAUAUUUUGUUUGUAAAAUAUAUUAGUGUUAGUUUUAUCAAAAUUAAAAAUAAAUAAAAAACUUAGCUUUAGUAUUUAGUUAUUGAAAUUGUAAAAAAAGUGAUAAAGUAUUGGGUGCUUUGUUUGAAAAUUUUCAAAAUGAUAUUGUUUUUACCACUGAACCCCUGUUAUAUACAGUGAUGGCUAAUUUGUCAAGUUCUACGAAGUUGGGAUACCCAGCGUUUUAGCAUAUAACAUAGCUUAGUAUUUCAAGCAUAAUUAAUUAACGAAAAAUUAGUAUCCGGUCCCUAGUUUUUACUGUUCAUUGACUAAGACCUUAUUAGUUCUCAAAUUUUGAUUCAAGUCCCUAGCAUUAAUGUGAUAAUGAAUUUACAUGUUUAUUAUAUAAUUUUUUAAUAUAAAAAUUAGUAAUUAAUUUAGGGUUUAAUACUCACACCUCUAUUAAACUUCUAAUUAAUUUUCAAUUCAGACAUUUCCAAAAUAAUAAAAAAUUAAAUUAAAUUAAGUUUGUACCUAUUAGUUUUUUUUUAUAUAUAAAAAGAUUCUCAAUUUUUAAUCUUAAAUGUACAUCUUAAAUGUACCCAUUCUCAAAUAUAUCAAUUUGUUAUAUGUAAAAUGUACCCUUUUUUAAUAUAAAAUCCAUUCAAAAUUUUUAAUCCAUGUUUAAACUUAUAUGGGUACAUUCUUUUUCGUUGAUUUGAGAAUGUAUCCAUGUUUUGGUACAAUAAAUUUUUUGUUAAUUUUGGUUAAUGUACCCAUACAUAUAUGUACACACACACACACACACACACACACAAUAUAAUAGAGAGUAUAAUUUAUAUUUUAUUAUUUUUAAUCCCAUAAAUGAUGGGUUUUAUUUAAAAUCUCAUUAAUAUAAACAAUUAUAAAUUUCAAUUUUUAAUUUUUAAUUUAAAAAAUAUAGUAACUUACAUUAUUACAUUAAUGUCAGGGACCUCAAUAAAAAACUAAAAACUAACAAGGUUUCAAUCAAAGAAUAUUGAUAGCUAGGGACCACAUCCAAAGUGUCCCUUAAUUAAAGGGUAAAUUACAUAGUAACCCCUCAGGUUUGAUGUCUAUUACAACCCCAUACAACAUCUUUAAAACAUUUCACUUUCAUACCUCAAGUACUAUUUUAUUUCAAUAUAAUACAUCUGUUAGAUUUUCCAUCCAUUAAUCCGUUAAAUGCUGACAUGGAUACCACAUUUGUGCCACGUGGCUGCCAAAUGCGUGUCAUGUGGCAAAAAUAAUAAUUUUUAAAUUUAAAAAAAAAUGAAUCUUCAACCCAAAAAAAAAAAAAAAAAAAAAACCCCAAACCCAGAUCCCAUCAACCCCCCCCAAACGAUUAUCCCUUCCCCAUAUCCCCCAUCCCACCCCCCAACCCCCCCUCUGCGACCAACCUUACCAUAGCGCCCCCCAACCUCGCGACCCACCUCACUCAAGGCCCUAAUCCACACUACCUACAACCCAGAAACGAAAAAAAAAAACAAAAAACAAAAAACUCAUCUCCCUUUCCCUGCAACCCAAAUCCCAUCUUCCCUAAUGGGUAUGGAUUUAAGAAGUGGGGUGUGUAGAGGAGGGAAGAGGGUGGGUGCGGAGGAUGGGUAUGGUGGGUUGCAAGGAAGGGGGGUCGGGUAAGAUGAAGAUGGGUUUUUUUUUUCUCUCUCUCUUCUUCUUCUUCUGGGUUGCAAGUUGUAGGUUGGGGUUUUUUUUUGGGGGGGGGGGGGAGGGAGGGAGGGAAGACGACGUGGGGUUUGGUUUUUUUUUUUUAAUUUAUUUAGAAGAUUUAGGUUUUUUGAAAAAAAAAAAAAAAUUCCACGUGGCACAAAUGUGGCAGCCACGUCAGCAUUUAACAGAUUAAUAGAUGGAAAAUCUAACGGAUGUAUUAUAUUGAAAUAAAAUAGUACUUGAGGUUAGAAAGUGAAAUGUGUUGAUGCACAAAACCGAAGGUCUUUGAACAACGUAAAUCCGAUCGUGAAUAUGCAAGUAAUGUAAAUAACACAAGAUGUAUCGUGGUUCACUCCAAUGUUUGGGCUACGUCCACACUGAUUAUUGUAUUUCUCUGAGAGGUGAGGGGGAGAGCUUUGAGAAAGCUUAGAGCUUAGGGGAUGUGAGAAGGCUUAAGAAUUGGCCUCCCUUAUUUGUGAGGGUGAUGAGUCCUUUUAUAGAAUAAGGGAUCCUCACUUAUUACAUAUUUGCCCAUUCCUUUAUUACAUAAUUACAUUUAAGUCCCCUGAGUACUUGUACAAGGUCUAAAUACGGAGGCCCUAAGUAUGGUACAAACAGUAGUCCCCCAAGUCUUCAGUCAAGAGAGUCUUUUGGCUAGAGACUUGAAAUUCUGUCCAUGUGUGAGCCGAAAUAACUAGAUGUCGUCUAGAACUGAUAUUUGAUAUGCGGCAGUGCCCAUUUUGAAAUAAUGCUCAACUAGAAGUAGCACAUGCUGCGAGGCUGCUCUGCUUGUGUUGCCUUGGUUGGCUCGACUUGUGGCGUUGAAGGUGAGAGAGUCCCUUUUAUAGAAUAAGGGCUCGCUCCUCAUUACAAAGAUGAUGGGUUAGUUGGUGCUUGCGGUGAGGCGGAUGCUCAGCUGGCGGCGAUGCUCUCUAAUGAUAGUGAGGGAGUCCAUUUUAUAGAAUAAGGGAUCGCUCCUCAAUACAUAAAUAAUAGGUGCUCUCUAAUGAAAGUAAGGGAGUCCCUUUUAUAGAAUAAGGGCUCACUCUUCAAUACAUAAAUAAUGGGCUAAGUCCCCUAAGUAUUUUUUAUGAGGCCUAAUUGAGGCCCAAUAUAUGGUACAUAAUGUAGUCCCCCAAGUCUUCGGUCAAUAGAGUCUGUUGGCUGGAGACUUCAAAUUGAAUCCAUGUAUGGGCCGAAGUGGCGGUUGUUCGGAAGCGGUAUUUGUAUACCCUGCACUGAAGCUUUAUAGGUGAAGCUUUGCAAGUGAAGCUUUGAAGCUGGAGCUCAGUAAAUGAAGCUUUUGAAGCUAGAGCUUUUGUAAAUGAAACUUUUGAAGCUGGAGCUCUAUAAAGGAAGCUUUUGUAAAUGAAGCUUUUGAAGCUGAUUCACAUGAGUGAUGCUCAUGAAUGUUUAUGUUGAUUGAUAUGAGUGAUGCUUAUGGAUGUUGACAUGAGUGAUGCUCAUGGAUGUUGACGUGAUGCUCAUGAAUGUUAACAUGAGUGAUGCUCAUGAAUGUUUAUGUAUGAUUGAUAUGAGUAAUGUUCAUGAAUGUUUAUGUAUGAUUGACAUGAGUAAUGCUCAUGUAUAAUUUGAAGUACUGGGCAUACUUUUGAUUACCUGGUUGGCGAUAAUAGCGGCAGGGUGCCGAAUAAUUUUUUGUAGUACUGGGCGUACUUUUGGUCACCUGGUUGGUGAUAAUAGCAGCAGGGUGCCGAAUAAUUUUUUGUAAUACUGGUCGUCCUUUUGGUCACCUGGUUGGUGCUAUUUUGAGCUUAUGGGCCUUCGCCCUCUACACAACAUUCCAGCCUAUUUAUUUUGGGCUUUACCGUUUUUUUUAAUUACCCUAUGAUGGGGUUUAUACAGAUGUCUCCGAAAGAUAUGAAAAAUAAAUUACAUCAUUCAAAAAUAAAUCCGACCCUCUGCUCAAUGGGUCACGCCAAUAAUUCUUUUUUUUUAUGCAUGCCAUCACCACCGCAAUUAUGUCUGCUUCUUUUUAUCUUCUUUUGCUUUCUGCUUUUGCUUUUACUUUAUCUUUCUCUUUUGGCAUAUGGCAGACAACGCCAAAACGGAAUAAUGAAUUAUUAUGAGAACAUGAAUCUUAUCUUUUGCCUGGUUUUCCACUAGUGCUCGUGGUAUUCUCAGGAGAUUGGAUCUGGGGGUAGGCGACUACCCCAGCACCUUGCCCUGAUACGUAAUAGCCUGAUGUCCCACUGCCAUCUCCAUACUGGAAGGUGUACGAACAAUGGUUAUUCUGUGUGGAACAAAUAGAAUCCGAUUGAGAUUCAAGACUGCACCUUCGAUCUGAGCAAGAAAUGAAUUGUGACGUUGAUGAACUUCUAGGAGGAGAAGCAGAGGAUCUUUGACUAUGAUGAUCUUUGAAUUCCAGAUGAAACUGAAUAAAAUGCAGGUUGUGGAGCUUGAUGUGGGCCCAGAUCUGCUUGACAGCUUUGGGGCGGGAGGAUUCCUUGACACUGAGGAAGAUUCCCAGAGCUGGAGGGAUGAGAAUCGACUUCAUAAUCCCGAUGGUGGGUUUGUGCUUGGUCGAAAGAUCAUUUCUGGCAGGGGAAAACAUGUACCAUACCUAUUGCAAAUCUUGCAAAUUCUCUGCUUCUCCAUGGAAGAUGAAGAGCAUCGAAUCUCUGUUUUCUCUCUCUCUCUCUAAAACGUUUUCGUUAUAGAGUGCCCCAAUAGAAGUGGACGGGCAGUGAGCAUGCCAUUUAGUGCCUCCUCCAAGACAGUAACUGAUACGGUGGUCUUUAUUGGCACUCCAAGUUUACUAAAAAGGGCAGCAAAAAUAGUAUUUACAGCACCCAAACUUGAAAGAUCUAGCUCCAACUAGUGGCUUUCUGUUUCAACAGCCUGAAAGCCGGCAGUGUCAUACCGACGCCGUUUGUCUGGAUCAAAUAAUAUAUUAUAAGAAAACAUGACCUUCUUGAAGAUAUCAGCUGUUUUAGAGUCAUUAGCAUUUUUGUCAGGAUGGUACUUGAGAGCCAUUUUCCGGUAAGCACUUUUGAUUUCCUGGUUGGUGGAAUUCCUAUUGAGGCCGAGGACCGCAUAAGGGUUUUGUCGGAGCUGCUUCUUAGCUUCUUGCUUCUCCGAUUUUGAUCGGCUGCCCUGCAUUUUUGAAAUUGACGGUCAAUUUCUUCACAAAACCCUAGAAAUUGCCUCUCGAUUACCUCCGAAACACAUAAUUCACGACUCUUGGUUGAAAUUUUUUUUUUUCAUUUCAAAGAAGUGGCGGAGGUAAAUCAGUUGUCACAUAGCACCGGAGCAUGAGGAAAACCUAGAAAACCAAGAGGCAGAGAGACUCCAUGCACAUCUAACCUGGAACCUUGCAGGAGAGAGCAGAGAGAAAGAGACAAGAAAGAUUGAGGGAGAAGCGAUCUUGGUGCAUCGUCUGUGAUUCCUUGGUGAUUUGCUCGAUCGGGACUCUGAAUUCGUGCAAGUCAUUGCUGUUAAGCAAGAAUCGCGAGGAGUCGGAGAGCUUGGAAAUCGAGAAGGAGAGAGGGCCUUUAGUCAGGGCUUGGAGGGUGUCGGACUCCGUCGGCCAAGAUUGGUGCACGGUCACGGCGUCUGGGCCCAUGGCGGUUGUGUAAAUGGGGGAGGUUCUAGGAGUCCAAGAAAGAAGAAGAAGCAGCGACCAUAGAUCUGGGAGUCCAUGGCGCUUGAAAGAUACGGCGAACAAGUCGGACUUGCUGCUGGGCAGCUGGCGGUGAUAAUGUUGGUGCAUGGGUUUUGGAGUGGGAGUGUUUGGAAUGGGUUUUUUGUUUAGUUUCUAUGUGUUUUUUCACAGAGAGAGAGAGAGAGAAGUGAUGGUGUUUAAGGGAUGAGUUUUGGAGCUUAGUGAAUGCUUUUUCUGGAAAAGCCCAGUGAGGUUUGUGGGUUUUUGCAGAUUUUGCAGAUUCGCGGUGGAGGUGAAAGAAUGAAAGAGAACCGACACAACUUUUCGUAUUGAUUCCCACAUACGGCGCCAAAUGUUGAUGCACAAAACCGGAGGUCUUGGAACAACGCAAAUCCGACCGUGAAUCUGCAAGUAAUGUAAAUAACACAAGAUGUAUCGUGGUUCACCCCAAUGUUUAGGCUAUGUCCACACUGAUUAUUGUAUUUCUCUGAGAGGUGAGGGAGAGCUUUGAGAGAGCUUAGAGCUUAGGGGAUGUGAGAAGGCUUAGGAAUUGGCCUCCCUUAUUUGUGAGGGUGAGAAGUCCUUUUAUAGAAUAAGGGUUCCUCACUUAUUACAUAUUUGCCCAUUCCUUUAUUACAUAAUUACAUUUAAGUCCCCCGAGUAUUUGUACGAGGUCUAAAUACGGAGGCCCUAAGUAUGGUACAAACAAAAUGUUUUAAAGAUGUUGUAUGGGGUUGUAAUAGACCUCAAACUUGAGGGGUUACUAUGUAAUUUACCCUUAAUUAAAAUAAGGGCAAAUGAAGAGGAUGGUUGAACUUGUUAAGUUUCUUAAGUGUGUCUAAUUUAAGUGUGUUGUUAAUAAACAUUUAUUAUGGAGGCAAAGAGAGGGAAGGUGCGGCAUAGAAAGAGAAGAGAGAGAUAUGUAAUUGUGAGUUGUGUUUUAUUCCAUCCCAUUGUGCAUUUAUUUAUAUUAGUUGGGAAAGUUAAUUCUUUAACCUUUUAGGAUUACAACUCUAAUAGGAAAAUAUAUAAUCUAAAAGAUAUGGUAGAAUCCCAUAAGAAUAUCCUAGAUAUGUUAGGAUUUACACAAUCAUAUUCCUAUUCCAAUAGGACUGCAAAACAUUUGUAUUUUUUUAUAAUUUUUUUGAUAAUUUGUUGGCAUUUUCAAUUUUUGUUAACAUUGAAAAUAUAACGGUUCAGAUGAAAAACCUUUGGAAAUCCAACAUUGAAAAUAUAACAGUUUGACGUUGGGCUGUGGUGAAGGAGGCUGGGCUGUCACGUGGGUGGGGCCCUCCCUCUCCCACUUGGUGAUUCAAAGGGCGCAGGCCCGUGCAACAAUUGAGGCAGCCCAUAGAGAUCCUGCGUUUCACCCAUUUGCCAUUUUUUCCACCGCUGGAGCACCAAAAUUCGGUCCAAAGGCAGGGGUUCCAAUUGCAUGGGCAAUUUGGUUUCCGCUGGAGGUGCUCUUUGUCGACUUUGUUUAUUCUUUCUUUUUAGCUUUGCAGUAAUAUUGAAGUAAUCACUCCAAUUGUAUCCGAACUUUUGUUGUCCAUCAAUUUGUAUCAAAACUAUUGGUUAAUUUACAUAUUCAGACUAACCUUCUCAUUAUUUUUAGUAUUUUUAUCAUAAAUAAUAUCUAAAAUAAUCACAUUUUAUUCAACAACCACUCAAUUAAAAAUUAAUUAAUGUUGUUUCUAAACCAUUACAUCGAGCUUUUGUAAAUACACAUCAAUAUUGCAGCGAUCCGAGGCAUUGUUUUCUACGCCUUGGAUUUGGCGAAUUGGAAAAGAGAAGAGUUACGAGUAAAAGUCCCUCACAUUAAGAGGGCUCCUCCUCGGGGAGAUGAAGAUGAUGAUCUUUUGUUUUUGUUUCUUAAUGAUUAAUCCACGCAGCAACAUAUAAUUAGAUUGUUGGGAUCUACUCAAGUUCCAUAUCACGCACUAAUAUAAAGUUUGACAAACGAAACGAAAUAUGUGCUCUCGAAAGCAAAAUGAGGGCACUGCUCCAAGAACAGGAAGGGCUCCUUGUCGAGGUUGCCAUCCGCCAUGAGGGAAAACCGGAAGAAGUUAGACAACAAUGAUGACAUCGAUUUGCAACACCCAUAUUGGGACAUCAAACUGUGAAAUAAAUACUCAAAACUCCUGGAAAGUCCUCGGGACAACAAACUUUUAUCUCCUUCAAAUAUUUCAUUUUACCAAGUUUUAUGUUUGAAGGGAGGGAAAAAAAGAGAUGAGAGAAUCCUACUCCUUAUUCUUGAAUAUAUUCAGGAAUAACUAUUGAAUAAAGAGAGAAUGGAAGGGGAUCGAAAGAGGAGGGAAGAUAAUUCUAGUCCCAAACAUAAAAAGGACCACAACUUUUAAAUUAUCAGCACGAUCAUCAUCUGAUUGAAGAGACCAUUCAUUGUGAAACAUAUCGUCAAUCAAUAUGUCUAUAUCUAUUUAUAUACCACAUUUUUGGAGUAGGAUUCUCCCCCCUCCUAUUACCAUCCCCUUCCAUCCCCUUCCAUCCCCUCCUUUCAUACUUUUUUUUUUCUUAUUCUCUAUAUAAAAAAUUCAAAACAAGAUGUAGAUGUGUCGUAAUCGCAAUAGUUUAAAUAAAAGGAGAUGGAAGGAGAGAUAAAUUACGAGGGGAGAGAAUCUUACUCCCACAUUUUUCUUCUUCAUAAACAAAAGAGAGGUUCUAGAUUACUUGACUCUAUGCCUCAUUUUUUUCAUCAAGUAUUUGUGCUAAACGGGUUCAGUUUCAAGUAUUUUAGUUUUUUGUCAAAAUUGAGAAAACUGAAAAUCAAACAUUAAUAUGCAAAAUUAAAAAAUCAACACAUAAUUAUUUAGAAAUCGCAAUAGAAAAGAAAAAAUGGAGGUUUGUGAUGAAAAAUCUUUUAUACUAAGUAAUUUAGUAUCCUUAUGCAUGAAGAUAAUCAAUUCGUUCGUUAUGGUCAGACUCUUUUUGAAUUUUUGAACACAUUCUCCAUAGGGCCUUCUUAUUUGUUCCUUCUCCGAGUUGGGGUUAUGGAAGAAGUAAAAGAAGGAACCAAGAAGAAAGUAUUGGCAACAACCGAUUUCGUUACGGGACAACUCUUGAUAUUCAUAUCGAUCUAUUAUGUACCUUUGCAUCUAGCAUUAGACAAUAACUGUCAUAGCUUUACCAUAUUUUUUUGUUUCAUUUCUUCUGAAACAAUAACACACACUUUUUUAUUAUGUGUCUAAUACUAGGAAUUCAAUACAUAAUCUUAGCAUUCAAUAGUUAUUCCUGAAUAAUUUCAUUUUUCAAUUGAUCAACCAUUUCAUUUUUCCAAGUUCAAUCAAUGUUAGUCACAUUAGUCAACAUUUAUAUAUUUUGAUGCAACAACAAUAUGUUAUUUGUAACAAGUGAUUUUGCUAGUUGGUUAAUUGGUCACAAGUUAAUGUUCGGUUCAGUUCAGCUUUUCUCUCGAUUUUUUGCGAUUCGGUUUUUUCGAUUCUCUUUAGAUUCGGUUCGAUUUUGUUUUUUUAUUUAUACUUAAUUUUUUUUAAUCUGAAAACACCAAGAACAACACAAGCAUACUCAAUCAAACAACUAUCCUUCUCCACAAAUCACAGUAAUAAUUACAUUCAUUUAGCUAAAAUGCAAAUAACUAACAAACUCACAAAAAUCGAAUAAAAACUACAAAUUGCUUACUCUUUUUCUUUGGGUUUCACUCGAAAAGUGUCGGUAAAAUUUAGGGUUUGCAAGAACGCAACCGAAAUCCAAAACGGAGGCUCUGUGGCUUGUGGGCUGCUAUUGAGUUCCAGUACGGAAAACCUUGCUUACUCUCUAUCACGGUACAAAGUAUCAGUACCUUUAGCACUGUAUUUGGUAGAACCAAAUUAAAAGCUAACAUCAAUAACAACUACCAGAGACAUAAGCUCUUAUCAAUGCUUUGGAAACAGUCAUGUAUCUCCAAGUGUAAUGAUAUAAUUAGUAAGAAAUUUAAAAGAAAAAUGGUGAUUUCAUAUAAAAUCAAUAAAAAGUUACAAUAUUGACAAUAUAUCAACAAUUUUUAUGGGGUAAAUUACAUAGGACCCCCUCAGGUUUGAGGUCUAUUACAACCCCAUACAACAUCUUUAAAAUAUUUCACUUUCAUACCUCACCUACUAUUUUAUUUCAAUAUAGUACCUCCAUUACAUUUUCCAUCAAUUGAUCCAUUAAGAGCUGAAUUGGUUGCCACAUUUGACACGCCCCGAUCCCGAUAUCCUCGGGAUAUCAGGAUGGUCACGUGCUGGCCGACACCCGAGGGUGACGAAAGCCAUUUAUUGAGUGCAAUUGCUGAAAAUAAAGGAUAGAUAAAACUUAUAAAUGUAAAAGAAUAAGGAAUAUGCAUUUAAGGAACGUGUUCAGAGCAUACAACUAACUAGAACACUAAAAGAAUGAUAUAAAAUGGAAUGAAUAAAAGAAUGAGUCUUACACCAAGAGGACUCGAAGAUGCCGAUGCGGAAGUACCUUGAUUGUCGGGAUUGUACGCCUCGAUCCUAAAUCCUGAAGGGGGCGCAAAACAAACAUGAGUGGACCAAGUUGAUAUAUAUAUAAUAAAACAGUUAUCAAUAUACUAACCCCCAGGUUUAUGAAAACAAAUAUAUAAUGAUGAACAUAGGUUUUCCGAAACCUAGCAUGAUGUGCAGUAUCUCAAAUCAUAACUCAUAUAUAAUAAUCACUAGUGAAUUGUCCGAUAACCUGCAGGCCCCAUGCCGGCUCCCCGUCUCUGAGCAGACAGUCAGAGGAAAAUACACUUCAGGCCCCAUGCCGGCUCCCCGUCCCUGUGCUAAAUAGCCAGAGGAAACACACUCCAGGCCCUAUGCCAACACCAAACCGUCGCCCGGGACGGACCGGAAUCUAUUCCUACGUCCCGUAGCGGAAAUGACCACUAGGUAAGUACAAAACCAUUGAACAUACAUAUAUUGAAAAACAACUUCAUAGUAUAAAGUCAUCCAUCAUCUAUACUAUAAAGAGGUGUUCGAAACAUGUUCUAAAUAUCAUAUCGUCAUCCAUCAGAUAUUCUAUAAGAACACGGGUUAUAGGAAAAAUAGUAAUAAUUCAAGGUAGCCUCAGUAAGCAUGUUAUCUCAAAACGUUUCAUAAAACGUAAUCAUUAAAUCAUGCAUUUCAUGUAUGCAUUUCUACUAUUAAAACAUGCUUUUGAAGGGGUCCACUCACAGUACUUAGCCGCCGAAGAGCCACGCAAACUAACGUCACCAAUAUUGCCCCUAAGCACAUAAAUGGUCCAAUUAAUAAAACUAUAUAAUAGCAAUUGGAUUUGGGAAAACGGACGUUGGAAACGGAUUCAGAACGUCGAAUUACCCUAAGAAGGGUCCCGGACGAAAACCCGAAAAGUCAACUCUAAAGUCAAUGUUGACCGGAGGUCAACGGUCAAAUUAGGUCUAACGGGUUUUAGGCUUGAAAUCCGGAUUAGGGUUUAGGUUAAAUAGGAUUAGGAUUUAUUGGGUUUUGGAAUUCUAAGGUUUUUGGGUUAAAAGGGUUUAGGGUGAAAAUGGGUGGUUUGGGCUUAAUCCCAAACUCACACACAACACACACACACACUACACAAACCCUAAAACACACACACACACACGGGCUGCACUAGGGCAGCCCUCACAACACUUCACAAAGGCCCUAAGGCCUUAUUAAAGGACAGGGCUUUAAGCCCUUUAAAGGAUACUGGCCCAAGGCCCGUCAAAAUAAGGCCCGAGGCCUUUGGGUUUUAAAAAGAACAAGAACAAAUUUAAAAGAAAAGGGGCUGGGGUCUACUGGGCUAAGAUAUAACGGGCUUAAGGCCCGUGGGGUUUUCUAAAGGGCCUGAGAGGCCUGGGUUUGUCGAAGGAGAAGGCCGGAAUUUCGGCCGGAAAACCACCCAACUUUAAAUGGCCAUAACUUUGUCAAUACUCAACGAAAUCAAGCAAGACAAAAAUGAAAGUUGUAGCCCUUGAAGCGACGAAGAGAAUGGUUCCUCACACGACGUCUAACUCGCCGUGGUUUGGCCGGAAAAUGCCUCGAAAUCCGUCGGACUCGCCGGAAACUGGGUAAGAUUCAAAUGAGUAUAACUUCUUCAAUACUCAACGAAAUUAAGUGAAACAAAAAGGAAAGUUGUAUUACUCGACGAGACGAAGAGAUUGAUACCUUACACGCCGGCCAACUCGCUGUGGUUUGGCCGGAAAUGGCCUCGAAAGGGGCGGUGCUCGCCGGAGCUUACUCCGUGCCGUCGAACUCGCAGGGUAGGGUCCGGGGUUCGUUGCAAGCCUCUCUUCGAUGGUGACUCGGUCCUAGUGAGUCCAGGGGAAGAGAGAGAUGCGAAAGGUUGAGGGAGAGAGAGACGGGAGAGCUGAGAAAGAGAGAGCUACGGGAGGGAGAAACGAAGAAGAAGAAGAGAGAGAUCAGAAAACAUAAAAAAAAUAAACAAGGUGGGCCCCACGGGCUCACCAAUUAAGGCUUUAAAACAAUUUUAAAAUAUAAAAGAGGGUUGGGGUGUUUCAACAUUUGUACCACGUGGCAAAAAAAAAACCUAAAUCUUCUAUACAAAAAAACUAAAAAAACCAAAAAAAGCAAAAUCGAACACUCCACCCCGCAAAAAUCCUAGCAUCUUCCUUUUAUUCCCCACAACCCCAAAUUCCCCCCCAAAACCCCUAAAACCCAAACCCUAAUUCCUCCCCCACAUGAAGAAAAUCCCAGUCCAAUUCAAUCCCAAUUACCUCAAAUCCCACCAUAGAAACCCUAAAUUUUGGUUCCUCAAUCCCUAGAUUUCCCACGCCUCUGUUGCCUACACCUUAUCAAUCUUUAGCUUUCUCCCUCAUCCCCUCCAUGAACGACACUUUCUCUCAUCCGCUGUUCCCCAGCAACGGCACCGAUACCUACGAGGCCUGGUACGGCAACAUCCAGUACCUUCUCAACAUCUCCGCCAUCGGCUCAUUCUUAUGUGUCUUCUUUUUCACCUUGGUCAAGCUUUGAAGCGAUCGCCGCCGCAUGCCCGGCUCGUCCUCCCUCGUUGCUAAGCUCUUCGCAGUGUGGUAUGCUACCUGUCGAGAGAUUAUGCUCCCAUGUGGCGCUGAGGCCAUAAUACUCACGCACCCAUCUACACACCCACACCACCACUACCGUGGACUCUCUCUCACUCUCCCUCGUCUUUGUAGAGCUAGGUGAAGCCUAGAAACCGAGAACUAGCUCCAGCAAACCCCGUGAGUUUCGAGCCAGAUCCCUGCCGACUCCGACCAUCCCAUGACCAAUCUAAGGUACAAAACAUUUCCCCUUGACUCUAUGCUCUUUUUCGUAUGUAGAUCGUAGGGAAAAGCCCACAGAAUGAGAGAGAAUAGUGACCUGAGAGAGUCCACGGUGAUGGUGGUGUGUAGAUGAGUGCGUGCGUGGGUGUACUGUCGGGGAUAGAGUCUGAGAGAGAUAGAGAGUGAAAGAGUCUGAGAGAAGAGUGACUUGCGAGAGUGAGAGAUUCGAGAGAGACUCGGGAAAAGAUUUAUGGGUUUGGGUUUUUCUGGUUUUUUAUUUUUAUAAUAAUAGGGUUAAUAUUAUAAUAUUUUUAAUGUAUAAAAAUUUCUUUUUUGCCACGUGGCAGCCACAUCAGCACAAAUGUGGUAGUUGUAGAUGCAAAUUUCUUCCUCUUGAUCUUGGACAAUUUUGCACCUACAAAACAAUUAACACCUUAGGUUAAGGCCAAAAGCCUCACACACCCACAAUGAAUGGGGGGCUUUGGCCGAAGAACCUCUGUUGCCAAAGUUAGAAUUUAGAGAGAAAGAGUCUUUACAGAAUUUUGGGAUUUUUGCCAAAGUGUUGGAAUGGCUUUCUGGUGAGAACGGGAUCACUUUUAUAAGGAUAGGAAGUGGUCGGCCUAGCUAGGGUUUUUGGGUUUAAUUUAGGUUUAAUUCUUCAAUUUAUUUGGCUAAUUAAACCCUAAAGAAUAAAUUGGUGGUUACAAAAUUGAUUAUUUGUAUAAAUGGGGUAAUAAAAUGGAGAAAAGUGAAAAAGGUUAGGAAAAGGGAGGUAGCUAGCUUCUUAGUAGUUUUAGGUGUGAGUGGGUGUUUUAAUUGAUAAUUAAGGGAUUGAUUAGGUAAUUAAUCCCUUAAUUAAACAAUUUUUAGGGAAUAUGAAAGGAAAUUAUUAUUUAGCUAAUUGAUUAGCUAAAUAAUGGAAUACAAAAUAUAUAGAAUAAAUUAGGCUUUAGGUAUUACCUUAUAGAAAUGAUUUGAUGAAAUAGGCUUUAAAUUGUUAACUAUUUUGGGCACUUUUGACUUGGUUGAGGAUGAUUGUCUGCCGCUCGCACGUAGGAAUCUCGAUAUGCCUUAAGGGUAUUUUUGUCCUCUUUUACCCAAAAAUCCACGUGUCGCCUUGUGAUUAUUUUUGGCUCCACAAAUGCCCCCACACCUGUUGGGCUGCUCGCAGAAAAUGGCAGCAGGUGUAGAGAUCAUCUUGCUUUAGGAAACGUAGGACUACUUCCUCUUUAGAUGUAGAUUCUCUCUUUAAUAGGAAAUUAGGUUCUUCUAGGAAAGGGAAAUAAAUUUCUGUUAAAGCCUAUUUAAGUCUACCUUAAGUGGGUUAUUAAAUCAACUUUGGAGAGCGAUUUCUUAUACCCUACAAGAGAGAGGGAGCUUAGAGAAUAUUUGUUCCCCCUCUUCUAGCAAUCUUCUACAUCUUUCCCGUGCAAAGGAUCGUCUUUCGUUGAUUUCUUCGUCUUCUCCGUGCCGCACCGAUGUAAGAAAAAUUUAAUUUUUUGCUUAUCUUCUUCUUGGAUAGUACUAUUACAGGGCAACCGUUAAGGUAGUGCGGCACGUCUACUGGCAGGGGCUAGGAGUUGGCUCGGCAUCGGUCGAUGAGGCAUUAUGGCAGGGGCCACUGCUUAGGCUGUUUGGCUUGGCUAGAGCCAAUGGCAGCUUGUGCGGCUGGGGUCGCGGAUUGUGGCGUUGGGGCGCAAUGCUAGGCGAGCCACAUGGUUAAUGUCCUUUAGGCUCUUAGACCUUACUCGGGCCAGGCUAGCGACUGAAAGAAAUGAGGAGGUCGUGGGCCUCAUGGGUUGUUGGAAUGUUGGGCAUGCAGGCCUCCUGUCUGCUAGAAUGCUAGGUUGAGCUCCUCUGCUGAGUACCGUGAAUGGCGUUGGCUGCUUAGUUCUUUUUACAGAGAGAAAGGUGGGCUGCUCCCGAAAGAGGAAGUAAAGAGGAUCAAGGUGGAUGCAUUGGCUCGUCUAAUCGCUGUCGUGGAACCUCCUAUGAAUGAAGAUGGAAAUAAGAGAUCUUCCCUGCCUACUCAAGAGAUGCCGAUCGAGAAAAAUUGAAGACUUUCUCCACUGCUGCUCAUGAUGAUUUGUCUGCUGUCGAUAGGCCUGUGAUUGGCAUGACUUCUUCCAAUGGGAAGAAAAAUGAGGCUGCUAGAUCUGAUCAUGUGGUGCCUUCCAUGUUGAGAAUUGCUAGUACAAUUGUUGAUAAGAUUGCUUAGCGCAAAGGUUUUAUCAUGCCCCCAGUACCGAAGUCUGUACCAGGACUUUCGUUUGGAGCAAAGUCUGGUUCACCUUUGGAGAUACUUGCUAUUAUGAAAAGUGGUAAGGUGGACUCUGCUGCUAAAGUGGCGUCAAGGCCCACUCCCUUUGUUGCUGAGACUGAUUCGCCUGCUAGGAAGGAAGAUACUACUUGUAUGGGCAGCUGUGAGAAAUCCACUAAACUUGCUUCUGGGGAGGCUGCUGAGAUCAUUGUGCUUUUGAAACUAUAUCUGCUUGAAGACAUGGACGCUUGUGCCAAGUUUGUUGAUGGCGGUAGAAAGGUUGUUUACCUAAGUUCCUUUGCGAAACAUACGACCCAAUAUAAAAUGACUGCUCUGCUUACUAGGAUGCAUAAAUAGCAAGGUUGUCAAGGAGGUGGCGAAGAUUAUGGCAGCUAAAGCUUAUUCCUCAGUCGAGGAGAUCAAAAGGUUGAAUUAUGAGCUUGUUGCUUUGAAAGAAAUGGAAGAACUGCAACACGUUCGUGUUAGUCUGUUUGAGAAGAAUGAGCAGCUAAACGGUAAGAAUGAUGGGCUUGAGGUUUCUCUAUUUUUCCGGAAGACUUGCUUACUUUUACUUUUGAGGCUUCCAUUGGUGAAGUAGUUGGAGACGUUAGUGCCCAGGCUUAGGCAACCGGGGGUGAAGCACCGGAUGAUGCCGCUGCUAAGAACGUUACGGCUGCUGAAGGUGUGGAGACCAAGUAGUCGUGGGAUGUCCAAGCUGCUGUAGUGUAGUAUUUUAGGUAGCUUUUAUGAUUUUCUUUGUUUUUCCUUGUAGCUCUUGUUUUGCUUGAACUUCUUCGGCCUUUGCUAGUUGUAUAAACAUGUUUUCCUUCGCUUUUCUUCAUCUUCGCUUCUUUUGUUCAUGCCCUAACCUUUAGACUUGAUAGACCAAUGGCAGGCAUGCUACUUUUUUAUAAGCAGACAAGCUCGCGUAGCCUAUGCAGCCGUAAAUGUUGGUGUAGAACUUUGCAAAGUUGUUAGCCAUUAGGUUGGUAACCAGAUACCUUACUUACAGAAGUAGACAAGUCCGCAUAACCACUAGGCUAUUAACCUUGACUUUCUCCAAUUCUGUAGGUUGCGUAGCAAGUAUCACAACACUUUAGGAAUUGGUAUAGGUUGCUCCGCACUUGGCAGAGGUGAAGCCUAUCGACUACGUAGCAUGUCGGCAGUGGAUAAAACUUCCAUAUAUGCGCGCUAGCUUGUUUAACCUUUCACAAGAAUGUGCGGUUGUAUAAGUCUAGCACGGUUUUACUGCUUGAAGGGCAAGCCGUAGGCAGUCUUCCGGAAUCCGUAGGCUACCUUAAUGUACUCGGUAGCAGCUUUAGGGUUCCAGGGCAGCCGUCUAUAGAGCGUACUGCGUAAUGUGCCCCAUCCGUCUCUAGCUCCCGGUUCCCCACAGAUUAGACCAAGAGACCCAAAAUCCUUCAGUUAGUUAAGCCUUGAAAAAGACCAUUGUGGCUACUUCUAGGAAUCCCGGCUCAAGCCAUCGUACAUCUAGUUAUACUAGGGUAGCCAGGCUCAUCAGCGUCUGGAUAUUCGGAGUGUAAAGUUUAUCCUCCCGUCUUAGAGAGCUGACCCAUAUGAGUGUCGGGGAAUUGGUUUACCCUCUCACACUAGAGAGUAAUUAAUUUACCCUCUCGCACUGGAGAGCAAUUAGUUUACCCUCUCGCACUGGAGAGCAUGGUUGGUCCAUCGGGGGGCGCAAUUCCUGCGAUGAGUCCCUAAGAAGGGCGCAGUCUUCUUUUGAAGUGCAGGAAUGAUUAGUUGUUAUAAGCAUGUGAUCGAGUCAAGUUGUGAUUACUUCUAAAUUCCUCAUUGAAAAACGAGUGAAACGAACGAGAACUUAGCCGUAAGGUAGGAACUGCAUAACAACUGGAUAGUCCUCAACUUGUGUGGUGGUACCCAUCGAGCUUCUUGAGUCUUCGGGCUUUGAUGUAGUGGGAGGUUACACAUGGCACCUUUUCAGAUUGUAGGCGCUCUACUGCUUUUCGAACUUUUUUUUUGUUGUGUAAUUGCUCUUGCUGCCUACUCGGCUAAUCUUAUACAGACUUUCUCGGAUGAGAUUCAUCUUUUUGGAGCUUCUCUGCUGGCAGUGAUGAAGGCUUUUCUUAGGACUAGAUCUCUGGGCUGGAACUGCCAGAUUUUGGCCUUUUUGUUGUGGCUGGAAAAGAACCACUGCUGGUAAGUUGUAAUGCAGAUGAUAGUCUGCUCGCACUUCUCCUCUGCCAAAUUUAAGCUUGUGGCCAUCUCCUUUCGGUUGCUCGUCUUUUGGUGUUGCGAUGUGCCCAUAGACAUCCAGGGAGUUUGUCUGGCCAUUUUCUUUUCUUAUUGGUAGGGGAUUUCUUGUGGCAGUCGAGGAUCAUCUUAGUGGAUGUUUUGGCCAGCCUAUUGCCUUGAGGAUAUCUUGGCGUAGACAUGUGCUGCUUGAUGCCAUAUUUUUAGAAGAAUUUCGCCAAAUCUUUGCCCACGAAUUACGGGCCGUUGUUGGUGACGAUGGAUUAAGGUAUGCCAAAUCGGCAAAUGAUGCUCUUUCAUAUGAAGCGCUCUAUGUCCGUUUGAAUUGUGAUCGUCAUGGGCUCUGCUUCUACCUAUUUGGUGAAAUAGUUGGUUGCCACGAUCAUCAUGCAUUUGCCCUUAGUAGUCUGGCUGGUGAUUAGCUGGGAAUCAGAAUGAAUUGAAAGCUUUUUCACCACCAAGUCUUUUGUCACUCGAAGGCCUGCUAGUGGGGCUUUGUACUCUGCUUCGUUGUUAGGUGCUUUGACGCUUAGAGUGAUCGCUUACUCGAGCAUUGAACCGUCUGGGGUGGCAAGAACCACGGUUACUUAUAAGCCUUUGUAGUUGGAUGCGCCGUCGACAUGCAAAUGCCAGAAAUUUCCAUUGAGGGAGUAGGUAUGGCUAAAGUGUGCUCGGCUACCUUCGAAGCGUCGUUGGGCCGCUUUGUUACAUUGUCAAGGCUAGGUUUGAAGGCGCGGUAGAGAGUCGUGGAGCUGGGGCCAUGUUACAUGUAGCAGGAGAUGCUCAACUUCCGGUAUUAGGCCACUCUAGAGCUGAAUAAUGGAGCAAAGGUCGGCUAGGGUCGUAUGACGCGCAGCAGAAGGUAGUGCUCGACUGCUAGUACAUGUUGCUCUUACGUAGAAUCUUCUGAGGCGACGAGGACAAAACUUGCUUUUAAGUGUUCCUUCUAGUGUUCGUCUGCCCUUGGCGUGUCUUUUGGGCUGAGUUGUUGCGUUCGUCAGAAAACUUUGCAUCUGCCAGGGUUUACGUCUUUAUCAUCACGGGUUUGGAUUAGGCGGAAUAGUGCGUCAUGAUGAUGACUGCGUACAUUUGAAGGUAAAACUUAAGCUUUUGGGUUACAACAACUAUCACCAAAGUUAGCUUUUGAAUUUUUAAUAGCAUCGAGGAGAGCUUUUGAACUAUAAAAUACAUGUAGUUGGGCCCCCAACUCUUCUCGCAUGACGGUACAGCUUAUUUCUACUUUAGAUACCGUCAAACAUGCGAAUAAGUCCUCUGCUGCUUCUAGGGAGGUGAUGUUGGGUACUUCUUCAAGCCCUUGAAUGUGCAUUGGCGAGCCUCAUCCCAAAGUGCAUGCUUCUCUGCCAAAGAAAAAGAGUCUACCAGAGUUAGAUAUUCUUUCAUGAUCAAUUUUCUAAAUAGCGGUGGUCUGCUGGAAGGCCUUUUUGGAAGGCUGCUCUAGCUAUUGAGUCGCUGCAUCCGACUAUCAUUGCCUUCUCUGUUUUGAAUCUCUUCACAUAGUCACGAAGUGACUCCUUUGGGUUCUUUUUUACGUCAAACAAAUGGUCGGACUUCUUUUUGAUCGAGCAAUAAGAUGAAUAUUCUUUGGUGAAAACCAAAGAAAGUUCGUAGAAAUUCUAGAUAGAUUGUGGCGGCAGGGUGUAGAACCAAUCUUGUGCCUCGCCUUCAUAGUGGUGGCGAAUAUCUUGCACAUGAGAUCAUCGUUGUUUCGAUAAAGGAUCAUUGUGCUUCGGUAGCGCUUUAAGUGUCUCUUCGGGUCUUCAUCCCCUUUGAAAGAUAUGAAAUGUUGCAUACUGAACUCGCAUGGAGGCUCUGCCAGCUCGAUCUCAUCCGUGAAGGGUGACCUGCUUAUGUUGGUCAUGUUCCGUCGUAGUGCCUCGUCGGUGACCUUGUUGCGUUAGAAAUCAUGCAAUCGCUUGAUUAAAAGUCUCUCUACUUCUUCCUGAAUUUUCAUUUGUUAGGGUAGCAGAGCUCUCGGCUGCCCCUAGCCAUAACUUACUGGUCUAGGAUGCUCUUCCAUGUGUUUGGCUCGUAUACCGUGGAUGCAGUGUAUGUGGUGCGGUCCUAGUAGGUGAGCGAGUUCUUCGCAGGCUGCUAGUUGAACUUGAGCUGGAUUGAGUGACUACUUCUCUCCGUCCGUCGUGCUGCCUACUCCAAUGUGAGGUGAAAGAUGCUCCUUGCAGGCUUAGCCACGAAUGAACACUUUACCUGGAAGGUUGCUCAUGUUGACUAUCAGAGUAUGACCCUAACCGUGAAUGUAUAUUCACCCGUGGGCUUAGUCGAGAGUGCACGCUCCUCCGCGCGCUAAGACGAGAGUAUACGUUAUCUCGGGAGCCCAAUUGGGAGUGUACACUGCCCGAACGCUCGGCUCGUGGCUGGUCGAGUGGCUGCUUGCCGAAACGCUGCGGGAAAGGUUCGUCUGCCCUUGUCCUACUUCGGGAUACCUUGUUUGGGGCACGUUGGAUUCUGGUGCAUUGCAAAAGUUGAUUCACCAAGGUUGUCUGUUGUGCAAGGGUGCUCGUAAACGCUACGACUUGUCGAGACAAGUGUUGUUCGUCAUUUGGAUUGGAAUAGCUUGGAAGGAAUGUGCCUUCUUGGGCAGUGGAAGGGUGGUAGACUCCGGGCUCGAGAUUUGAGUUGGGAAAUGUCAAAUCUACGAAAAAAUGUGGUGAGAAUGCCCCCGGCUCGAUGGUAGGUCCGGAUGGUUGAGAUAGUCUUGGGCCGACUUGGGCUGCUUGGAAAGCCACGGGAGCAGGCUGGGCCACGAGAGUGAGCUGCUCGGCAGGAGUAGGCUGGGCUACGAGAGUGGGCUGCUCGGCAGGAGCAAACUGCUUGGAGUGUGAUGCACAUGGGUGCGAGGCUUGGGCUCGGCUUGGUAACACAUUGAGUUCGGGUUUGGCUUGGAGUGACAUGACUUGGGCCGUGGCCUUGGUGUCGUGAGCCUUGGAUGGCACGGCUCGGGCAGUGGUAGCUGUGCCAUGGACCUCGCCGCGGGUAGUGGUGACCGUGAUGGCCACCGCGGUGGUUGCCAUGGUGGAGCCCCGUAGUGAUGGUGCCGCUCCUAUGAUCACAUUUAGCCUCGUGGAUCGUCGUGGUCCCAUUUCUUGAAUAUUAGAAUUUUCACUUAUGGAAUUUUCUAAAUUUCUAGCCAUUAUAUUUUUCUUAUACGUUUUAUCAAAGAACCUUUGCAAAUAAAAAAUUCUAAUAAUAAGAACGUAUGAAAAAAUAUUCAAAUGGACUAGAAAAUAGAGAAAAACCUUUUUAUGCGAGAGUCUUCUACGAGUAUAGAUCUCAACUCUCAAUGAAAGCACCAAUUUGUGGAUGCAAAUUUCUUCCUCCUUGAUCCUAGACAAUUUUGCACCUACAAAACAAUUAACACCUUAGGUUAAGGCCAAGAGCCUCACACGCCCACGAUGAAUGGGGGGGCUUUGGCCGAAGAACCUCUGAUGCCAAAGUUAGAAUUUAGAGAGAUAGAGUGUUCAGAGAAUUUUGAGAUUUUUGCCAAAGUGUUGGAAUGGAUUUUUGGUGAGAAUGGGAUCACUUUUAUAGGGAUAGGAAGUGGCCGGCCUAGCUAGGGUUUUUGGGUUUAAUUUAGGUUUAAUUAGUCAAUUUAUUUGGCUAAUUAAACCCUAAAGAAUAAAUUGGUGGUUACAAAAUUGAUUAUUUGUAUAAAUGGGGUAAUAAAAUGGAGAAAGGUGAAAAAGGUUAGGAAAAGGGAGGUGGCCGGCUUCUUAGUGGUUUUAGGUGUGAGUGGGUGUUUUAAUUGAUAAUUAAGGGAUUCAUUAGGUAAUUAAUCAAUUUUUAGGGAAUAUGAAAGGAAAAUAUUAUUUAGCUAAUUGAUUAGCUAAAUAAUGGAAUACAAAAUAUAUAGAACAAAUUAGGUAUUAGGAAUUACCUUAUAGAAAGGAUUUGAUGAAAUAAGCUUUAAAUUGUUACCUAUUUUGGGCACUUUUGACUUGGUUGAGGAUGAUUGUCUGCCGCUCACGCGUAGGAAUCUCGAUAUGCCUCAAGGGUAUUUUUGUUCUCUUUUACCCAAAAAUCCACGUGUCGCCUUGUGAUUAUUUUGGCUCCACAACAACCACGUCAGCAUUUAACAGACCAAUGGAUGGAAAAUCUAACGGAGGUAUUAUUUUGAAAUAAAAUAACAAGUGAGGUAUGAAAGUGAAAUGUUUUAAAGAUGUUGUAUGGGGUUGUAAUAGACCUCAAACUUGAGGGUCCUAUGUAAUUUACCUAUUUUUAUGUUAAUUAUGAAUAGGUCAAUCAUGUAGAACCAAAUUAAAAGCUAACAUCAAUAACAACUACCAGAGACAAAAGCUCUAAUCAAUGCUUCGGAAACAUAGUCUUGUAUCUCUAGGUGUAAUGAUAUAAUUUGUUGGAAACUUAAAAGAAAAUUGGUGAUUUUGUAUAUAAUCGAUAAAAAGUUAUAAUAGUGACAAUAUAUCAGUAAUAUUUAUGUUAAUUAGGAAUAGGUCAAUCAUGUAUUUAAUACUUACAUGCAUUUAAAAUAAACACCUUAUCAAUGUUUUUUUAACUGUGCUCAGUUUUUCUCCUUCGCUUUGGUUUUGUUCUAUUGGAUUUUUCAACUAUCAUUAAUUGUGAACAUAACUGAUCAUUGAGACACAAACAUCCAAGGGAGAGUACCGUGGAACAAAAUGUGGAUAUCUUUAUACAUUGUAUGGUAGUAAACCAUCAUAAACACCAUAAUAAUGUAGAAACGCUCUUGGGGUACCUUUGGAUGAUAACUCAUGUAUUUGUUGCCCUACGUAAAGAUGGCUAAUGAUAAUGGAAGUCUAAUUUUCUCAUCCCAAUCUCUCCUGUCUCUCUUGUUCUCUUUUCUCUAUAGUUUAUUUCCAACAAGUUGUGUUAUUUUUUUUUUUUAGUAUUGUUAAGCAACCAAUAGAUUUUAAUUAGCAGUCUUUGUUUUUUUCUUUUAUAUUUUUAAUCAAUUUCAGUUGCUUAUCCGUUCUAGCAAAUUGAGCUCUUUUACAGCAAUUUUUUUCUUUAAAUGAAAUUAUUAUUAUUAAAAGAGUGAGAAAAUUCGAAAUUAUUACAACAAUUUAAAAAAAAGAAGUUUCGAAUCAUAAACACAGAGGGAGUUUACAACAUUUUAAUUAAGAAAUUAGGCUUCAGCUCAACUCAUCUUUGCAACGUCGGUUCCACUUCACAUCAACAUGCAAUGUUUCAGAAGGUCACGCGGUUUUGGGGUUGUUGUGUACCAAUAAUAUUAUAUAUAUAUAAAUUAGGAUUGAAGGAUACACGCAUUUUGUAGAGCUUAUUUUGUUAUGUAUUUUAAUGAUUUAAAUGCUUACGUUUUUCUUCACUACAAAUGAGUGAAUUAAUGAUUUUAGAAUUUGUCUAAUUUUUUACAUUGAUUAUUUAUGAAUAUUGAAUUGAAAUAUAGACGAUUCAAAAAUCGUUGAUAUACAUUACAAAAUGAACUCCACAAAAUAAGCGUCAAAAUAUGUAUAUAAAAUGGACAGCGUGAAAGGCUUGGAAAUUGGAAUAGGUUUGAAAAUUGUGCUUUUUGUAGCAAAUUGUAGCAAAGUUUGCUUGGACUUUCACAACCGUAUAAAUUAUGCCGCAGCACUCUCUAUUUUCUCUCUCGCUCUAUAUCGUGGUCCCUCUCUCUCGCCGUCCUCGAUUGCUCGAACUCACUAUCCUUUAUUGCUCGAACUCACCGUCCUCAAUUGCUCGAACCCACUGUCCUUUAUUGCUCGAACUCACUGUCUCCAACUUCCUCUGUUUGGUUCCCGAUGAAGAUGGUAAAACAGUAGGGGCAAGAAAUUAUGACAAUGUUAGAUUUGCAUAUUAAUCUGGUAGGGCUACAAUUCUCCAAUCCACACCCCUUCCAUCUAUGCUAGUGUUUGUACCCAAUAUUAGAUAUCCGGUCUGUGCAAUCGAGAUCGUUGAAUGAGAAAAAUUCUAAGCCGUGGGAUCAAAUAUAAUGAUGUGGAUUAAAUAAGAAAAAUUUAAAUGUUUAUCUUGGUUGAAUUACCAUGAUAAUAUUGUGGAAUUAUCUUCUGCAUAACGGGAUAGCGAGAAAAGUCCAAGGGUGUAGGGAAGUUGUGUGGCUGACUACCGCUUUUUUUUAUGGUGUCAUUAGUAGAGUAAUAUCACACUUAACAUUUAUUUGUACCAUCUCUCUAAUAAAGAUAAAGACCAUCAAUGCAUAAAUAAUGAUACAAAUAUAUAAUAAGAGUAUCAUAUUUGUAACUAGAAUAGGAGAAGAAAGACUUCAAGAUGGGGUCAGCCAAAUAAUUAGCGUCAGGAUAAAAAUAUGAGUAAUGAUAUUUGUAAACAUCGAAAUUUCGGUAAAUAAAUGUUGACCGAUAAAUCAAAGUUUCAACGCUCAUGUAUUACAUAAAUUUUACACGUAGCGUAUGUCUAAACAAAAAAUCGAAAUAAGUUGGAAAAGUCAUCAAACAGGACACAUGUCAACACCUGGCAGAAACGACUUAUUUCAUCUGGAAUAUUAUAUUCAAAAUUAGGCAUUGGAAAAUUCUAUAAAUAGAAGCCAAUUUCAUUCAUUUGAAGGAACCAAAAUCAUUAGGCAAAAUUCUUGAAGCUCUGAAGCUCUGAAACUCCGAAACUCUCAAGCAUCCAGGUUCCCGAAGAAUCAAGAAAGCUCUCUUCGUUCUUCGUUCUUCGUUCAUCGUUCAUCCUAAGAUCAAGCUCCAACGGCCCUUUAGAUCAACAAUCAUCCACUAAUUCAAGAUCAAGCCCCGACGGCCCUUGAAGAAAGUGUUCUUCAUUCUUCGUUCAUCGUUCUUCCAAGAUCAAGCCCCAACGGCCCUUUGGAUUAACAAUCAUCCACCAAUUCAAGAUCAAGCCCCAACGGCCCUUGAAGAAAGUGUUCUUCGUUCUUCGUUCAUCGUUCUUCCAAGAUCAAGCCCCAACGGCCCUUUGGAUUAACAAUCAUCCACCAAUUCAAGAUCAAGCCCCAACGGCCCUUGAAGAAAGUGUUCUUCGUUCUUCGUUCAUCGUUCUUCCAAGAUCAAGCCCCGACGGCCCUUGGAUCAACAAUCCACCAAUUCAAGAUCAAGCCCCAAAGACCCUUGAAGAACUUCUACCAAUUCAAGAUCAAGCCCUGACGGCCCUUGAAGAAAGUGUUCAUUGUUCAUCAUCCGUUCAUCCCGAAGAAUCAAGAAAGCCUUAUUCGUUCUUCGUUCAUCGUUCUUCCAAGAUCAAGCCCCGACGGCCCUUGGGUCAACAUCAUCAACAAAUCCACACAUCCAACCGUUCUUCAAGAUCAAGCCCAAAAGCCCUUGAAGAUCCGUUCAUCACCGUUAUUCAAGAUCAAGCCUUAACGGCCCUUGAAGAAACACUCAUCCUCAAGAUCAAGCCCCAACGGCUCCUUGAAGAUCCGCUCAAAUCCACCUUCAAAGAUCAAGCCCACGGCCCCUUGAAGAAACAUCCAACAGUUCAUCCAAGAUCAAGCCUCGACGGCCCUUGGAUCAACGAAACAUCUACAAAUCAACACCUUACGGAGAUCGAAUCAGAUGAUCAAAUUAGAGAGAGAUUGUAACCCUAAAUCAUCAAAAUACAAAUAUUAUUUUGUGCACGUUGUUCUUAUCUCUUUCGUUUCAGGAAAUUUUCGUGUUCACAAUAUUCUUACCAUCUAAAUAUACUAUAAUUUUAUACCAUCUUAUGUGGCAAUUGAGAUGGACUUCCACAUAAGUUUUAAAAAAAUCUCAUGUCAGCUAAGGUGGAUAUUUACGAUUUUACGAUUUUACUCAAUGAUUUUUAUUAAUAAAAUAAUUAAAAAAUAAUAAUGAAACCUACUUGCUCCCGUUUUCAAGCCUCAUCGCUGGGCCUCCUCCCUCUUCGCUCUCCAAUUUCACCUUCCUUCACCAACGAUCGAUGGUGCUCGACCCCCUUCAUCAUUGCCAACUGGCCGAAUAUCUUGAUGGUGCUCCCAGUGAUUGUUUUGCUCUGCCACCAAAUCAAGUUUGCAAUUUUAAUGGUUUAUGCCUUCUGGCCAAGUGUUGGAUUUGAUAGGUUUUUAAUUCCAGCAACAUUGAACAAAAAUAUGAAAAGGAUUGGAUACGAUAUUUUCCUCUGUUCUACUGCUGAGGAUUUUCCGAAUAGAAGAAGAUUUGGAAGACAACCUCUUUUCUUUUUUCUUCAUGGACUUUUGGUUAGCACCAAAAUCUUUUCCUAAUCCUCUAUAGGAAUGAAAAUUUCAUUCCAUGUUAUAUCCCGAUGUUGUCCAAGGUUUUGGCUUGAAUUUUCAUUGGAAUUAUCAUAUGUUGGAUCAGAUCAGGUGGAGAGAUGAAACGUAUCUAACAAGGAAGUUGAACGGGUAGGGUUUGAGCAAAAAUAAACAGAAAUUCCACCUAGGUUGACACCUAAGCUUCCACAUCAUGUGGUAUACUAAAUGUGGUAUAAUAAGAUGGUAAGAAUAGCAUUAUUGAAUGGGUAAUGUUAAGAGAAAUUUUUAGUUGUGACGGGAACACGGAUGGUACACCAUGCGUUUUUAUGUAAAUGGUGGAAAAUUUUAAUUUUUAAAUUAUUAACCUUUUAGCACACAUAUCCCACCAUUUAUAUGAAAACACGUGAUGUAUCACCUCGUGUGAUAGUCACAUUGAAAAAUCUCUCGUAAUGUUAGGAAAACUAAAUUUAUAAACAAAAGUUACAAAUUAAAUGAUGGGUUACCAAUAAGAAUGAUUACGUUUAUCAAUGCUUAAAUAAUAAAUCAUUCAUCAACUUCCAGUCCUUUAGUUUUUAAAAUUUUGUCUAACAUUACCCUUUCAAAACUCAUGAAAAUAAUUUUCAAUUUUUUUAACUGAAAAGUGAAAGUUACUAAACAAGAUUUCAGUUUUUAGCUUUCAAAAAAAUAAAAACAAAAGCUAAAAAUAAAAUGGUUAUCAAACAUCCCUAGAAGUCAUUCUUAGUGAUAGUAAGGUCAUCUCCAACCGAAAGAUCCAGGGGGCUAGAGGGCCGAAAAUAGUCUGAAAACCAUUUCCAAUCAAAGGCCAUGCCAAAGGGGUCGUGGACCCCAUUAGACAAAAAAGGGCCAAAGGGCCAACUGGCUGGCCCCAGUUCCAACAAUAACUAGAUGACGUCAGUUAACCGUUAUUUUUGAAUUUUUUUUUUAACAAAUUUUAACUUUCUAAGCCAUUAAACAACAUUAAAUUAAGUAAAAAAGAAAAUUCCUAUAACUUCCUAAGUCAUUAAACAAUAUUAAAUUAAGUAACAUGAAACAACAUUAAACAAUAUUAAACAAAAUUAAACAAUAUUAAACAACAUUAAAUAACAUUUAACAACAUAAAAAUUAUACAACAUAAAAAAAAACAUUUAAGAACAUAAAAUUUAAAUGCCUACUUCAUGCUUCUUUUGGCCCAAAGAUGUGCAACAAGAUCCUAAUGUAGGUACUUGUUUGUGGCACGAGAGCGUAUCAUCCUAACCGUUAGAUUUGAUUUUUUUUUGUUUUCGGCCAAAUUUUUUUAAAUUUAAAAAUAAAUUAUGUUUGACCUUUUGGCCCUCGAUUGGAGAUAGUUUUUUUUGUGACAUGACUAUGUUUAGCCCUAUGACCCUUUGGCCCUCAGUUAGAGAUGGUAAGAAAUAUGACCCAACAAUGUUCAUUAAAAUAUUAAUUUCUUGAAGAGCCAGAGGGCUAAAACGAGCCAUCCUUCGGUUGGAGAUGGCCUAAGAAGAGACUAGAGAUAGAGAGAUUCCUAUACUUAGCUGUGAGAGUUUCCUAUAUAUGAUUUUCAUUAACAAGAUUGAACUGAUUACAUAGAGAAGAAGAUCAAGUAUGGUUAUUUUUAUUUGGGAGACUUUGGAUGUGGUCCUUAGUUAUGAAUAUUAUUUGAUUGAAAUCUUGUUGGUUUUUAAUUUUUUAUCAAGAUCCCUGAAAUUAAUGUGAUAAUUUAUUUCUAUGUAAGUUACUAUAUUUUUUUAAUUAGAAAUUAGAAAUUUUAGUUGUUUAUAUAAAUGAGAUUUUAAAUUAAAAAAACCAUAAUUUGUGGGAUUAAAAAUAUUAAAAUAUAAAUAUACUAUUGUGUGUGUGUGUGUGUGUGUGUGUGUAUAAAUAUGGGUACAUUCAUCAAAAUUAACCAAAAAAUUUAUUGUAUCAAAACAUGGGUACAUUCUUCAAAAUCACAAAAAAAGAAAGAUAUUAGGCUUAAUAACAUUAGUAAAUUUCUUCGAUUAAACUUGACAUGGAUACAUUUUAAAAUCAAAGAAAAAAAAUGUACCCAUAUAAGUUUAAAAAUGGAUUAGAAAAAAAAAUUGAAUAGAUUUUAUACAAAAAAAGGGUACGUUUUACAUAUAACAAAUUGGUAUAUUUAAGAAUGAGUACAUUUUAAGAUUAAAAAGUUUUACAUGAAUGGGUUCAUAUAAUUAGCAUGGGUACAUUUAGCAAAAUAAAAAGUACAAAUACAAAAAAAUAUAUGUGUACAAAUACAAAUAAACUUUAAAAAAUAUGGGCACAAAAAGAAAUUAAUAUAUGGGUACAAAUUAAAACCGAAAAGAAAAUUGGUACAAGUUAAAAAAGAAUUACAAAUUAAAAAUGGGUACAAACUAAAACUAAAAAUAUAUGAUAAAAAAUUUAGUCAUAAAUAUAAAUAUACUAAUUGUAACAUUUUUAACAUUAAAUGAAUAUAUUUAGACAUAAAAAAUAUAUUUUAUUAUUGAAAUAAUUAAUGAUGUUAUUAAUACCCAAGGACCUUGAUAAAAAAUUGAAAAGAAAUAGAAUUUUAAUCAAUGGAGUAGCAAAAGAAAAGAUGAGAACCUAAUUUCUCCUUUGUAUUGUGUAGACAUUAUAACUAUACAUUCAUAAUAACAUGAGUAAUGUUAUAUUUAUCACAUUUGUACUCUUUCUCCAAUAAAGAUAGGGUCCAUCAACACAUGUGGGUUCUAUUUGCCCAUCAACACAUGCGAAUCUCAUUUUUAUUAGAAAAAUAGUACAAAUAUGAUAUGGAAAUUAUGAUAAGAUCGCAAUUUUGUAAUAACAUAUAUACUCAACUAUUUAUAUACCAACUCAUCUCCCUUUAGUGUAGUUAAUAUUGUUUGUUCAACCAAAAAAAAAAAAACUGAACUUGUCAUAAUCAUUGAAUCCAUUUACCAUGAACAAACGGCAGUUUACUAAACUUGCCCUCAGAGUAUAUAUAAAAGGUGAAUCACAAUCUAUUGCAUUAAUAUAAGGAAACAAUUUAUAGGGUUUGACGGGUGACUUAAUAUGCUAUAUGGCACAAUGAAAAUUAAGUUCACACUUUAUCCCAAAUAAGGUGUUGCACCUUUAAUUUAUGGAUGCUGGUUUGACGUGUGACCGAAAUAAUCAAAUUGUAGCCAUUAAUCAUUUUACAAGUAAUAAUAUGUGGUUUUAUUGUUUACGAUUCACACAACAAUCUGCUAGGAAGUAGAAAAUGCAGUACUUGUCCCUCUCACAGAAGUCAUGAAUAAUUAUCAAAUUCAAAGAUAAAGAAAAACCACACAAUUUACAAGAGGAAAGAAAAUGAAGGGAUAAAGAAAGUAAGAAAGGAAUACCUCUAUGGGAGGACUCUUAUUUGCUUCAGAUGCCUACAAUAUUCAUCAUAUAAACACUGAUUAAGUAGUCAUCGAAAACCAAAACAAAUGUCGAACAUAGGGUGAAAAACAGAAAGAAUAACCGCAGCUCAUCAUACCAAUAGAGAUAGAACUGCCCGAUGCCCAAGUAUGACUGAAAAAUGGCAAUCCAAACAUGGCGCCUUCUAGCUCAUCAAACUGUCAAAACCUAGGUUCCACCAAAAAGAUACAAGUCACCUAGUUACUUGUAAAAUAAAAAUCUGUUUCAAAAUAGUGGAAAAUAUUAUUAACAUUGUUCAAAGUCCACAUUGUUGUACCUACCAAGAAACAAGAAGGAUUGUAUCUUAUCAUGAAAAAGAACAUAGGUACCUUUUCAAUUGUAAUUGUACAAAAAUGAGAGACCACUUCCGAACUUCUCUUGGAACUUCAAUCAAUUUCUGCCCACUUUUAAAUGCCUUGACAUACUUAAGCCUAUUUCUUUGAGCUUCAGUUUUGGCUUCUGAUGCCUUUAAAUUUCUUAAAGAUUCUUACCAAGUUUUACAAACUCACUUCUAUACAACCAUUUGUCAGUAUACAUACCAUUUUCUUUGAGCUUCAGUCUUUGCAACACCAAAACCCCCCAAAUAGACCCGGAAUUUUGCAAUGUGCAGGGAAUAUACAAAAAAAACCCUCCUAUCCAUCUAAAACGAAAUCAGAACGCAAACCACAAUCAAAAUCCGUAAAAUUAAUUUAGCCAACCCCUAAAUCUAAUAAUUCUAACAAAUAUUAUAGUAUCAAUUGAGAGAGAAUUUGAGAAGAUACCUAGAGAUGAAAGGAAGAGCGUUUCCUCUGAUAGGGGUUCCGUGAAAGCAUCUGUUGACCAGAAAAGAAAAGGCAAAAAACCCCAAAUUACAUAUCAAGCAAUUAUAGAUAGAUCGAACCUUGAAAAUUGAAAUUUCAAACAAGAGAAAGGUUAUAAACUUACAACGAUCUGGGUGUUGGUAACUGGGUUUGGAUUUGGGUUUCUGAUAAGAGAGAGAAUCGUAUGAGGAACCGAUAGAGGAACUGCACCGGCAACAGAGAGCAAUUGAUAUGGUGGAGAACAGACGAGAAUAGCUGCUUGGAUGGUCAAUCCAAGAAGAGAAAAUCUUGCCACAAUCGCGGUACUUGAAAAAAAAAAAAACAAGUUUAAAGGAGGGAAACAAUCGCGCCUUUUUCUAAUAGACUCUGUCGACGAUAUUCUUGACAAAUAGAUGCUUCGUCGGGUGAGCUUAUUUUUCACAACAUUUUAUUUAGGAUUGGGUUCGGUUGGUAAACCGUGUCAAAUUUCUUGUGCCACUUGCCAGCCACAUAUACAUAAUUACCGAAAAUCAGUUACCGUUAGCCAACCGUCUUCUUGCGGUUGCCAAAAAUCGGUUCAGCCAAAAUGAUUGGCUGGUUCGGUUGGUAAAUGGCACAACCGGUGGUUUCCACUUCUUCCUCGCUAUCUUCCAGUUCCAAGGGCUCAAUUUGAUUUUCAGAUUGGGAUGCUUGUUCGGUUGCAUUGUGUGGUUCAUUUUGGGUUAAUCCAUGUUGUGCACUAGUAGUUGAUUGGCUAGACUCCAUUAUCCUAAACAUAAGCAACAAAUAUACAUUCAAAAUAAUAUAUAUGUACGUGUAUAUAUAGUAUCAGUAAUCAUCAUGCUAUCAAUUUUGUUAACAAUAUUUUCUAUAUAUUGAUUUUGGCAUGAAUCAUAUACACAUACAUAUAUUUUUAAAACCCUAAAACUAAGGAGUCAUUUAUUUUCUAAACUCUAAAAUUGAGGAGUCAAGCAUGUAAAAAAAUACUUAAAAUAUCUAAAUAGAAAAAGAAAAAGAAAAAAAAAUAAAUAUAUAUAUAUAUCGGUAGGUAUGGCAUACCGCCGGCAUACAAAAUCAAUUACCAAAGCCAUGCCAUUAAUUGUCGGUUCGGUAAAAUGCCAACCGAUUAUGAAAAAAUGUCAAAACUAUACCAUACCAUUUUGAGCCAACCAGUAUGGUUUGGUCAGUAAAUCGGUUUAUGGCAAAAUUUCUCACCCCUAAUUUUAUUUGUCACCUUAAACCUAUUGGUUUCUAGCCUACAAUUCGGAUAUUUUGUUGGGGAAAGAUUUUUGUACCAAUAAAAUUUUGCUUUGUCGGCAAAAUGACAUUUUCUAGUAGUUAUAAUAUUAGGUAGAUCAAAUUUGUAAACUAUGUGAUGUGUCACUAAUAGGAAAAAAUUUCAGUGUGCUGAAAAUACGGUCUAGAACACCAAGUGUCAUAAUAUAUACUUGGUUGGAAAUCUUUUAUUUUCAAGUUUCCAACUAGUUGUAUUGUAACAGUUGGUGUUCCAAGCUAUUUUCUCCAUGCGCUGGAAAAUCUCUUCACUAAUUAAAAAUAAACAUAUUAAUUAACACUUAAGUAAUAAUCAAAGCAUCAACAACUACGUCAUAGAAUUUACGAAAUAUGAUCUUAAUUAAUGAUCUCCAUUACCCUUUAUCUUAGCGUAUACGUACGCCUUCACAUGUUUAUUUGCUGAUAUGCAGCUUGAGUAAAAAUUUCUUUUUAAGAACAUAUAUGUGAAUAUAAACAUAUAUAUCUAGUGAUCCAUGUUGCGUUAUUUAAAAAUAAACAAAUUAAUUAAUUAAUGAACUGUGUACCUGUCUGUGUAGAGUAAUCCAUAUGCAUGCUUGAAUCCUGAUCACCACGAAACCAUAAUAUAAGCUACUCAAGGCCCGGAAGCUAGGAUUGAAGAGAAAAACACCCAGUCAGAUUAAGCCAAUACAUCAAAGUUAAUACUUCCAAAUGUAAGCUUUAAGAUAGAAAAAUCACUUACUUCCUUGAGCAGUCGAGCUUCUUCAAUGGCAUGAAGCUUUUAGCAUGAGAUUGACUGCAUCACAACUAAAAUUUUCUCUUGGAAACUACAUAAGGAAUAGCAUGUAUACCUAUAACGUUGAGAAAGUACGCCAAUUUUUUCCUUCUGCACAUUCAUGUUUAAAAGUAAUCCUCAAAUGAACUUGCCCACAAUGAAAUGCAAUUUGAGGUAGUCGAGUGUGUUCCAUUUCCAUCCCAUCGGAAUUACUACUAAACUUUGAGAUGGUAGAGGAUUCAUGAAAUUUUUUACUUUUGAAAUAGUCUCCUUAGCAUUUCUCGACUAUAACAAUGAGGAAAUACUUCACCUUGUAUCAAACAAGGGAGACCGAAAAUCAACUACUAAUAGCAUCACAGAGCCAGCAGAAGAUUGAGGAGGCCAUGAAAAGGAAAGAGAAAAUACACUCUUUUUUUGUAAGGACAGAGAUAAUACAUUCAAUAAAGGGUACUGAUGUUUAUAUGCAAAGCUGAUUAGGUUUAAAUAGUCGUAUUUAUUCUGUACAGUGCCAAUAUUACCACCCGUUAGUACACUUUCAAGACACUGUAAUCCAGUGUAUGCACUAUGCAGUACGUAGUACUCCUCAUUUUUUUGGGGAAAUUCAUUAUUGGUCUUCAUAUCUUCUUUAUUUUCCUUGUCCUCAUUGUGCCACGUGUUUAAAUCACUAAUUAUAGGUAAUCUUUCAAUUUAAUUAAAUCUUAUGUAAAAAAAGAUAAUUAAAUAUCAUUUAGUAUUACAAUAUAGUGAUAUUCCUCUUUAGUAUAAAAUUUUUAUAAUUAAAAGCGUUCAGCUUUUUAAUCUUCAUUGGAAUAUUAUCUAUAAAGAAAAAUUAUUCGAAUCAGAGAUCAUUUAUGCAUUCAAAUGUAUAAAAUACAUCGACAGUGUGAGAACCAACUAAUAUAUUUUUGAUGAAGUACAAUUAUUGAAUACAUUUGAACGAUCAAAUGAUAUAUGAUUCAAAAUACAUAUUAAGAUAAUAAAUAUAAAAGAAUUGUUAUUUGCACUUCAAGAAUCUCAUUCUACACUCUAAAUUUUCUAUAUAUUAAAAGAAAAAUAAAUUUGUGAAAAGUGUAGAAUGAGGUUUUUUUAAAUGCUAAUAACACUUCUCUAAAUACAAUUAUGAAAUUAAUUAAGUAAAGAUACAUGACCUCGUGAAUGAUGAAUGUAUUAUUCAAAAAAAUAUUAAAAACAAAUUGAAAAAGGACGCUGUUGUUGCCACCACUUAUGCAAUGAUCGUCGCUGCCAUCACCAACCCCCAACACCCCAUUACAGCUCAUAAAAGCACAUCAUAAGCAAUUUAUGAAAUAAAUUUACUGGAAUACUAAUUUCCCCCUUAGUUUAGGUCACCAAUGUUUAAAUUUAGGGAUCGUGAUAUCCACACACAUUUUUUACUUCUUUCACACUUUUUUUUUCGGUUGUCGGAUCAGAUGAAUUGAAGAAAAUCAAUGAACAGAAAUUAACAAGGGGUGUGUGAGAAGUAAAAAUGAAUGUGUGGAUAACACACCCCUAAAUUUAUCACAACUUUCAUUCCAAAUUUAAUUUUUAUCCGUAGUUUUGUUUGUUCAAAUUUACUUUGACAUUUCCAUUAGUAUUAAAAUCUAAUUUAAAUUUUAGUGUUCAAGCUAGAAAAAGUGUUCCAUUUAAUAUUUAAUCUCAGUUUUUCUCUUUAUUCUUUUAUUGGGAUUUGGUUGCAUCGUAUCUCCAUUUUUCUCGGUGUUGUAUGUUCAUAAGGCCUGUGAAACGUUGGCACGGAGUGAAGGGUACUCACUUUUUGGCCCAAAAUGCAUAAGGCAUGUAGAUAUGUUAAUCAAAUUUUGUAAACUAAAGGAUAUAGAAGUUGAUAAUUAGAUUAUAAUUUAAGAUAAUACUAAGGAGACUAAAUUUGCAAACUAAAUGAUGUGUCACCAAUAAAAAUAAGCACGUUUAUCAACAAUUAAGUAAUAAAUCAAUCAUCAACUUUCAUGUCCUUUAGUUUCCAAGAUUUAAUAUACAAAUUUAGUCUCCCAAGCAUUACUCUAUUACUUAAGUAUUGAUUAACAGACUUAUUUCUUAUGGUGACACAUUAUUUAGUUUACAAUUUUAGUCUACCCAACAUUACUCUUUUGAAAUUGUCUUGUCCACUGAUAUAAUUCUAUUUUUCUUGUGAUCAAAACUUCAAAUGUUAGCAAGUCGCACGUAAAGUCGCUUAUGAGAGAAUGUGCUCACAUUGUAGUUGAAAGAUUAUGUGGCUAGCAACAUUACAAAUUUAAUUUGGUAUAAUUCUAAAAUAUAGAUUGAGGAAAAAAUGAUCACAUUAACUAGAAACUGAAAAGGUUUCAGCACAGUUUGUUCAAGCAAGAAAUUCAAUUUUGAUGCUACCGAUCUUAACAGCCUGAGCGCCGUACCUGGGCACCAAAGUCACCACCACACUCUCAUCAUCUUCAGCACCCAAAUCCUCCAACAGGUCCGUUAACCCCAACCUUAAACAACUCUUGCUCUUUUCCUUCUGCUUAUGUGGCACACUCACAAAACUCCCAGCAAACUCGCUCUUGUCGGGUCCACUCGGUGCCGCAUCCUCAUCGUCCACGUCAUUCACAUACACACAUCAAACUUCACAGCCACAUCUUUGUCAAGCUCAAUCCCCUGAAUCACCAAUAUCUCCUCCUCAUCCUCUUUCUCCUUCUUGCUCCUCUUCUUCGGCUUCGGCCUUGACACCACCGUACUUAUCUUCGUCUCCAAAUUUAUUGGAAAAUCUUUACCCGCCACCACCUUCCCUGAUGACGUCGUCUCAGUGGCCUUCGCCACUCCAGCCGCCUUUGCCUUUCUCGCAAGCUUUGUCCGACGUGGCGUCGGUCUAGACUUGAGCCAUGGAAUCUCAACAUCUUCAUACGUAUACCCUAGCUUUUUAUUAUCAAGAGUGUCCCUCACCGUGACCCUAACAAGCUCAGCAUUCUCGUCAUAAAACAAAAACCCCGUAUCCAACCAAUCCUUAUCGUUAAUAUCGUUAUUUUUAGUCCCUAUACUUUUCCAAAUAUUCCACAUUCGAUCUAUAUUCGAAUGGUGCGAAAAAAAUAUUGGAUCCCUUGCAGCGGAGUAAAAAUUCCCCAUGUCUUCAAAAUUAGGCUGCGUGUUAUCUCCGGUCCAUAAAUGAACCGGACCAUGUGGGGUCGUUUCGAUUGAACCGCCCCCUGGAUCUGGUUCAGUGUCAGCCCUGUAGGGCGAACCAAAGAACAACAGCGGUUUCUUGGAGUUGGAAACCAUCUGCCUAUACAUGAUUUUGAGGUUGGCGUCGAUUUGAGCAUCCUUGGACAUUGUUUCAUCCGUGCCGUUGAAGUCAAGAUCGAUGAGAGUCGGCGGCUGAUGGCUGGCAGCGCGGAGCUCGUCGUAAAGCGGAGAGUCCGGGUUAGCGAACAAGGCAGGGAGUUGCAUGCCAGCUGGCGCGUCCCAGUUCCAAAACGGCAACGCGAACGUCGGAUCGUCUAUGAGUUUGGCCAAGAUUCUUUCGUAGAAGUAUACGUAGUAACGAUGGAAGGGGAAGAAAAGCCAGCAUUGAUGGAUUUGGAGCUCGAGGUUGGGGAAGCCGACUUGGUCGUACGCGCCGUCGCAAUAGGCACAGUGGAGAUCGGCUUGCUGGGUGAAGCUACGCGGAUCGUCGUCCGGGAGGGCUUUCAUGAGCUCGAUGGCUUUUGAAUAUUUUUCGAUGUAGGCUUUAUCCACGGUGUGAGCUGCCGGCCUGACGCGGAGUUUGGUAGGGGAGGGGAAUUUGAAGUCUACGAUUUUUUGGGACGUUGGCGGGCAACAGUUGAUCGGGACUGCUCCACUUGGAAAGUCCGCAGCUCCGCAUUUGGCUAGGUCAGGCGGCAACACUGGCUUUGCAACAGCGAAGGGGUCGCUGCCAAGACCAGCCACUCCGGCUUUGCAACAGCGAAGGGGUCGCUGCCAAGACCAGCCACUCCACCGUAGAGGCUUCCGAGACCUAUAAGAAGAUAGAAUUCAGUUCUUGGCAGUAGAGGACUCUAUUGCAGGGAAAAACUGAUUUGAAUUAGGAAGGCUUAAGUAGUUUUCCAUAAGGAUUUUAAUAGGGAAUCCAUAUUCUAAUAUGAGAAGGAUAUGUGUGUACAUAUAUAUAUAUAUAUAUGGCAAUCUCUUCUCUCACAGGUGUGUGCUCUUUUGGAACUAAGCCCUAUUCUUAGUUUGAGUGAUAAAUACCCUGACAGAGAGAAGAAGAAUUGAUGUGCUUUUCAGGUUGAUCGAGAUCCACCAUGACUGCAUCAAACGGGAGUUCUACAGGUUAGUAUAAUUAGGUUUUAUUUGGAUUGAUGUUUUGUGUCUACUUGGUUGUAGUUUAAGUAACUGAAUCUUGCAGCUAGAUUUUGGUUUACAUGUGGUAUCAGAGCCAUAGAUUCAUGUUCUUAAAUUCAAUCGAUAAAAUUGAUUGAAUCCAAAAUAAAAUUCCGAUCUUCAGACUUCGAAACAGGUUCUGGUAGUUAAAAUUAGGAAAAGAAGAAACGGUGCGUUUUGAUUAAAAUAUGAUGAUUAAUACUUGACCGUUAAGAGCUAAUAAACUAUCUUCUCUUCCGAAUUGGGAAUACAAAUCGACAUCUAUCGAUUUCGAUUUCGGGGUUUGAAAAACUGGGUUAUAUGACAUCUAUCGAUUUCGAUUUCGAGGUUUGAAAAACUGGGUUAUAUGAAUUGUUAUUGAGUAUCCACAAUUUAUAUUAAUUGCUUCCGCUGCUGGGUGUUGAUGCUCAUAGAACAAACGGGUAUGUCUCCUGAACAUUGAAUUGAAAUUUGUUUUUUAAUCAAUCUUAUCUUGAAUUUCAUUAUGUUCUACAGCAUGAUUCGAAUAGUGAGCAUAAAAAUAUGCUUAUUUAUGCUGAUUAGUCCUAUGUUUAUGCGUUUUUCUCUAACCAUCUAUGGAAGGGAGUUCUUCGAUAAGAACCUCUGCAGAUUUCACUUGUUUUAUGCAGAAAGUUUUAUGAAGAACUGUUCAUUUGAUAAAGAUCUGCUAAAACUGUGUUCUUAAAUGGAAAAAUCUUUUAUUCUAUAUGUGCUUAUCAAUUCUUCAUUGUUAAGAUUAUAUAUAUGGAUAAAAGGUUUUGAUGAUAUGAUGUACAAAGGAUUGUGAGAUGAAAUCUGGAACUCUAAACGUUCUUCUGUGAUUCAUUGUGAUUUCAUUGUGCUACAGUGUCUGCAAUAUCAAUGAAGACUCUGAAUUUGGCUAACAUCCCAAUUCUUACUGGUGGGGGAAAUUACAAGAAGUGGAGAAGGGAAAUCAGUUUGCUGUUGACUCUAAACGAGUUUGAUAUAGCAAUCGAGAAUCCCAAACCCGUGGUCAAUGAUCAGAGCAGCACAAGGGCUGAAAAGGCAGAUUUUGAGAGAUGGACAAGGGCUAAUAAGGUAGCAUUGUCCAUCCUUGAGAGUGGCAUGACUGAUACAAUCAGAUGAGGAAUUAAGAAGCACGAUUUGGCUGCUGAUUACCUAAAAGCUAUUGAAAAGAAAUUUCAAGAAUCUGAAAAAGCUGAAGUGAGUCAGUAUAUGUCUUUAUUAACUACUUACAAGAUGGAGGGUACAAGCUCUAUAAGGGAUCACAUAAUGAAGAUGACAUAUGCUGCAGAAAGACUCAAUGCAAUGGAUAUAAACAUAGGUGAAAAGCAGUUAGUAUUCAUGAUUCUUCAAGCACUUCCCAGUAAAUAUAGUCAGUUGAAGAUCUCCUACAAUACUCAAGACAAAAACUGGGAUAUUGAUCAGUUGAUUGCACAGUGUGUGCAAGAAGAAACUCGUCAAAAACAAGAAAGAGGCAAAGAAGUUGAGGACAUCAACUUUGUGCAAACUAUAAAUGACAAAAAGCAGUUCAACAACAGAAGCUUUUCUGGUUCUGGUAAGAGUUCUAAGCCUUUUAAAACUUCUAAUAAGUUCAGUAAUUCUGCUAAAGUAGUUGACUCCCCUAGAAAAUCUAUCAAGUUUAAAGCUAAACCUAAAGAUGUGUCUAAAUUAAAAAUGUUUUUGGUGCAAAACUAAGGGCCAUUUAAAAGUUAACUGUGAAAUUUUCAAAGAUUAUGUAAAGAGCAAAGAAAAGGAACAAGUACUUGUCUGUAUUGAAUCAAAUUUGUGAAGUAUACCUGUUGAUUCUUGGUGGUUUUGAUAUACCGGAUGCUCAGUGCAUAUAACUAAUUCUUUAAAUGGUUUUCAAAAACAAAAGGAAUUUGGAAAUGCUACAUAUAAUGUUUUUGUUGGGGAAGGAACUAAAGUUGCAGUAGAGUCAAUUGGGAUAGUCAAAUUAGUCUUAUGUUCUGGUUAUGUUUUAGAGUUGAAAGAUGUGUGCUAUAUGUGCCUAAGAUGAGAAGAAACUUAAUUUCUGCCCUCUAAAAUUGUAAAAGAUGGUUUUUCUUUUCUUGGUGAUGAUGAGUGCCUCAAAAAUUUUCAAGAAAAACUGUCCUUGUCCUAACACUAUUUUAGGGACUGCUUUUUUGUCUGAUAAUUUAUGGAAUCUAAAUUGCACUGUUAAGGCACUCAAUCACACGAUUUUCAGCAUUAGUACUAAGAGAAUGAUAGGUCAGGAUACUUCAUACAUUUUAUGGCACAAAAGACUAGGACACAUCUCUAAAGAAAGGAUAAUUAAGCUGUAAAAAACUGACUUGAUUCCAAAAUUAGAUCUUUCUACUGCAACUGAAUGUGUUGACUGCCUAAAGGGUAAAAUGACCAAUUUUAGAAAAACAGAUGCCAAAAUGAGCCAGGGGUUACUUGAAAUCAUACACACUGAUAUCUGUGGUCCUUUUCCAGUUAAGACAAUAUGUGGAAACAAGUAUUUCAUUAAUUUCAUAGAUGAUUUUUCAAGGCUGGGAUAUACCUUUCUGAUUAAUGAAAAAGCUGAUGCCCUUAAGUGUUUUAUAAUUUACAAAACUGAGGUUGAAAAACAGUUAGGCAAGGUUAUUAAAAUUGUUAGAUCGGAUAGGGGAGGUGAAUACUUUGGCAGGUACACUGAAUCCGGGCAGCAAAAGGGACCAUUUGCUCUCUAUCUCGAGAAGAAUGGUAUUGUGGCGCAGUACACCACACCUGGAACGCCUCAACAGAAUGGUGUUUUUGAAAGAAGAAACAGGACUCUUAUUGGUAUGGUUAGAAGCAUGAUGUCCAGAUCAAAAUUGCCAGGAUUCUUGUGGGGAGAAGCUUUGAAAACAGCUAAUCAUAUAUUGAAUCGAGUUCCAAGCAAGGCAGUAUCUACCACACCCUAUGAGUUAUGGCAUGGGAGAGUUCCUAGUUUUACUUAUUUCCAUGUUUGGGGUUGUAAAGCAGAAGCUAAGUUAUAUAAUCCUAAUGAAAGAAAGCUGGAUUCAAGGACUCAGUCAUGUUAUUUUAUUGGCUAUCCUGAGAAAUCAAAAGGAUACAGGUUCUAUAUCCCUCAAGGUCACACUCGGAUCCAAGAGACACACAAUGCAGUUUUCCUAGAAGAUGAAGAUGUCUCUCAUUUGUCAAGGGAAAAUUUCAUAUUUGAAGAGAUGCAUUCAGAUGGUGGGGACCAUGUGACAAUGGAUUAUAAUAUCGGUCUCAUUGUUUCCCAAUCAAUCAUCAAUUGCCAUUGAAGAUAUGAGUGAAGAUUUAGGAGUUCCUGAUGACAACUCUGUAGGAGUUGAUUCCACAACAUAAGCUGCAACAAUUCCUUUUGCAGAAGCAUGUGAACCAGUUGCUGUUCCACCUCCAGUUGAAAUCAGAAGGUCACAAAGAGCUCGGAAAACCACUGCAAGCAAUGACUAUGUGUACUUAUAAGAGACUGAGUUCGAUAUUGGUGACAUUUGAUGAUCCUCUUACAUAUACUCAGGCAACUGAAAGUCCUCAAGCAGUUCUUUGGAACAAUGCAAUGAAGGAUGAGUUAGAUUCAAUGUCCAAAAACCAGGUUUGGACAUUGGUGGAAUCCAACUCUGAAAUUAGGCCAAUAGGCUGCAAGUGGGUAUAUAAAACCAAAAGGGAUGCUGCUGGAAGAAUUGAAAGAUAUAAAGCAAGGUUGGUUGCUAAGGGGUUUACUCAAACGGAGGGGAUCGACUAUAAUGAUACUUUCUCUCCAGUUUCCUCCAAAGACUCCAUGCGAGUUAUCAUGUCUUUAGCUGCCUACUUCGAUCUUGAAUUACAUCAAAUGGAUGUAAAAACCGCUUUUCUUAACGGAGACUUACAAGAGGCUAUAUACAUGAAACAACCUGUUGGAUUUGUUGAAAAGGGGAAAGAGAAUUUAGUAUGCAAGCUCAAUAAGUCCAUAUACGGCUUGAAACAAGCAUCAAGGCAAUGGUACCUAAAGUUUGAUCAAAUUGUCUCUGCAUAAGGUUUUGUAGAAAACAAACUGGAUGAUUGUAUAUACAUUAAGUUCUCAGGUUCCGAGUUCAUCUUCUUAGUACUUUAUGUUGAUGCCAUUCUCCUAGCUAGUUCAUGUCCCCAAUUGCUUCAUAGCAUUAAGAGAAUGCUAAGUGAUAACUUUGAGAUGAAAGAUCUUGGAGAAGCACAUUAUGUACUAGGAAUAGAGAUUGUUCGAGAUAGGAAAAUGAGGCUCCUUGGUUUAUCUCAAAAGGGGUACAUUGACAGAGUGUUGGAGAAAUUUCAUAUGGCAAAUUGCAAUUGUGGUCAGGUUCCAGUCAAUAAAGGUGACAAGUUUUCGAAGAUUCAAUGUCCAAGAUCUGAUUUGGAGGUGAAGAAAAUGCAAGCUAAGCCUUAUGCCUCGUUGAUUGGAAGUCUUAUGUAUGCAACUAUCUGUACAAGGCCUGAUAUUGCCUUCAUAGUUGGUAUGCUAAGACGAUUUCAAGCAAAUCCUGAGAAGCACAUUGGGGGUGGCAGCCAAGAAGGUUCUUCGAUACUUGCAGAGAACCAAAACUCACAUGUUAGUAUAAUGGCCGAACUGAUUCUUUGGAGCUCAGGGGGUAUAUACUCGGAUUUAGCUGGAGAUGUGGAUGACAGGAAGUCCACAGGGGUUAUAUCUUCAUACUCAAUGGAGGGGCAGUUUCGUGGAAAAAUGCAAAGCAAACUAUUAUAGCCACAUCAACUAUGGAAGCUGAGUUUGUAGCCUGUUUUGAAGGCAUGAAACAGGCAGCAUGGUUGAAGAAUUUUUUGACAGAUUUAAAGAUUGUGAAUUCGGUUCAGAAACCAGUAACAAUGUUCUGUGAUAAACAACUCGGCUGUGUUUUUUGCUAAGAAUAAUAAAAGGACUUCAGCAUCUAGAUUUGGAUGGACGAAGUUUCUUAAGGUCAGAGAACAAGUCAAGAAAGGAGUUAUUGAAGUACAGCACAUUAGCACUACUAUGAUGAUUGCUGAUCCCUUGACUAAGGCACUGCCAAUUGGAGAAUUCAAGAAACAUGUUUCUUCAAUAGGAGUACUAGAAGGUUUUGAUCAGUGGGAGUAAUCACGUGUGUGUUAAAGGCUUGGGAUUGCAGAAGCAGAAGUAUAUAUGUGUUUCAAGAACUGUAUGUGCAAUUCUGACAAGCUGAACUAAGGAUGCUUUAUGUUUUAACUUGCUUUAGUUAGUUUGUUAAGGUUGUUUGUGUUUUAAUAAGUGUCCUUGUCUGCUACUCAAUACUUUGGCUUUCAGGUGUUGAGGUACGGAUACUGGACUGAGUUAGAAUUUAGUUUCAUUAGUAACUUUGAAAGAACAGUUUGUCUGUUUUUUAAGUUUGUGGUUAAUGAUGUUAUAUAGUCAAUUACUAUGUUGCUUUUCUGUGAAGAUUAAUGUGUGUUGUGAUCUUUUGAAAAGUGGGAGCAUAAUGUUUGACGGUUUAUGUUAGUCAUGAGUCAUAUUUACAAAUUGAAUAUAUGUGAGCCUUGAAUUAAUACUACAAUUUGGUUGUGGUCUGAGAUUCUUGGUUUCUAUAUUUUGAGAUGUAAUGGGACAGUGGUCAUGAUGGUUAAAUCUUAGAUGAGGUUAUGUGAUCACUUCUUAUGAUUGGUGACGGCAAGGUUUGAUCUUUGUCUCAUGUUCAAGUGGGAGAAUGUAAGAAUGUGAACAUGAGAUAAGAUGAUCGGAUAUUAGUUGUUUGAGUCCAAUCCGAAUAAGAAAGCCUCUAAGAAGAUGGAAUUCAGUUCUUGGCAGUAGAGGACUCUAUUGCAGGGAAAAACUGAUUUGAAUUAGGAAGGCUUAAGUAGUUUUCCAUAAGGAUUUUAAUAGGGAAUCCAUAUUCUAAUAUGAGAAGGAUAUGUGUGUACAUAUAUAUAUAUAUAUGGCAAUCUCUUCUCUCACAGGUGUGUGCUCUUUUGGAACUAAGCCCUAUUCUUAGUUUGAGUGAUAAAUACCCUGACAGAGAGAAGAAGAAUUGUUGUGCUUUUCAGGUUGAUCGAGAUCCACCAUGACUGCAUCAAACGGGAGUUCUACAGGUUAGUAUAAUUAGGUUUAUUUGGAUUGAUGUUUUGUGUCUACUUGGUUGUAGUUUAAGUAACUGAAUCUUGCAGCUAGAUUUUGGUUUACAUAUUUUUCGAUGUAGGCUUUAUCCACGGUGUGAGCUGCCGGCCUGACGCGGAGUUUGGUAGGGGAGGGGAAUUUGAAGUCUACGAUUUUUUGGGACGUUGGCGGGCAACAGUUGGUCGGGACUGCUCCACUUGGAAAGUCCGCAGCUCCGCAUUUGGCUAGGUCAGGCGGCAACACUGGCUUUGCAACAGCGAAGGGGUCGCUGCCAAGACCAACCACUCCGGCUUUGCAACAGCGAAGGGGUCGCUGCCAAGACCAGCCACUCCACCGUAGAGGCUUCCGAGACCUAUAAGUACAUUUCUUCUGUCUAGGUUUACUAGAGAAGGGUUUUCAUGGUCGUGAUCGUUGGAGCUAGUGGAAGGGUUUUUGUUUUGGUCACUACUAUUAUUUGUGGCUUUGCACGAGACAGCUUGUAAAUUGGAAUGCCUAGGGUUUCCAAAUGAGGAUAUUCGGUGAUACUUUUGGGAGAAAGGGGAGAGAGAAGUUGUGGGGAUGAUACUUGUGGCGGAGGUGACGAGUGGAGCUGACAUAGAAGCCAUGGUACUUGACUCUGAAUAAUACGUUGUAUUGGCUUUGCUUUUAUAAUGUGUUCUAGGUUUUACGUUUCUUUGCACGGGUGGCAGGCCGUACACACGUGGUCGGUCCUUAAGGGUUUGACGAGGAAUACUACGCAGUCAUUUAGUACAUGACAACCAUACACUAUAGCACGUGGCAUGUAUUUAGAGAUCGAGAGAGAAUUGGGUAAGGUUCACGAGGGAUUGUAGUUUCAGAAGGUGAAUUGGUUUUGGUCUUCUUGUGUACCAAUAAUUUUUACUUAGUCAUUUAGUGCAGGACAACCAUGCACUAUAGCACGUGGCAUGUAUUCAGAGAUCGAGAGAGAAUUGGUUGGGUAAGGUUCACGAGGGAUUGUAGUUUCAGAAGUUCAAGCGGUUUUGGGCUUGUUGUGUACGGCUGUGGGUCUGCUGUCACGGACUCUCUGUCUCAUUUGUGUCUUAUUUUUUAUUUUUUGACACGUUUUAACGUCAAAUCAUUAUAGCAAUGUUAUGCAAUUGGGAGCUAAAUGACCGAUGCUCUUAUUUUUUAGUUUGCUUUUUUUCCAGAUCUGAUCAAAUCAUGAUAGCAAUGUUAUGCAAUUUUCAAGAGGGAGAGAUGCACCUGGGAGAGAAACGGUACGGUGACUUCUAAAUCACCGUCCAACAGAACAAUUCUCAGUAGAGACUACUAGAGAGAGAUGCACCUCACCAAUGAAAAAUUUAACUGCAAAAAUUCUGGGUAUCGGGAGUUGUGGGGUGGGUCUUGGCAGUUUUCUUAUUUCUUUGAAUUUUUUAUAAUUUAUUUUAUAAAAGUAACAGUGUUUUGUGGGGGUUAAAUUGUAAAACACGUGUCAUCAAACUAAAUAAAGAGACACCAAAGAGACAUGGAAUUCGGGACAACAGACCCACAGCCGUUGUGUACGGAGGCAGACUCUCUGCUCUCCUACUUUCUGUGUCCUCCUGUUUUGUGUAGUCACGAUUAAAUCACGUCAAUAUUUUAUAUUAUUAUUUUAUAGAUAUAAUAAGACAAAAAAGAAUAGUAAUUUAAAAUAUUAACGUGACUUAACUGUGACCACACGAAUAGGAAGGCAUGAGAAGUGGGAAGGCAAAGAAUAUGCCUCCGUUGUGUACCAAUAAUAUUAUAUAUAUAUAUAUAUAUAUAUAUAUAAUUAGGAUUGAAGGAUGUAGAGCUUAUUUUGUUAUGUAUUCUAACAAUUUAAGUGCUUAUCUUUUAGGUUUUCUCUUAAACAGCAUGCCUAUAAAAAAUCACCAAAAUUCAAACCAUAUGACCAUUAGAUCCAUAGUCAUUUUAGUGUUAAAUGAACUUCACAAAAUAAGUCUCAAAAUAUGUAUAAAAAAUGGACAGCGUGAAUGGUUUGGAAAUUGGAAUAGGUUUGGAAAUUGUGCUUUUUGUAGCAAAUUGCAGCAAAGUUUGCUUGGACUUUCACAACCGUAUAAAUUAAACUGUUCGCUUUGUUGGGAAAAACAAGUUUGCCGCUGGUCUUGGGUUCCAAGAUCGGCCAAUUUGACGGCACACUUUUUGGCGUUGAGAAGCAGUACGGAGAUGUGCAGAUUAACUUGGAUUGAUACUCCUCCAUCUUCGUUGGUUCGUGUAUUGAACAAAGAUGGCCUUCCUUGCCCUCCUUAAUAUUUUUUGUUCUUCCUGCAGUGGAGGCGGUGACGCCUUGCUCUUGGUGCAGCGUCUAGUGUUCUGUACCCUCCUCUUCUGCAUAUGUUUGUAUUUCCCCUCGUUGCCCCUUCUAAGUGGGCUUCCUAUUGUUUUGGCUUCGGCCCUGGUUAUGAAAUAUUUCCAAUCUUACCCAAAAAAAAAAAAAAAAAGAAGAAGAAGAAGAAGUCAAGCACGGUGGGAGACUGGUCAUAGUUUCUAGAUUGAUGCUCUAAUUCUAAUGUUAUACAACGCGUACGCUAAAAUAUUUUUAUCAAAAUAUUAGUUUUAGUGUUAUCAAAACAAUAAUGUUAUUCUUACCAUGUUUUUGUAUCACAAUUAUAUACCACCUUAGAUGGCAUAUGAUGUAGAUAGCCACAUCAUUUAAAUUAAUAAGCAUUUAAUUUCAAAUGUUAAUCAAUAAUUAAUAAAAUGAUUGUUAAUUAAAUGAUGAUUAUGGUAUACAAGGAGUCUCCUUCUUCCUUCCCCUUUCCAUUCUGCUUUUUCUUCCUACCACUUUCUGUUUUUUUUUUCAUGCCAGUUUUUGUAUUGAUUUCUAUUGAUUUCCAUGAUUAUGGUCAAUCUUUAUAGAAUUUACUCGUAUACCACAACCACCAUUGAUUUCUAUCUCUAGACUCAUGCCCCGUAGCCCUAAUCCUCAUUCCCCUUCAAGUAUUUCUGUCUCCAAUCUUCUUUGGUACUCCAUGGUUGUUCAUCUCGUGAUUUUUUUUUAUUAUUUCAUUAAGUAACGCCUAUUAGCUUUCAUGCGAAUUAGGAGUCAAAAUCAAAUUUGUCUAUCGGAUUAGGGUUCAUGCCCAAUUAAGUUACUAACGCAAGAGAGAUUUUGAAGUCUACAAUUUUCCUUAUUUAAGUGUUUUAAUUAAUAAGAAAAUUGAAAUUAAACGAUUUAGCUUGUCCAACUCAUCUGCCACCUAAGAUGGUAAAUAAAUGUGGUAAGAAUAGCAUUACUCUUAUCGAAAUUACAAAAAAAAAAAAAAAAAAAAAAAAAAGCUGAUUCAAUAUUUAGUUAUUAAAAAAAAUAUAAAAAAAGUGAUCAAGUAACUAUCCAAUACCCAUGUAUUGGGUGCUUUGUUUGAAAAUUUUCAAAAUGAUAUUGGGCUCGUUUGGAUAUGUUUUUAAAAUGACUGAAAGCGUUUUUAGAGAAAAUAUUUUUUUGAUUCCAAAAGCACUUAAAGUGUUUUCUGCAAAAAGCACUUAAAGUGCUUUCUGCAAAAAGCACCAGUUAUGUGCUUCUUCCUAGAAGCACUUUAAGUGUUUUUCAAGCAUUUACUUGCUUUUUUACUAAGGAUUGGUUCCAAAAACAUUUUCACAAAAAGUGUUUUCAGUCAUUUUAAAAGUACAUUCAAACGAGCUCAUUGUUUUUCCUAUUUUAAUCAAGUGCGUCGUCCCCUGUUGAGAAUGAAUCUCAUAUUAUGGGGAGAGGGGUCUUGCAUGGAUGAGAGGAGGGACCUUGCAUGAGCUUAUAAGUAAGUUGGGUUACUCUCUAUAUUGCCAAGAGAAAUUUUAUUUGGACCUACUUUUCCUCUCUCUAAACCCAACUUUAAUAUUUUGUUACCUAAACUCUCUAGUUUACCCUCAUAAAUUAUAAACAUAAAUAAACUGGAAAAAGAAAAACUCAUCAAACCUAUUUCCCAACUGUUCUGGCGUCUCUUCCCUGUAUUUGUUGGGUCUAUCUCCCUCCCGACUGUUUUUUUUCCCUGAUAUUCUCUGUGUGUUCCCCCACCUCUCCCACACCCACCGAUUCUUUGUGGUGGCUAUUCCACCCAACGUCCAGUGAAUCUUUCCAUUUUUCUUCUAUUGCGCGUGAUAGGGCCUUGCUGUUAAUAGGCAAAACUAAGCGGCAUCGUCGACUCUGUAAGCGACUUGUUGCAGAAGUCCAAAAUGGAGUCAAAAGGAUUUUGUAUUGGGUCGGGUUGUUGAAGGCGAUGGCUGAUUUAGCAAUCUCGCCUAACUACUUCUAUAUGCAGGAGAAGGAAGAGGGAGGAAGGUCUAAAGUGGUGGUUGAGUGGUGGCGAUGUAUGUGGGUUCUAUCUCGGUUGAAUGGGUGUAGAAAGAUAUUUAAUUUUCAGUUUCUUAUUUUAUUUUGUAUAAGGGAUAAUAUCGGAAUUACAUAAAAAGUUUUUUUUAUAGCUGGGUGUAGAAAUAGUAUUGUUGGGUCUAAAUAAAAUUACCCUAUUGCCAAACAUAGUAUUGUUGGGUCUAAAUAAAAUUACCCUAUUGCCAAUUAGCUUUGUUUGAAAAUUUUCAAAAUGAUAUUGUUUUUACCAUUGAACCCUUGUUAUAUACAGUGAUGGCUAAUUUGUCAAGUUCUACGAAGUUGGGAUACCCAGCGUUUUAGCAUAUAACAUAACUUAGUAUUACAAGCAUAAUUAAUUAAAAUAAAGGAAAAUGAAGAGGAUAGCUUAGUAUUACAAGCAUAAUUAAUUAAAAUAAAGGCAAAAGUAACAGCCUGUCCCUAAAAAUGACGAUUUUAUAAUCUUAACACGUGAGUUUAUGAAGAUGCCCUUCGAGGCAAAGUGUUGACUUGUGUUGACUACCGCAUCGUGUCAUGUGAGACUCAUCUUCUUGGCGUAUUCUCGUUUUACUUGUCACUACGGACGCAUGGGCGCAAACGGGACAUGAUUUGGAGCUAUAACGAAUGAGUUAUUAACAUUUAAAGUUAAGGACAUUUUAGUAAAUUAAUUAAUUUCAGAUUAUGUUGAGGGGAAAAUCUGGAGUGCCGGUGGGUGGCCCAGAUUAAAGGAAAUGAAGAAUGGAUGGUGGAGGUGUAAAGGAAAGAAGAUAAAAGAAAAAUGAGAGGAAGUGUGUGACUAAUAGGGAGAUGAGAGAGUUAGGAUGGCCCAAUCAGAAACAAACGAAAGGAGGAAAAAGGAGAGAAGAGGGGAGCGGGGGAUCCCUUCGACCCGGUUCCAUUUUCCGACCCGACCCGAUCCUUUUCAUCUUCUUUGAUGGUUUUUCGUCGGUUUUUUCCGACGAACCACGUUAUCUAACCCCUUGGAAAAUGUUCCACAACCUUCCCUCAACUAUUACAAUCCAAAAUUGUAGAAAUUUAGCCAUGAAAGUAUGAAAACCACACCGGUGGGUGCGGGAAACCCUUGUCGUCGAUUCUCCCAUUAUUGCAACGAUUUUCACCAAUUACCACCACCUACAACAUCCUCUUGAGGUCUGGAAUAAAGCCCAAACAAGUUUUGCACUACUACAAUAUUAGCUUUAGAUGGCAGAUGAUGGUGGCGGAUUUAGAAAAAUAUUGUCGGAUAAAUUAUAUCUGACACAUUAUUUAAUUAGUGGUGAAUAUAAGAAAAAUCAUGUCGGUUAUAACCGACAUAAAUUCGUGGCAGAUACUAGCAGAUAUUAAAAAACUCAUGUCGGUUAUAACCGACAUAAAUUCCUAGCGAAUAAUUACUGACAGAUAUUAUAAAACUUCUGUCGGUUAUAACCGACAAUAUUUUUGAAUUGGGGGAAUUUAAAAUUUUGGGAGGGAAUUUAAAAUUUUGGGAGGGAAUUUAAAAUUUUGGAGGAAAUUUUGGGGGGAUUUUUACCCAUAUUAAUUCAUGGCGGAUAAUUACUGACGAAUAUUAUAAAGCUCAUGUCGGUUAUAACCAACAAUAAUGAAAAUGUUUAUGUCGAUUUUUAUUAAAAAAAUGUUUCUGUCAGUUUUAACCGACAUUAAUGAAAAUAUUCCACAGUAAAACCCCUACUUCUUCUCCUUGUGCUGGUGCCUUCUCCCUUCCCCCUUCUUUCCCCCUUUUCUCUUCUCCUCAUUUCCUUUUCCUUUGUAUUUUUGAUUUUGACAAGGUCUCUCCUUUAUUUGAUUCUUUGUUGUUCAUCUCUCACAAAUGUAGAGAGAGUAAAGGAGAUGCUUAGAGCGCUUUCUUUGUUCCUUUUUUUUUUCUUUUCAUUUUUUCCCUUUUCAAACUCCGACUAUGUCUUACAUGGCCGGUCCCAAGCCCGGAUAAAGGAGGAGGGGGAGGGCGUCAGGUAGUCGACAGCCGGCACUCCAUGAUCACGUCGAAUCCUUAUGAAAAUGAAUCCAGAACAAAAUCGCGCUAAAGCUAGGGCGCCACCCGUAAGUGGCGCGCUGUGUGGCCCGAGCACAGUGAUAAGUGAGCAAGGGUCGCUGUAUCUCCAUCGGCACUCGGAUGCAGUGUUAAAUGAGCAAGGGGGCCAUAGAAACUUCUUUUCGAACGACUCCACUCAAAGUUGUUUGGGAGCAUAUGCUCCUAUCAACUUUACCCGGGACACACAAAAGAAGUACUUUGAUCCUAUUAGACGGGGGAGGGUGAAGAAGCUAGGACAGAAGGGUAGAGUUCAAGAGAGCAAAAUGCGUUUAGGAACGUGGAAUAUAGGAACCUUAACGGGAAAAUCUAUGGAAGUAGUGGAAGUUAUGGUGAGGAGAAGGAUAAAUAUUAUGUGCCUACAAGAAACUAAGUGGGUUGGUAGUAAGGCAAAGGAUCUAGAAAACUCAGGGUUUAAACUUUGGUAUUCGGGCACAAAUAGAACGAGAAACGGUGUUGGCAUCAUCGUGGACAAGACCUUGGUACAAGAUGUUGUAGAUGUCAAGAGUGUAGGAGAUAGAAUCAUGGCAAUCAAGAUUGUAAUAGGACAAGAACUUAUCAAUGUGAUUAAUGCGUACGCACCUCAAGUAGGGUUGGAUACGAGUUCGAAGGAGAAAUUUUGGGAAGAUCUUGGAGACUUGGUGCAAGGAAUUGCUCAGACGGAGAAGUUAUUUAUAGGAGGAGAUUUAAAUGGACACGUGGGCAGGGAGACAGGCAACUAUGGAGGUUUUCAUGGUGGCCAUGGUUUUGGGGAGAGAAACGAGGAUGGGGAAGCUAUCUUGGAUUUUACAAUGGCAUAUGAUCUCUUCUUAGCCAACACCUUCUUUAAGAAGAGAGAAGAACAUGUGAUCACCUACAAGAGUGGGUCGUCAAAAACACAAAUAGAUUUUCUUCUAAUGAGGAAAGGGGAUCGUAUAACUUGUAAGGAUUGCAAAGUUAUACCAGGAGAGAGCGUGGCUAAUCAACAUCGCUUGUUGGUGAUGGAUGUACAUAUCAAAAGAGUAAGACAAAAGAACAAGACUUGGAAGUGCCCAAGGACUAGAUGGUGGAAUCUAAAAGAAGAAAAACAAGUCAUUUUCAAAGAGAAGGUAAUCACCCAAUGUGUGUGGGAUAGAGAGGGGGAAGCUAGCCAAAUGUGGGAUUUCAUGGCUAGUUGUAUCCGAAAAGUAGCAAAAGAGGUAUUAGGAGAGUCUAAGGGCUUUGCCCCACACUAAAAGGAAUCUUGGUGGUGGAAUGAGGAGGUACAAACAAAGGUGAAGGCUAAGAAGGAAUGUUGUAAAGCCUUAUACAAGGAGAGGACCGAUGAAAAUGGUGAAAGGUAUAGAAAAAAAGCGAAGCAAGAGGCGAAGAAAGCUGUCAGAGAAGCUAAGUUAGCGGCUUACGACGAUAUGUAUAAACGACUAGAUACCAAAGAAGGAGAGUUGGAUAUCUAUAAACUAUCUAGAGCAAAGGAAAAGAAGACAAGGGACCUAAACCAAGUGAGGUGCAUCAAGGAUGAGGAUGGAAAGGUUCUUGCUACAGAGAACGCGGUUAAAGACAGAUGGAGAGGUUAUUUUCAUAAUCUUUUCAAUGAAGGACAUGAAAUGAGUGCUUCUUUAGGGGAGUUGAGUAACUCAGAAGAGUGUAGAAACUACUCUUUUUAUCGUCGAAUCCGGAAGGAAGAAGUGGUUGUAGCUUUGAAGAAGAUGAAGCAUAAAAAAGCAAUAGGCCCAGACAAUAUACCAAUCGAAGUGUGGAAACUUUUGGGAGAGACAGGUAUAACAUGGCUCACUGACCUUUUCAAUAGGAUUUUGAAAACGAAAAAGAUGCCAAAUGAGUGGCGAACGAGCACUUUGGUGCCUAUCUACAAGAAUAAGGGCGACGUACAAAAUUGCAUGAACUAUAGGGGUAUUAAGCUAAUGAGUCAUACAAUGAAGCUCUGGGAGAGAGUCAUUGAGCAUAGAUUGAGGCAAGAGACACGGGUUUCGGACAACCAAUUCGGGUUCAUGCCAGGGCGCUCAACCAUGGAGGCAAUCUAUCUCUUACGAAGAUUGAUGGAAAGAUAUAGAGAUGGGAAAAAUGAUUUACACAUGGUCUUUAUAGAUUUGGAAAAAGCGUAUGAUAGGGUCCCAAGAGACAUUCUUUGGAGGAUUUUAAAGAAGAAAGGAGUACGAGUAGCAUAUAUCCAAGCUAUAAAGGACAUGUAUGAAGAAGCAAAGACUGCCGUAAGAACUCAUGAAGGACAAACCGAAAGCUUUCCCAUAACUGUAGGAUUACAUCAAGGCUCAUCCUUAAGUCCUUACCUUUUUGCGUUGGUAAUGGAUGAGUUAACAGGACAUAUUCAAGAUGAUAUUCCUUGGUGUAUGCUUUUCGCAGACGAUAUAGUGUUGAUAGAUGAAACUCAGGAAGGGGUAAAUGCAAAGCUUAACCUUUGGAGAGAAGUGUUGGAAUCUAAAGGUCUUCGCCUAAGCCGAUCAAAGACAGAAUAUAUGGAGUGCAAGUUCAGUGCAAAUGGAGGCCAAAACGAGUUAGGGGUGAGGAUCGGAGAUCAAGAAAUACCAAAGAGUGACCGUUUUCGUUACCUAGGAUCUAUCUUGCAAAAGAACGGAGAAUUAGAUGGAGAUCUCAACCAUAGAAUACAAGCUGGAUGGAUGAAGUGGAAGAGUGCAUCUGACGUGUUGUGUGACCGUCGUAUGCCACUGAAGCUCAAAGGAAAAUUUUAUAGGACGGCAAUAAGGUCGGCGAUGAUUCAACUUGGCGGGUUCGAGCAAAUAGGCGUUGGGCCAUAUUAGACACAGAACCUGCACACUGAACACUGAGAGCUAGCGAAUCCUUAACAGCUAACUCAUCAGACCGUUUGGAAAGUAGUCUGUUAUCUUUGGGAGUGAGAAGGUUCCUGGCCACCACCGCAGCGGUCAUAUCAUUCUUCAUCACGGAAUCCCCAACGGUAAGAGGACCAGUAGGGGAGACAAAGGAUGGGCGCCAUAUGUUGUCUGGAGAAGGCGGGGCUGCCUCUUCAACAAGGUUCAAGUCAAAAAACGACGGUCGGAGGGCCAGACAUUUUCAAAGGUGUUGAAGAGAGAAGAGGUCGGACACAAAUCAAGAUCUUAGAAGUGCAAGAAUGAAGCUUCUACUGGUGGAGAUUCAAGUGUGCUUUGGAACUUAAUGCCAGCCCCUAUAAAAAUCUGCACUCGACGGAGCUUCAGAAAUCGAAGAGGCGUUUGCUUUCUCAAAAGCUGGGCUGCUUAGAGAUCACGAGGGUUGAUCUCAGGAAUCGAAGAGGCGUUUGCUUUCUCAAAAGUUGGGCUGCUCAAAGACCACGAAGGCCGAUCUCAGAAAUCGAAGAGGCGCUCACUUUCUCAAAAACUGGGCUCCCCAGAGACCACGAGGGCCGAUCUCAAAAAUCGAAGAGGCACCUACUUUUCCAGCCUUGUCAGCACCUGUCACACGCACACUCAGCUUUGCGGAAAUUAUGGGCAUUCUGUCGAAGACUUCUGGGGAAGUAGAAAACACAUGAAUCUUACUGUUCAAUCACCCACUUCCCACACGCAAUAAUAGCUCAUGGGUACCACAGAUAACUUUGCCAAAGUUCUCUGCCAAAGUUGAGCACGUGAAGCUUGCAGCUCCCACUACAUCGCUCUGACCAAGAAGGGUAAAAAGAAUAGCAAAGAAACAGCACUAACAAAGUUUAGACCCAUAAAUUUUGAAGGUCUAGCUACCAUAUUAUUACCCACAAGGGUAAAGGAACAGUACCACUGCUGGAUAAUUGGAAAGUCCCUAUGUGUCAACCUCUGUGCUUCGUGGCAAGGUAGACUAGCAAACAUGCCCAACCUUUACUCACAUUCGAGAAAACACUCCCAAUAAGAUUGCUUGCUCCAAAAUCGAAGAGGCACCGUCCUCCGAAUCUCGAGAGCCAGACUCCCAACAUGACUACUUUCUUAAAAAUCGAAGAGAGGGUAAAGGAACAGUACCAUUGCUGGAUAAUUGGAAAGUCCAUGUGUGUCAACCUCUGUGCUUCGUGGCAAGGUAGACUAGCAAACAUGCCCAACCUUUACUCACAUUCGAGAAAACACUCCCAACAAGAUUGCUUGCUCCAAAAUCGAAGAGGCACCGCCCUCCGAAUCUCGAGAGCCAGACUCCCAACAUGAUUACUUUCUCAAAAAUCGAAAGAGACACUGCUCCCCGAAUCUUCGAGAGCCAGACCCCCAGCAUGAUUGCUUUCUCAAAAAUCGAUGAGGCAUCGUUCUCCGAAUCAAUCGAAGAGGCGCUCGCUUUCUCAAAAGCUGGGCUGCUCAGAGACCACGAGGGCCGAUCUCAGAAAUCGAAGAGGCACUUACUUUUCUAGCCUUGUCAGCACCUGUCACACGCACACUCAGCUUUGCAGAAAUUAUGGGCAUUCUGUCGAAGACUUCUGGUGAAGUAGAAAGCACAUUAAUCCUACUGUUCAAUCACCCACUUCCCACACGCAACAAUAGCUCAUGGGUACCACAGAUAACUUUGCCAAAGUUCUCUGCCAAAGUUGAGCACGUGAAGCUUGCAGCUCCCACUACAUCGCUCUGACCAAGAAAGGUAAAAGAAUAGCAAAGAAACAGCACUAACAAAGUUUAGACACAUAAAUUUUGAAGGUCUAGCUACCAUAUUAUUACCCACAAGGGUAAAGGAACAGUACCACUGCUGGAUAAUUGGAAAGUCCCUGUGUGUCAACCUAUGUGCUUCGUGGCAAGGUAGACUAGCAAACAUGCCCAACCUUUACUCACAUUCGAGAAAACACUCCCAACAAGAUUGCUUGCUCCAAAAUCGAAGAGGCACUGUCCUCCGAAUCUCGAGAGCCAGACUCCCAACAUGACUACUUUCUCAAAAGCGAAGAGAGGGUAAAGGAACAGUACCAUUGCUGGAUAAUUGGAAAGUCCCUGUGUGUCAACCUUUGUGCUUCAUGGCAAGGUAGACUAGCAAACAUGCCCAACCUUUACUCACAUUCGAGACAACACUCCCAACAGGAUUGCUUGCUCCAAAAUCAAGAGGCACCGCCCUCCGAAUCUCGAGAGCCAAACUCCCAACAUGAUUACUUCCUCAAAAAUCGAAGAGACACUGCUCUCCGAAUCUCGAGAGCCAGACCCCCAGCAUGAUUGCUUUCUCAAAAAUCGAAAAGGCAUCGUUCUCCGAAUCUCGAGAGCCAGAUACCACAGACCACUUUUUCAAAGUGCUCUGACAGAGUUAAAACAUGUGAAACUGGCAGCUCCCACUACCGUGCUAUGACCAAGCAGGGUAAAGGAAUAGCAUUACUACUUGUUGUUAGGGAGACUCCUAUAUAUGUCGACCUCCAUCCCCAACGGACAGGCAGACCUGCAAAAAUGCUCAACCCUUCAUCAUAUCUGAGUGGGCACUCCCAACGAAGCCUUUCGAAAUAUUCAGCUUUCUUUCCCCCCGAUAAUACCUCUGCAAACAAGCUAUACUAGAGCAAGAAUAUCUCAUAUCAUCAGGGUUAAAAGCAAGAGUAUCCCAUAUCAUGCUUUUUCCCUGUCUUUUCCUUUGGCCUUGUUUUUACCUGCAAGACAAGGAGAAAGAGAGCAAUCAGUCAGCACUUGGAAUCAAGCUUCCAACCAGGAAAUGACUGCCUGGAACCCCUUACUUGGCAUUGCUCUCGAGUACUCAUCUUCAACAUCUUAUGUUUCCAGGGAAGAUUCUGCAUCUGCUUGAGGAACAGAUAGGGCAAGUGCGAAGGAUACAAGGAAGCAUGCGGAGACAAGCGUAACAGCACACGUGCCGAUACAUCCAUUACUCUGUCAAAAGCAAAAGUAUCCCAUAUCAGCAGGGUGGAACGUACUCUAGAUUUGAUGGACUUGUUUUGACCCUCAAAUUCUUCAGUCGGCCUUAUAUUCUGGAGGAAACCAGAAAACCCUCCAGCUCAGUUCAAGAAUAAGCCUGUGGAAAGUUACUUCUUCAAAAGCAAAAGUAUCUCAUAUCAUCUCUUCUCAUUUUUCUUCUCUCUUUAUCCUUCAUGCUGCUGCAAGAUGGGGAGAAGGUGAACAAUCAGUCGGAGCUCUGAUUGCUUACCUUGUCUGUCACCUCUUUCAGCAGACCCCCUAGCUCGGCGACUUGGGGGACUCCUACUAAAUGGUUUGUAUCGCGCUUGACCAAGCCUGAAACUACAAGUAAGCUUCAAGUGAAAUUGAUACAUUACCUUGUGCAUCUCCACCAGUUAAAGAUACCACCCCUGGAUGGAGGAAGAGUACUUCCAGAGAAGAUGCCACAUCUACCUAUGAGACAGAUAAGGCAAGUCAAGACGACACCACACUCCGAUACUUAGAAGUUUCGUGAUUAUGAGAUCAUUCUCCCACAAUAUUUCCUAAUGUCAUUUGUACUAAAUCAUUCACUUGUACUCACUAAAGGAGAGCUUGAACCUAUGUACUUGUGUAAACCCUUCACAAUUAAUGAGAACUCUUCUAUUCCGUGGACGUAGCCAAUCUGGGUGAACCACGUACAUCUUGUGUUUGCUUUCCUAUCUCUAUCCAUUUAUAUACUUAUCCACACUAAUGACCGGAGCAAUCUAGCGAAGAUCACAAAAAGCGACCGUUUUCGCUACCUAGGAUCUAUCUUGCAAGAGAACGGAGAAUUAGAUGGAGAUCUCAACCAUAGAAUACGAGCUGGAUGGAUGAAGUGUAAGAGUGCAUCCGGCGUGUUGUGUGACUAUCGUAGGCCACUGAAGCUCAAAGGAAAAUUUUAUAGGACGGCAAUAAGGCCAGCGAUGUUGUAUGGCACAGAAUGUUGGGCGGUGAAGCAUCAACACGUACACAAAAUGGGUGUAGCGGAGAUGAGGAUGCUUCGUGGGAUGUGUGGGCACACGAGAAAGGAUAAGAUUGGGAAUGAGGAUAUCCGAGGUAAAGUAGGAGUAGCCGAAAUUGUAGGAAAGAUGAGAGAAAAUCGGCUCCGGUGAUUUGGACAUGUGCAAAGAAGGCCGACUGACGCUCCGAUUCGAAGAUGUGACUACGGGACAGAGGUUCAGGGCCGAAGGGGUAGAGGAAGACCUAGGAAAACUUUGGAAGAGACUCUAAGAAAAGACUUAGAGUACUUGGAUCUAACGGAGGACAUGACACAAAACCGAGCGCAAUGGCGUUCUAGGAUUCAUAUAGCCGACCCCACUUAGUGGGAAAAGGCUUUGUUGUUGUUGUUGUUGUUGUAUUUUUUCCCUUUUCAAAAUCGAAAUGUUCUAAAUUAUUUCACUAAUCCUUGCUAGUUUGAACUGCAGGAGUCUGUCUCUGGAUUUGAAAGAUUAUCUGGACUUACAGUUUUGAAGAAUUGGGAUUCUAGUGUUACACAUAUUAUUGCAUCGACAGAUGAAAAUGAAGCAUGCAGAAGAACCCUUAAAAUUUUGAUGGGUAUCUUGGAGGGGAAGUGGAUUCUGAGUGUGGAGUGAGUUUUACUGUUUUCGUUUUAAUUGUUCUUCCUCAAGUGCUUGGACUUUACAAUUGUAAUGAGUACAGAAGCCGAAAUGAGAUAUUGAUAUACAUGUUCACAUUGCUGAUAAUUCGUUAUCCGUCUGUUUGUGUAGGAAUUAAUGCUUGCACAUAAGUAAUGAAACUAGUUAAUGAGGAGCCUUAUGAAAUCAACGUUGACAUUUAUGGAAUCAGGGAUGGUCCUCGACUUGGUAGACUAAGGCUGCAGAACAAGGUUAGCUUUUCCUCGAGUUUAACUAUCAUCACGAAAACUUUAGAUUUUCAUGGAUUCACCAUAGGCAUUGUUAAUCUUGUUCAGUCCAUAAAUAGGUUACACACUUAUCUUAACAAAGGUGAGACCUUCUCAAUUCCUCAUCGAGAUGAAUCAAGAGCAUAAUUGUAGCAGUGAUCAAGAGCAAUUUUUUUAUGUUUCUUCCAAAUUGUUGAGAUGAAUCAUCUGUGUUUUGUUCUAAUAAUCUUACAAAUUUGUUGAGCAAUUUUUGUAAAGUCAGAAUCUUUGGUUUCGGUUGUGAGGUAUCUGAUUUGGGUAUAUGUGUUUUGCAGGGCACGGUGGUUGUGGCGGAGGAAGAUUAGGAUUGACGACAGAGCUCUGGCCAUGAACUAUCAGCUCUGUCUUUCUCUCUCUAACUAUGAAUUGAAUACAAAAGUCUGUGUUGAUAUGGAAAAUGUAGCUCAAAAUUAUUACACAAAUGGCAAAAAAAAAAAGUUCGAGUGUGGAGUUUCACUUACUGAUACAGGGCUUUUGAAACAGGGUUGUCUAGACUGUAGAAGAAAUCCAUGGCUUUUGGAAGAGGGGAUGUUCCAAAUCUAUCUUUUCUCCCUCUCUAAUGUUCUUCGAGGGGUUCUUGUGAUGCAAAAAGUGGUUUAUAUAUAUUUUUUAUUAUUAAUAAAUUUUCUGUCGGUUUUAUCAGACAAUAAUUCUUUUAUUUAUUCUUAUUAAUAAUUUCUCUGUCGGUUAUAUCUGACACAAUUUCUGUCGAUUUUAGAGUAUUUUCUAUCGAAAAUUUCAUUUCCUGACGCAUCAAUUAUGUCGCUUAUUAUAUCCGCCACUGCACUCAUUUCAUGUCGGAUUUUGCUUAAUUUCCAACAGUAUUAUACAUUUCUUGUCGGUUUUUAAACCGACACUAAUGGGUACUUUUGUAGUAAUGUUGGGGCGUCGGAGUUCGUUUAAGGUCGAAUUGAGCACACCCAAAUUCAAGGGUUCCGUACGGUUCAUGGUAAUUUGAGGUAUUUCUCAGCCAAAUUGUCCUUAGUCACAGAUAUGAAAGUUGCUCCACUCGUUGAGAUCUUCAUUUAUGUCAAAUUUGAGAAUUUUUAGAAAUAAUUGGAUUUUCCAGCGAAUCGGGGCGGCGGACCACCACCGGACAGCGCAUGGCUAGUGGGCCCCCAAUGUCAUUUUACGUUAAAUUGGUAUCUUGAUUUUAGGUUUGAUGUCUAUAUGUUAUGACUUGAUAUGUGAACCUAGUUUAAUUAAGGUGCGUUAAUUGGUAAAAAUAUGAAACGACGAUCCGACCGUGGGAUCGUCACCAAUCUUUAUUAUGUUAUAGUACAUUAUAUUUGAGAAUCAUAGGGACUGACGGAUAGGAAAUCCGAUAUACGGAUCUUCCUGAAAUGGAAUUGUAAGUUCGAAGAAUAAACGUUAACCGCCACUUUGUUUUGACUAUUGGUGAAGAUCCAACCGUUGGAUCAUAAUGAAAUUUUAGGAUGAUGUUUUAGAAGCAUAAUGUGGAUCUUUGGAAGUUAUUGAUUGGAAAUCCGAGGAGCGAAUCUUCCGGAUUGAAUUACGUAAGGUUGUGGACCCUACCGUCGAUCGUUGACUGACGAUCGACUUUUGGUCAAUGGGGCUUAAAUCACUCUAAAAUGUUUUUAGGGAUGUGUUUUACGUAAAUUACAUUAUCUAUGGAUAAGAAUUCUGAGAUGUGGUUUGAUAAUUGUCCUGGGCGCCGAUCGUUAGGAACGCUUCGAUGGUUGUGCUAGGAAAUUGUAGCAUAGACUCCAGGUGAGUGAAUCUUUUCCUUCUUAUAUAUAUAUAUAUAUAUAUAUGAUUGACAAUUCCACAAACGUUUAUAAAUUGAUUAUUGCAUAUAACUACUGUAAAUACUUUGAAGUACUUAUGCGAACUACGAAUGGCUUGAUCCCUAUUUAGGGUACGUAUGCAGUCUAACAAGACAUUAAAUGCAGUCAUACAAUAAUUGAGAUUAAACAAUUGAGACAAAGCCUUGUAUGGGGAACUGGGCAAGGUGAACGAAUUUGGUAAAAAUGUGAGAUUUAACCUUCUGAAUUGGUGAUUAAAUGUUGGUCAUAAAUCAAUGUGUAAAGAAUCAAGAAUUUGAAGUAAGGAAACGUAAGUAAUGAUAAUUAAUUAAACUAGUGUCUAGUUGGGCUUGUCACCUAUAAUUAUCCCCAAAAAUGAAUAAUUCGGGAGUAGGGCGUUAUAGCUUCUGCAUUUUUAUGCCACAUUAUAUAUAUAUAUAUAUGUGUGUGUGUGUGUGUGUGUGUGUGUGUGUGUAUAAUUGGAAAUGCUAUAACGUGGUUGAGUAUCAGAUUUCAUCAUGGUUUAUCUAUAUGUAUAUUACCUGCACACAAUUAUUAUGAACACUUUGAAGUGCAAAGGUGAACGCAAGACACCCAGGAAAGUUCAGGUGAGUUUAUGGUAUUAGUUGAAAUGAUGGGGUUAUGGUAACUACAUGUAUGUUUAGGUUGCAAUGAUAGGCAACUCCGACACUGUCGUACAAGUUGCCCAUGAAUUGUAUAUGUUACAAUAGAUAGAGUUAGAGGUCAUAAACCUGCACCCCGGUGUUAGUGCUCCCACCCGUGGCUAGGGCACAGUCUUUCACGAGAUGUUCACCUCUCGCAUCUUACGCUCACCUUGGAUCCAAGGUAGGUGCACAGUCAUGUCAUAAAGACCACUAUAGGUGGUUCCGACUAGUAGAUGACCCGUGAUUAUUCGCACAGUCUUCACGUGAUUGUAGCACUUGAGCGUAUUUAUUUACACCCAGUCCUGUCGUACAGACCACUUUAGGUGGUUCCGACUCGUAUGCAGGUAUACUUAUUGAGCUAUGGAUAAGUCGUACAGGUCACUAAAGGUGACUCCAACUUAUGAGCUAGCAUAUGUGAUGAAAUAUGUGAUGAGCUAGCAUAUGUAAUGAGAUAAGUGAUGAGCUAGCAUAUGUGAUGAGAUAUGUGAUGAGUUAGCAUACGUUAUGAGAUAUGUGAUGAGUGAUAUAAUCAUAAUUGCAUACAUUUUCAUGCCCUUUUAGUUUAGAUUUUUGUUAUCCUUUUGAGUGAAUUUAGUUUGUUUCACUUAGUUUUAUGUUUUUCUUAGAUUUGAAGUGUGAAGAUGAAGAAAGAAGAAAAAAGAGCAUUUUUAGCGAUUGAAAUGAGUUUGGCAUGCUGGAAGCAGAGGCUAUUUGUGCGGAUCAGCCAACUUUACGGAUUAAACUGUACUUCCUUAGAAUGCCAGCUGUUGAGUCUUAUACCAUUGGAAAGAUAUGAAAGUUAGCUUUCAGAGGAAUUUUACGAUUCGUGAUUCCGAGUUUCCUAGAAGACGUUAUAGUGGUUUUUCUACCAGAUGUCUGCCAGCAAGGUUUUACGCGGGAUUUGCAAAGAGAUUCCAGAUUUACAAAGUUUAAUUAAAGGAAACAAGCAGAGAAAAAAGAAGAGGAAGCUUUUAGAAAAGUUCAGGACUAUUCUAAACGGUGCAUAGUUAAUAUAUUUAAUAGUUUAGUGUGCCACAUCAUCAAUAAACUAAUCUAAGUCAGAAGAGAAAUUCAAGAGUCCCAUUCAAGUAAGUAUUCCAGCAGUUUUAUUCAGGAAUAAAGGAGGGCAGACCGUCGGACUUUAGGAGCGGACAGAGAGAGUUUUUGGGUUUUCGAAGGUGCAGAGAAGAGGUCGCAGCAAGGAGUGAAACAGAGUCGCCGAUCAUCUGGGCAAUCCAUCACCAUCGUGUGGAAGUAUUUUAUGUUUUUCAGAUUUUUAAUUAUGUUUUCAGAUUUUAUGAGUAACUAAACUCUUUUUCUAAGGUUAGGAUGAUGCCCUAGCAUGGAUGUUUAUGGUUUGUAAUGUUAUUCAUUGGAUUUCCAGUUUCUUUUAGAUGAAUGCUUAAUCACUGUUUGAAUUGUUACUGUUUGUUUGAGUUCUUUGAUUGAUCACCUUAGGACUUUGCAUCUAGUAAGAUUGGAAGAUGAAUUUGAGACUGAACUAACAAUAUAAUUCAAUUAGCUUCUUGUGGUUAAGUGUGGUAAAUUACAUUAUUGCUUGAAAAAGAAUAAUGGUUUGUUUGGGUCCCUUGUUUUCUAGAGGGUAAAGAGUCCUACUUGUUAAAUUUAUGCCUUAACUAGGAUAGACUGCUUGUUAGGAUAUACGACCUCUGCCUAAACUAGGAGAGAAUCAUUCACAUAAGGAAAACUAUGGUCUAAUAUGCCUGACAAGGACUUAGAUACGGGAAUUAUCAUCUAAAGAAUUGAAAGAUCCAUUGAAUGCAUUGAAACCUAAACUAGAUUGCUUGUGGUUGAUUCCGAAUCCCUAGAUUUUCAUCACUUGCCUUAAAACACAACCGUUUCUUUUCUUUAAUUUCAGUUUUUACUUAAGGUUCUGUUUUUGUUCAUUUAUAAAAUCAUCACAACAAAUUUUUUACAUCUUUGAUUGACUUAUUAAUUAAGAUCGAGUCUAGUUCGUUGUUUGGGUUUGUGUGUCUUUAAUAUAAUUAGAUUUGGUUUAGUUUAUCAAAUUGGAGAUUGAAUUAGAAUCCUCGUGGGAACGAUACUUGGACUUGCAAAACGUUAUAUUACGACUAUCUUGUGCACUUGUAAGUUUACACCAAGUUUUUGGCGCCGUUGCCGGGGACUCUAAUUGAGUCCCCCAAUUUGAUAUCAUAUUCCAUAUCUAAUAAGUAGUUUAUUGUAGAUUAUUCAAUUUGAUUUUGUUUUGUUCUCUAGUUUCGAGUAAGAGUCAUAACUAUUAAGAUAAGUAAAAGUAAUUUUCGUCACUGUUUUAUUUCAGUUUUGUAUCACUGUUUCGACACAGUUUUGGACUAAACUAUUCGAUUUUUUACCAGGAAUAUUGUGUAUCGUUGGAAAGCCCCAGAAGUCUAGUUUUCAACCCAAAAAACAGAUCAAUGAUUGGAUUUUUGAGCUGCAAGAAAUGUACAAAAUACUGAGCAGUGGUCAAACAAGGAGCACAGUCUGGUCGUAUAUGCAAGGUAGACGUUCGUUGCAAUUUGAGUUGAUUCAUAUAGACCAAGAACUUGUGCGUACUUUAAGAGAACAGUGGAGGCAGCGAGUGUGUCAAGAACCAGCCAUGGAGGAAGUAGUUAAUAAUGGUGGAAAUAAUCCUCCACCAUUGCUACCACCACAACCAAGGCUCAUGCGUGAUUAUACAAAGCCAACGGAGUACAACGCACCGUCAUGCAUUGUUUUGGCUCCAAUUGCGCAGCGAUUUGAGAUUCGUCCACAAAUCUUUCAGUUGCUGCCUAUAUUUCUUGGGAAGGAGGAAGAAAAUCCAUACCAUCAUAUCAAGGCGUUUUUCAAGCUAUGUUCCACAUUCACAUUCACCAAUGUUACUGAAGAGCAAAUUCGACUUCGGUUAUUCCCAUUCUCUUUGAGGGAUAAAGCAAGCAGUUGGUUGGAUUCUCUUCCCGAAGCAUCUAUCGACACAUGGACAAAAUUAUCGAAGAAGUUUUUGUCCAAGUUCUUCCCCGCUCGAAGAACCAAUGCUCUGAUCAAUGAAAUCAUGAGCUUUCGACAACAAGAAGGUGAACAGUUUCAUGAAAGUUGGGAGCGCUAUAAGGACUUGUUUCUUCAAUGUCCUCAUCAUGGUUUCAACACUUGGCAAAAGGUUCAUUAUUUUUACAAAGGUUUGAACUCUCAAUGUAGGAGUUUGGUUGAUUCAACGGUUGGUGGAACCUUGAUAGACAAAACUCCAGAAGAUGCCAUACAUGCCUUUGAAACUAUAUGUGAAAAUUCUGAGCAUUGGGAUUUUCCUACAAAAGAUUUGAGAGUUCCAACUGCAUCGUCAACAAAAAAAGGAGGCAUUUAUGAAGUUAAUACAAGGACGGGCUUAGAGGCACAAGUGGCAGCCCUCACCAAGCUUCUCACACCACUUGUAAGCAAGAUAGCCACGCAGCCAUGUACUUUAUGUGCGAGCAUCGCCCAUGACAUGGAAAAUUGUCCAACAAAUGCUAAUCUAGAAGGCAUCCAAGAGGUCAAUGCAUUUAGUGGGAGGCCCCGGAAUGAUCCAUAUUCUAAUAAUUAUAACCCGGGAUGGAGAGAACAUCCAAAUUUUUCUUAGAGAGAUUCACAAAAUAGCAUGGGAUCAUUCACUUCAACAAAGCAAUAUCAGCAACCUUAUCAAGCUCCUCCAAUUCAACAAAAAGACUCGUCUAUCAAGGAUAUGUUAUCUCAACUCUUAAAGAAAACUGAUCGGUAUGAACAUGAAGUUGUGUCGCUUAGACAAAGUCAGACGGUGUUGGAAAAGGCUCGAUCUAAUUUUGAGACUCAGUUGGGACAGAUAGCUACUACUUUGAACAAGCUGGAGUGAGCACAAGGGCAAUUUCCAAGCCAAACUGAAACAAAUCCUAGGAAUCAAAAGCAUGUUCAAGCUGUCACCACUUUGAGGAGUGGAAAGACGAUUGGUAAUAAUGUGGAAAGUUCAAAAAUUAAUAAGGAAGAAGAUGAAGGGGUCAGCACAUAUCGGGCAGCAGCUUGACAAGACAAGCUAAAAAAGAGAAGUAUAUGGGAGAUAUUUUAGAGCAAUUUAGAAAGGUGCAGAUUAAUAUUCCUUUUCUCGAUGCCAUCAAACAAAUUCAAUCAUAUGCGAAGUUUUUGAAGGAACUUUGUACUAACAAGAGACGGUAUGAAGAACAUGAGGAGGUGAAGUUAUCAGACACGGUUAGUGCGGUUCUUCAAAGAAAAUUGCCACCAAAACUUCAAGAUCCUGGUAGCUUUACAGUCCCAUGUGUCAUUGGAGAAAGAAAAUUCGAAAAAGCUUUGCUUGACUUGGGAGCCAGUGUGAAUUUGAUGCCCUAUUCUGCUUAUAAACACCUCAAAUUAGGCGAACUAAAGCACAUAUCCAUUUCUCUACAAUGCACUGAUCGUUCUGUGAAAUAUCCAAGAGGGAUUGUUGAAAAUGUACUUGUGUGUGUUGAUCAAUUUAUUCUUCCUGCUGACUUCAUCAUUUUGGACAUGGAAGAAGCCGAAAUUCCUGGUCGUGACUUGCCUCUCAUUCUUGGCAGACCUUUCAUGGCUACUGCAGGUACGAAGAUUGAUGUUAAAUCGGGAUUAUUAACUAUGACUGUGCAAGGUAUUACUGUAGAAUUUCAGGUCUUCGAAGCAUUGAAGAAGCCCAUGGAUCUUUAUGACUGCUUUCGUGUUGAGGUAGUGGAUCCAAUUAUAAAAAAAAACAUUCAUUGAAUCAAGCAUCUCAGAUCCUCUGGAAGUUUGUAUCUCUCAACAUGGGAUGAGUUUUGAAAAGGCUACCAUCAUUGAAGCAGAACGAGAUCUCAAUGCCGUAACGUCCUACUCUCUUAGAUGCCAGCCCAAAUUUGAAGCGUUGCCACUCACAAGCCAAAAUUGUACCAUCCAUUAUACAACCUCCAAAGCUUGAAUUGAAGCCUCUUCCAGAGACUUUAAAGUAUGCAUAUUUGGUGAUUCAGAGACUCUUCCUGUGAUUAUAGCUGCUGAUCUUAACCAAACAGAAGAGGAAAAGUUGAUGCAAAUGUUGAGGGAGCAUAAAACAGCAUUGGGAUGGAGUAUUGCAGACAUAAAAGGAAUUAGUCCUCAAUUUGCAUGCAUCGGAUAUAUCUUGAGGACAAGUCAAAGCCUUCUAGAGAGGCACAGCGACGUCUAAAUCCACAUAUGCAAGAAGUGGUUCGGGCAGAAGUUCUUAAAUUACUGAAUGUCGGCAUUAUUUAUCCUAUAUCUAACAGCAAAUGGGUAAGUCCACUGCAGGUUGUACCACAGAGAUCUGGAAUUACAGUUGUCAAGAAUGAAAAUAAUGAGCUUAUACCCCAGAGGACUGUCACGGGUUGGAGAAUGUGUACAGAUUACAGAAAGAUCAAUAAUUCAACUCGAAAAUAUCAUUUUCCACUCCCUUUCCUUGAUCUCAUGCUUGAGAGACUUGCAGGCCAUAGUUAUUAUUGUUUUCUUGAUGGCUAUUCCAGAUAUAAUCAAAUUCCCAUAGCUCCGGAAGAUCAAGAAAAGACUACUUUCACAUGUCCAUUUGGAACUUUUGCCUAUCGACGAAUGCCUUUUGGGUUAUGUAAUGCUCCCGCAACAUUCCAAAGAUGCAUGAUGAGCAUUUUCUCAAACUUGGUGGAAAGGUGUAUCGAAGUGUUCGUGGAUGAUUUUUCCGUGUUUGGGUCAUCGUUUGAUCAAUGUCUUCAUCAUCUUUCAUUGGUGCUCUAACGGUGUCAAGAAACCAACUUGAUUUUAAAUUGGGAAAAAUGUCAGUUUAUGGUGAAAAGUGGUAUUGUUCUUGGUCAUGUAAUUUUAGCUGACGGAAUUGAAGUUGAUAAAGCUAAGGUGGAGCUGAUUUCGAAGCUUCCUCCUCCCACUUCUGUAAAAGAAGUUCGAUCCUUUCUCGAGCAUCCAAGUUUUUAUCGCCGAUUUAUUAAAGAUUUCUCGAAAAUCACCAAGCCACUUUGUGAUCUGCUUGCUAAAGAUUCUGUGUUUAAUUUAAAUGGUGAGUGCUUACAAGCUUUUGAGACCCUCAAGAAAGAAUUAACACAAGCCCCAAUCAUAAAAGCUCCAGAGUGGUCUCUUCCUUUUGAAAUCAUGUGUGACGCCUCUGAGUAUGCAAUAGGUGUUGUGUUAGGGCAGCGAGUUAACAAACUUCCUCAUGUUAUAUUUUAUGCUAGCCGAAUUCUCACUUAACAACUUUCAUAUCCCUUAGUUUCCAAAAUUUAAUAUACAAAUUUAGUCUCCCAAGCAUUGCUAUAUUACUUAAGUAUUGAUUAAUAGACUUAUUUCUUAUGGUGACACAUUAUUUAGUUUACAAAUUUAGUCUAUCUAACAUUACUCUUUUGACAUUGUCUUGUCCACUGAUAUAAUUCUAUUUUUCUUGUGAUCAAAACUUCAAAUGUUAGCAAGUCGCACGUAAAGUCGCUUCUGAGAGAAUGUGCUCACAUUGUAGUUGAAAGAUUAUGUGGCUAGCAACAUUACAAAUUUAAUUUGGUAUAAUUUUAAAAUAUAGAUUGAGGAAAAAAAGGAUCACAUUAACUAGAAACUGAAAAGGUUUCGGCGCAAUAUGUUCAAGCAAGAAACUCAAUUUUGAUGCUACCGAUCUUAACAGCCUGAGCGCCGUACCUGGGCACUAAAGUCACCACCACACUCUCAUCAUCUUCAGCACCCAAAUCCUCCAACAGGUCCGUUAACCCCAACCUUAAACAACUCUUGCUCUUUUCCUUCUGCUUAUGUGGCACACUCACAAAACUCCCAGCAAACUCGCUCUUGUCGGGUCCACUCGGUGCCGCAUCCUCAUCAUCCACGUCAUUCACAUACACAUCAAACUUCACAGCCACAUCUUUGUCAAGCUCAAUCCCCCGAAUCACCAAUAUCUCCUCCUCAUCCUCUUUCUCCUUCUUGCUCCUCUUCUUCGGCUUCGGCCUUGACACCACCGUAGUUAUCUUCGUCUCCAAAUUUAUUGGAAAAUCUUUACCCGCCACCACCU